rnacentral:lncRNA from 1 species
GACCUGUUAGCCCAUAAGUCAGUACUGUGAUGAAGCAGCUAUUGCUCACCCGAUACGAUCGUACGAGGUCACAAUUUACCCAACACGAUCAUCCGGGGUGAACAAGAAUUGGGGAUCGGAUGCGGGCGAAAUUCCCGCCAAUGUCUGAGAUGUUCAGUCGACUCCCUCCCCCUUUGUGGGGGUCUGGACCCCUACGAGUGAGCAGAAAAGGGAGGAGGAAAGAGGACCCGGUGAACCGUCAUAAUAAGUGAACAAGUGUAAGCGUUGCUGCCCGACAGUAUGAAGUACUGACCACACCGAGGGACAGGCCCUGAAGCGAAGGACAGGAACGAGCGGAAUCAAUGUGUUCCAAUUUCUGGCCUUGCACCGACCAUCAAACGGACCAUGGACUAAACGGCCACUGCCUGAAAGGACUAUGCUAUGUCCAGGGGACCGCUUCGCUCCACAAGGUACAUCUUGUGCCUAUGGGCCGCUAUAACUAUCCAAGAAGGCACUCGAAAAAUGAAGGAUAAACAAACCUACCCGAUGGACUGCCGAGCUACAAGUCCUACGACAUAGGAGCGGGAUUCUCUAAAAAGCCAAGGUCUUAGGUGGCCAAGAGGGCCCACUUGGAGACUUGGGAUCUCAGCAGGAAAUGUGAAGGUUGUUUAAAGCCGGCCGAUAGGCGAAAGAGAAUCCAAAAGUUUUGUUCUCAUCUGAGUAGGCUCAACAUAGGGAAUACCCUAACCCUGGGAACCGGGGCAUAUAAAUCCGCUUAUGGCAUUCACCCAAGCAUACAGAGACAGAUGGAAUGAAAGAAAGAAAAAGUAGCUUCGCAGCUCGCCCAGAAGAAGAAAGACCCGCCGCUAACGAUUUGGAAAUCCCUGGUGGGCUGGGCCUGAAAGACAAGUGUGUGUGGAUUUCCACAUCCUCGUCUUUACUUUAAGACACAACUCUUCUCUUUCUCGGUCAAAUGACUUGUGAUAGUCUACCUUGAGUAGGACCAUAGGGAUCUUAUGUUUGUGGCGAAAGAUAAGUGGUUCUGUCACAACCAAGAAAGUUUCUAUGAGUGAGCGACCCUUGAUAAACGCCGAUUGAUACGUGUCAAUGUCAAUAAGUGGAUGAGUGUUGUUAAAGACAAUGUCUGUUCCUCUUCUUUGAAACGAUUUUCAUGAAUAUCGAGAUGAUACUGAUUGGCCUGAAAUCCUCGAUGGUGUUGGCAUCUUUUUUCUUUGGGAGGAGAGUGAUGGAUGCCUGGGUUAGCCUCCAAAGAUAAAGGCCAUUGCUAUGAAAGAGCUGCUAGAGAGAAAGCAGUUGCGGGUGGAUGAUGUCCCAGAAGGCUUGGAUUGCACAGAUUCUACCAGAGGAUGUUGAGAUGCUCCCAUUGCAACUCACUGAUGGAGAAGAACUGGAGAGCUCAGCUAGAGCUGGAGGAGGUGGUAGUACCUGUUCCCUACUGGUACCAGUGGUGGCUUGAUCACUUCAAAUUGGAGGGACUAUUGGGCCAAAUUCCCAUACUGUAAAAAAGGUUUUCUUUUAUGAUAUAUCAGAGGUUUUGUGUGCAGAGGCCGCCAAGUCGAAGUUGGAUGUGGCUUUUGUAGUUCCCAGUGAAGGAUGAUGCUGGGUCUAUGAUGCAUUUUAUUUGGAUUUUGGCUGAUAGUUUUCGAUGAAGCCAUAGAUACUACUCUUGUCUGAGACCUGUUGGCUUCAUCCAGAGGGAGAUGUGUUCUAGGGUGCCAAAGUACUCUUCAGCUGAAGAACUCUCUUUGGGACAAGGGCAUCAUCAAAGCAAAGAAAUCAGAAGAAGAAGCAGUCAGUAAUGCAAUGUGAGACAAGUGUCAUGUAGCAAGGUGCCCGGAAUCUAUCGUAUAUCAUAUAUAGGGAUUUUGGAUUGCGAUUUCCUUUUGGGGAUCAGGCCGAUUUGAUGACAGGAAUUUCCUUGUUUGUUGCAGCCUAAGAUUGGGAUUGGCCUACUCUUCUUCUAUAACCGGGAUCUUACGACUCUCGUGCUUAAUAAGUUGGCACCUCGCAUCCUGCCAAAACCUAAUCCUCUUAUUCUCUAGCUAGAGUUGGGCUCCUUAAGAAGAUAUGAUACUUCUACUUUUGACACCCUUUUUUUCCUAUUUUUAAACUCCAAUUGAUAAAGCCACCUGGCGAGUAGGAAUAGUUUCGAGUUUCUGGUAUGUUUUCUUUUGAGAAUCAAACCUCUAAUGGGUUUUUGCUACCAGGAGAAGGGAAUGGCCAUGUUGAUGGGGUCUAUCUAAAUAGAGAGGAACCUACAGGGCUGAUUACUCGAUCACUCCAUUGUGAUGACAAUCACACCCAUAUUCUUUAUUAUUUCUAAAUAUAGAUAAUUGCCAUCUCCCGGCAUAAGAAGGAGUGACCCUAACGACAGCCCCUAUAAUAGUAGACAACACGUUUUAAAUCAGACUGGACUGAACGAAGAAAGAUCUUUCCACACAAGAGUGGAAGGGAUCCUUUAGAAAUAGUUCUUAGCUCCAAUCAAGCUUUCUCUGCUGUCUAGGAUCGUUAGUGCUAUAGUGGAGACACUUUUCUCAAAUAAGAAUGGUGGUCACAUUCCCUUUCUAGUGGUAGUCAUUGAGGAUCUCAAAAACAGGGAUCGCAAAAACGUGUCAAUAAUGACAACGCUGGGCGAAAAGGCUAAAGAAGAAAAACCUGUAGAUUUGAAUGCCACUUCCUUUGCGAAGAUAGCUAGAUUUGGAUGUCCAUUCCAUAAGGUAUAGCUGCAUCUGACACUGAGUAGAAGUUACUAGCAGGAUAGACAGGAAGCUCUGAAGGAUGUACAAUGCUUGGAGGGACAGAAGUUUCAAGAGAAAUGGUCUCUUUUGAUGGGCAUUUGUAGAUGAUGGUUGAUACUGCAAACAAUGCCUUCUUGACAGCUCUAGCAUCACCAGUUAUCUAUUAAGCAUAAAGAUACAUUAAAGAUAACAAUUAGCGGAAUAUAAGAAACAAAGAAUAGAUAUUGAAUAAAGAAAAAAAAGAGCAGAGCCUCAUAACCGUCCUAAUAGAGAUAAUACCACAUUCGUCUUGUUCUUUACACCAAUCCAACUCGUGAUUUUUAGGAUGGAUCUCACACGGAAUCAAGGGAGGUGCGGGAUACGACCCAUAUCACAUUCCUGUGCCAUAGCUUGCCAAAUCAAAUAAAUCUAUCGAAGCUAGGGUGCCAGGCCUAUAAGAAUCAGAAGAACAAUCCACACUAAUGUAACCGUAAAGAAAUGGCGGCUCUAACAUAGAUUUUUCUCAAUGUGUCAUGUUGUUGAAAAAUCCUGUGGUAGCAUGGGAUGAUCAUCACUUUAGUUUUAGUUAUUGAUUUACGCAUCACACAUUAACUAAUAUUUAUGGGGAUGGAGACUUCGCUAAAGCAUGCACAUAAAUAGAUGAAUGAGCGAUUACAAGGCAAGGAGAUACAGAUCUGGGAGUUGACUCAGAACUUGUACAUAGGUCAGCUCACUAAUGCUUAAUAACCAAUAAAUAGUCAAUCAAGAGAUAUGCACCAGCAAACAACAUUAUACUGAAAUAGUGUAUUAGGCGGCAAAUGGCACAGAAGAGUUUAGACGAUAGAUUCUCUAUAACAGGUAGGGAUCGGGGGUUAUGCGCUCUUUUCUAUAAACAAAGUAGGCUUGUGAUUGUCCGCAUCAUCACUCAAUCAUGCAAUUCAAAGAAAUGGUUUACUUAUGUUCUUCUAAAGGAUGGAAUUGCUAGAUUGUCAGUAAUAUCAAUUGAGGAAGAAGCUAGUCCCACUUAAAUUCGAAAAGUAGACCUCUAUUGUGACAAAAGAUUCCUCGCCCACAGCAUCUCACUUAUUGAUUGUGACAUAGCUCUCUAUCUCUGCUCAUAAGAAGAUAGCAUUUCAUUCACUCGCUCUAGAAACCAUAGGAGCUACUAUUCCCAAGUUUCUUAAGAAUGGGCACUCACUGGAUUCAGGCUUCCACCGUUCUAGCUUCUCUUCGUAGUUCACUAGAAUGUAUCGAGCAUGUUUAUCCAGAUCAGGAGGCUUUACAUAAGUUGCUACGAUUGCCAAGUCGAAAAAGAACUGGGCAUGAAAGUGAAAGUGGAAAGAGAAGGGAGCGUGAUUUGUUUUAAGAAUUGGAUGCCCUUAUUAAGGGAAUCUAUAUAAAAGGAGAAAUUGGGCCUAUUUAUAACUUUUGGUACCUAACCACCUGAACUGGGAAUGAAUCCACUUCACUUCACUUUGAUGUAUCAGAGCCGGUUAUUUGAAGGUUCUAAGCCAUGUAUCAGAGCCGGUUAUUUGAGUAUCGAUGCUGUUGGAGUCUAGCUUCCGACCAAUCCACUUCACUUCGGAGGACAUAACGGCUUAAGAAGAAAUUGAGAUCAGGCCCGUGGAAAGCACACACACACGCCCAGGGAAUGAAUCCACUUUUGCAUUCUCAAUACUAGGGGGGGCUUCUCCGGUCGAUUGCUUUAACUGUUAUUCCCCAGAUUGGCGAAAUGACCUUUCGUCUUGCUUCCGUAAAAUAAUAAAAUGUGCUUUCGCCAGAAGAAGAAAAAAGAAGAUAGCUCAGUAAAUGGCAUUCAAGUAAAGUCGAGAAAGAGGCCUUGCUUUCGCAUAGGAAGGAAAGAAUUGACUCGGGUAAGUAAGCCCUAUUGGGGGAUUAAGGGCUUGAGUACGAUUAGAGCGCCUUUUUUCUGCUGCGCAGGCUGACCAUUUUAAAUAGGGGGAAACAAGAGACUGUAGAAGAUGAAUAUGGCUAGUCUACUGCUACUGUUUGAUUGGCAAUCCUUAGACUAUAGGGAUGAAGCAAAGGAGCAUAACCUACCUGCAACUAUGCUUUAAAGCAAAGAAAAUCUAUCGAAAUUCUCAUUCCAGUCUCAGGGGAUAUCUGAAGCUACCGAUCCGGGAUCUCACUCAAAUCCAAACCUAGCACUUUUGUAUUUAUUGCUUCUCCUUUUAAAAGGUCCGUAGCCGAGUAGAAGAGAAGAAAAGAGAUUUCCUUAUCUGCAUGCCAGCUUUCAUUCCUACUUUUGAUGAAAGAAAGGUCAGUUGCUGCCGACAAGUCGACUAAACUUUCACAACUGUCACCUAUCUUUAAGCACCUUGUCGGUGUCAAAACCGGCGGAUCUCGGGUAGGGGGUCCCGAACUGUGCGUCUAGGCGGAUGGUACAGGAGACAAGGGACACGAUGUUUCACCCAGGUUCGGGCCCUCUUGAUGGAGGUAAAACCCUACGUCCUGCUUGAUUGAUAUUGAUAUUGUGGAUGUUUACAAGAGUGGAUCUACCACGAGAUCAAGGAGGCUAAACCCUAGAAGCUAGCCUAUGGUAUGAUUGUAAUGGUUGUUGUUGUGUCCUACGGACUAGAGGCAUCCGGUUUAUAUAGACACCGGAGAGGGCUAGGGUUACAUAGAGUCGGUUACAAUGGUAGGAGAUCUACGUAUCCGUAUCGCCAAGCUUGCCUUCCACACCAAGGAAAGUCCCAUCCGGACACGAGACGAAGUCUUCAAUCUUGUAUCUUCAUAGUCUUGGAGUCCGGUCGAUGAUGAUAGUCCGGCCGAUGAUAGUUCGGCUGAUGAUGGUAGUCCGGCUAUCCGGACACCCCCUAAUCCAGGACUCCCUUAGUAGCCCCUGAACCAGGCUUCAAUGACGAUAAGUCCGGCGCGUAUAUUGCUUGGCAUUGCAAGGCGGGUUCCUCCUCCGAAUGAUAGAAGAUUGUGAACACCAGGAUAGUGUCCGACUCUGCAAAAUAAAUUCCACAUUCCACCGUAGAGAGAAUAAUAUAUACACAAGUUCAAUCUGCUGACUUUUUUUGCGGCAUGAUGUCACGCCACUACCAAGCCAUUACUUGAAUCGUUUUUUACUCUACCACCUCAGCGCAUUUAGCGAAGCGGUUUCCUUGGCACGUCUUGUCGAAGCAGAGAUCGUGUUCCCCCUUAAUCCGGGAUUCUCAUCAAUACGGACGUGGGUAACCCAACCGCGCCCGUCGCCACGCCCCCUCUAUCGAAGGCGAGUCCCAGACGGUCACGGAGACGACUCUUGGUAUUCCCCCUCUUUAUAACGGGACCAAGGCUCGUUUCUUUUCUUCAAUCCUCCAUCGAAUCCUCUCCCCGCUCCAAGUUCCAGCACCUAGAGCUCCAGAUUCGAGCGCUUCGGACUUUCAACGAUGUCCGGUUCCGACCUCCAGGGCCGGUGGAUGCCCUCCUCCGUCACGGAGGAGGACGUGCUAAAGCUGCGGGAGGCCAAGUACCUGGCUUAUGAGAUUUCGCACAGGUUGCCUGCCGAAGGGCAGGCCAUCCCCACCCCCGAGCCCGGCGAGUAUGUCGUUUUUGUAUCCCACCUCCGUCGGGGUUUAGGCUUCCCGAUGGAUCCUUUUGUGAGAGGGCUCAUGUUUUACUAUGGGUUGGAAUUCCACGAUUUGGCUCCGGAGUCCAUCCUCCAUAUUUACGCAUUUAUUGUCGUCUGCGAAGCCUUCCUCCGCAUCACCCCUCACUUCGGCCUGUGGCUGAAGACCUUCAAUGUGGCGCCGAAGAUGAUCGGGGGGCGUCAAGCGGAGUGCGGCGGGGCGGCCAUAAGUAGGAGGGCCGAUGCCCCGUGGCCCGCUGGCUCCUUCCAAGAGGAGCUCGGCCCGUGGCAGCAAGAGUGGUUCUAUAUUACCAUUCCGAGGGGCCGCAGACAAAAGCCGCCGCCCUUAUUCCGCCCGGGACCUCCACGACGGUUGAUGUCGUGGAUCAACCAAGGGCUAAACUGGGGGCCGUCAAAGGACGUGCCCCUUCUGCAGGGCCGGAUUCGAGAUCUCCAAAUGAGGGAGGUUGAUAUGGUGGUGGUAAUGCAGGUUAUGCUGAUUAGGCAUCUCCCACCCUGCAAACGCCGCCCUCUCCGGCUGUGGGAGUUCAAUCCGGAGGGCCCACGGAUUCUUCAACACUUCAUGGGUAUGACACCCCUGGAGAUGUACAAAUUAUUCUUCGGAUCGCAAGAGGCGCGUCCGGAAUUGACCGAGGAUGCUGGCCUAAGCUGCAAUCGCCUGGAUACUCAAGUAAGUAGUUCCAAGUCCAGACAUACCGUUUGUUUGCCUUUCGAUGAUUCGCCUUAUGACCAACUUCCUUCUAAACAGGAGUGGAUAGCGGAAGCAAAAUUGAUAUGGUGUCCGGCCCCCCUCCCCGAGACCGCGCCGGAUUCCGUGCUGGUCCGGAUGCUUGAGGUUGCGCCUCCAGAGGAAGGCAAAGGGGAAAGCAGGAAAGCUACUGCCUCGCCUAAGGAGGCUCUUGAAAGAGGGGGGAUCGAGAAUCCCUCCGUCCAAGGGGAGAAGAGGACUGCCUCCGAGGACCCGGGGGCAAAAGCCCCUAAACGGGGGAAGAAAUCUUCGCCAGAGGGUCCUGCAUCCGGGGAGGCCCCGGUCGCACAAUCUCCCUUAAAGAAUCAGCCCUCCAACGAGCCGUAAGUAGAAAGAAAGGAGUUUUAUCAUAAGGGACAUCCCUAUUUGUGCUUCUGAGGAUAACUAAAGUUUUUACCUUGUAGUUCGGAUCUCCGUCCUUCGCAAAUGAUCUCGUCUUCGGGGGACCUUCGUCCAGAGAUGAUGGAGAGCGAGACGCCUCCGUCCGGGGCGCCGUCGGAUAGGGCGGACGAGCCUGAAGUUUCGUCACGGAGGGAGCCCCUAGUUUGGCAAAGCCGGAUAGUUCGGCGCCAACUGGUGUACGGCUGAAGGAUCUGCUUGAGAAGGCGUCUAUCUCAGAAGAUCACCAUGCAUUGAUGAGCAUGGUGAUUGAAAGGAUUUCGUCCGCCGAAGGCGUGUUGCAUAAUGCCGUCAGGAGUUUGCUGGCGGGGUUUGAGGUACGUAAAAAUGACACACCUUUUAACAGUUUUGCAUAUAGAAUGCGCCAUGUAUAGAUAGUAGCCCCUGAGACUCGGUAGGUUGUCGAAAUCGACAACGUGCCGAGGAUCAAAAUCGCAGGUUUAAAUUCCGGCCAUGCCGAUGCAGGUGGCGGGUCGUCCGGGGGCCAGCCGGACUGAUGGAGUUGCUGAACUAAAGCGGCAACUCGUUGUUGCGGAUGCGGACAUCACGCUGGUCAACAAGCGACUUGAUGAGUCGCAAGGUAAGUGUUUCUGUGCGGUCACUUGGUAAGGGAGCCGAAGCCAGCUCCUUACAACAUGUGUGUGAAAUGCAGAUAGUGCCGCUGCUGUGGAGAGCCUUCGGGCCGAACUUGCUCAAGCCAAGGAGCAGGCCAGAAGGAGUAAUGCGGCGGCCUCGAGGGCAGCCGAGGAGUUAGCGGCCGAAAGGGUCGCACACUGCCGGAGCAGGAAAGAGAUGGCCGAAAUGGCCGUGAAGUUAAAAGAUGCUACCGACCGCAAUGAGGCUCUUGGGAAGGAGCGCCUAGCGGGGCAAGAAGACCUGGGGAAGGCCACCGCCGAAGCAUAGGAUGCCCGCUCUGCAAUGCGGGCUAUAAAGGAAGUGCUGCGCCAGGCCAGAGAUAUUGUAGCUCGCAAGCCUUUUCUGCUGCGCCGAAGGUUUACGGAUCCAAAGUAUGCUCAGCUGGGCCAACUGUGGGGUCCAGAGGACCCUUAUAUGGACUUAGCAGCGAGUGCGGCGGAUGCCGUUGUGCAUUUUCGAAGCCAGAAGGAUCACAAGAUGGAAGAGCUGUUUUGGUCUCAAUUCCAUAGUCCGGAGUGUUCACUUCCGCUGACCGGCCAUUUGGCCGAGUGGGCUGAGCUAAAUAGGUUAUCCGGGCUUGCUAUGACGGAUAUAGUGACCCAUGUUUGGCCGGAUAGGCCCGAGCCGAAGAGUUACUUUGGCUUAUUGCAGCAAUUUCUUGGGGCGGUGCCGCAUAUCAAGGCGAUGAAGCGGUCGGCCUGCAUAGAGGGUGCGCGGAUGGCACUCGCCCGUGUGAAGACACAUUGGACAGAGAUGGAUGCCACCGCUGUUGCGACCCCGGGUUCGGACGAUAACCGGUUACCCGCCGAGCACUAUUUUGGCGAAGUGCUGCGUGGUGCUCAUGUAAUAGAGUCGCAGUGCUCAAAAAAUGUUACGUUCGAAUGAACGUUUUUAUGAUGUAAAACAAUAUUUAUGAUGUAAGCGCCUUUUAUACUUGUGCGUUCAAGUAAUAGAAUAUCUCCUAUGCGGCUGUUCAUGUAUACGUGUGUAUAACCUGAAAGAUGGCAGUCGUCGGCUUCAGCCCCCACGCACAAGGUGCGGGGGUGUUCGCAAAAAAUAGCGCGUUUUCACACUUAAUCCGACGUCUCGGUCCUGUAAAGGAGGUGGUAGCGUAGCAAACGAGGCAACCGGACUAUAAUGCUUUAUCACUUUCACUUAGCCAUGGAGUUCGAGGGUGGGGCUACGACAUAGCCCCUGGGGGCACCGCGCUCUCCGAAUUUGGGGCGCGUAUGUGCCUGACCGGGAAACGGCCCUUCGUCAAAGCGGAGGAAUUCUAAACAUUCCCAUGGUCAAUCGAGUGGUUGACCAGUCUCUCGCUGUAUCAUGACAGUCAGUUUUCGGCUUUCUCUACUGAGGUGCUCGCCCAGCCGAACUGGGGCACAAUCGCAGUAGUUCUCCUGGUGCCGCGUUAGCCGGUGAUACGGAACGUAAGGCAGCAAAACACAGGAGCCGGGCAAACCCAACAUUUGACCAAAGACAUGAUUCGGAGCUGAUGCAUAUAAGGCCUAACUCGAGACGCCGAACACUCCCGAAGGUGUUCGGUCUUUACAAUAGCGGGCAAAACAAUGCCCUAAGCCCCUUGUGUCCAGGUACGGGCAAGUUCUUCUGGCGCGGCCGAUGCCAAAACGCCAGUCUCCACUCUGGUUAUAAUGAGAAACCAGGGGAUUAUAGCAACAAGAGACGGUAAGAAAGGUUUACGUAGGGUCUUAGUCUGAAAAGAGUCCUUGCAACGGGUCCCUACUGCACGUCUGCGCCUGUGUCUCUGUUGUGCCGUAUCCUGGACGGGUGUGCACGCUGUUCAUCUGUAAAAAGAGAGGAACUUAGUUUGAAAAGAAAUCGUGCGAGAAAGUGCAUAAAAAAUUGAAAUAUAGAUUAAUAAAGUUGAGCCUAUGCUAGCUCAUUAUGGCUUAUAUGUACAAACCCUUGUGAAGGGGUGUGCGGCUAGGUAGCCCCUAGCUUAUUUAUUCCGGACUCGUCCAGCCGUGUCCGGGGUCUCAGGCGACCUUUUAAUGAAAUGAUGCCACGUGGACCAGGAAUUUUAAGCGUAAGAGACGCGUAAUGUGGUAUUGCAUUGAAGCGGACAAAAGCUUCCCAUCCCAGUGAUGCUUGAUAGCUACUUUUAAAUGGGGCGACAUGAAAGGUUAGCUUUUCUCGUCGGAAGUUGUCAGGUGACCCGAACACAACUUCUAGUAAUAAUGAACCUAUGCACCUGGCGUAAGGGCCUGGCGCCACUCCUUUGAAGGAAGUGCGGCUAUGCCGAAUUGUAGUAGGGUCUAUCCCAACUUGCGGAUUGUGUCCGGAUAUAGCAGGUUUGAGUCAAUGCCGCUGUCCAUCAAAACCUGCGUGAAUUGCAGUCCGUCUAUUAUGGGAUCCAAUAUCAGGGCAGUCUAUCCUGCGUUCCGGAUACUUCUGGACUAAUCCAGAUGCUCGAAAGUGAUUGGUUUUGACAUCCAAUCUCGGUGUUCUGCUGGGGUGGACCGUGUGACACUUGUCUUAGCGAGUGCCGUGUUGGUUUUCCAUACUAUCACAUGAAGCGAGUUUACUGUUUUGACUUCUUGUGGGAAAGUCUUUUGACUUCCGGUGCUCUGCUGGUGGGGUUCGUCAUCGUCCUCGCUUGGCACAUCGAGCCCCUUGUGUCCGGCUUUGAGUCUGCCGGACUGUUUAAAAACCCAAAAAUUUCGGUUGGUAUGGUUUGCAGGCCUUCCGGAGGUACUGUGGAUUUGACAUAUCCGAUCUAAAAUUUUGUUUAAAUUUGAUAGCUCGUCACUGUUGUCCUUAAGAGGAAGUGUUUUAUUGUUUGGCCGCGAGCAUUUGAAUCCGGCGUUGACCGCCGUGCCCUUUGGGCUUUUUUCUUUAUUCCGGCGCUGAUCUUUCCUGCACCAUGAUUUUCCGUUUCCAUCUCUGAUCUCGGAUGUACUCGGGUCGCUGGUGCUGCAUCUUGCUAGCCAGUUGUCUUCUCCUGCGCGAAAGCGCGUCAUGAGGCUUGUUAGCGCGGCCAUUGUUCUUGGCUUCUCUUGGCCGAGGUGUCUGGCGAGCCAUUCGUCUCGGACGUUGUGUUUAAAAGCUGCUAAGGCUUCUGCGUCCGGACAGUCGACUAUUUGGUUCUUUUUGGUAAGGAACCUGUUCCAGAAUUUGCGCGCUGACUCUCCGGGCUGUUGGGUUAUAUGACUCAGAUCGUCUGCAUCCGGAGGGCGGACAUAAGUCCCUUGAAAAUUUGCUCUAAACGCGUCCUCAAGCUCUUCCCAACUUCCAACAGUGUUUUCUGGGAGGCUUUUGAGCCAAUGCCGAGCUGGCCCUUUGAGCUUGAGGGGUAGGUAUUUUAUGGCGUGGAGAUCAUCUCCUCUAGCCAUGUGUAUGUGUAGUAUGUAAUCUUCUAUCCAGACUCCGGGGUCUGUUGUGCCGUCGUAUGCCUCUAUGUUUAUGGGUUUGAACCCUGCUGGAAAUUCAUGAUCCAGCACCUCAUCGGUAAAACAUAGCAGGUGUGCGGCGCCCCUGUAUUUGGGUGUGCCGCUGUCUUCGAACACUUGUCGUGUUGUGUUACUUCCUGGGGCCCUCUUUUUUGGCCCGUAGAUGGACCUAGUUGGGCCGUCCGUUUUCCCAGGAUCAUAAGUCGGCUUGUGUGCGGCGCCGCUUGUCGCUUUUGGCCUUUCAUCUGGCCGUCUAUCCGGCCAGGCGGCCUCUUUAUUUUUUGACUAUGAGGGCUCUAUGGCUUCCUCGUCAAAUUCUGGCAGCAACUUGCGCUUCGGGUAGCUCUUUGUUUGAUGGCCAUUGCCAUAUUUGUCUGCGGUCUUGAGUACUUUGCUCCACUUCAUUCUGAGUAUGUCUUCCGCUAUUUUGAGCUUCCAUUUUUCCUUCUUCAAACUUCUUGCAGUGGCGACGAGUCUUUUGUGAAGGUUCUUAUGCUCUGGUGUUGUGUCCGUACUGUUGAUUGCUCCGUGAAGGGGUUGAUUAUCUGGUUCGUCCUAUUCGGAUGGUUGCUUGGUUGUAUGUUCAUCGUCCGCUGGUUUGCCCUGCUCUAUCGCUGGGUCGUUAGGAAUGCUGCUUUGAUCGAGGCGGGACUUAGGGCGGCGUCUACGUCGCCGUUUUGGUUGUUUAUCGGCGGGAUUAUCCUCUGCCGCGUCCCGUUGUUCCUUGUUAUCGCUUCCCUUUAGGGUGUCCACCAUAUGUAUGUCAUGUGACGAGGUGGCCUUCCAGUGCCCUGUAGGCGCUGGUUCUUGAUUGUCUCCGGCAUCGUCGUCCAUACCGUUGAUGUCUUCGGAGUCGUAGUUUAGCAUGUCGGUUAGAUCGUCGAUGGUGGCUACGAAGUGGGUGGUGGGUGGGCUCUGAAUUUCUUCAUUGUCCGCGUCCCGACCAUCCUGGCCGUAGUUCGGCCAGGGCUCUCCGGAUAGUGAGAGAUGCUUCAGCGAAUUUAAGAUAUCGCCGAAGGGUGAGUGCUGAAAGGUGUCCGCAGCGGUGAAUUCCAUGAUCGGCGCCCAAUCGGAUUCGACUGGCAGGGGCGCAGGAGGUUUGGAGUCCGGCAGGGGGUCCGGCACCCCGGAGUCAUGGGCUUUAUGCGGGACAAGGUAAGUGUUCGGCUCCAUCGCCGUGGAAGUUGCAGCUCCCGAGGCAGUGUCCAGCCAUCCGUCCUCGAUCCGUGCGAUCGGCUCCGGACUAUGGGUCGGAGCGGAUUCAUGUGCGGCCUCCAAGGUGCUGUCCAGCGGCAGAGUUAGGUCGUUCCCGUCGUGGCAGCGCGGCACGCUUGGCUUUGGCUCAGAUCCAUCGAAGAUCAAGUCCCCGCGGAUGUUGGCCGUGAAGUUUAGGCUUCCAAACCUGACCUGACGGCCAGGGGCAUAGCUUUCGAUCUGCUCCAGAUGGCCAAGUGAGUUGGCCCGCAGUGCGAAGCCGCCGAAUACGAAGAUCUGUCCGGGGAGAAAAGUCUCGCCCAGGACUGUGUCGUUGUCGAUUGAGGAGGCCAUCAAGCCUAUCGGUGACGACACAGAGGAACUCUCAAUGAAAGCACCAAUGUCGGUGUCAAAACCGGCGGAUCUCGGGUAGGGGGUCCCGAACUGUGCGUCUAGGCGGAUGGUAACAGGAGACAAGGGACACGAUGUUUUACCCAGGUUCGGGCCCUCUUGAUGGAGGUAAAACCCUACGUCCUGCUUGAUUGAUAUUGAUAUUGUGGAUGUUUACAAUAGUGGAUCUACCACGAGAUCAAGUAGGCUAAACCCUAGAAGCUAGCCUAUGGUAUGAUUGUAAUGGUUGUUGUUGUGUCCUACGGACUAGAGCCAUCUGGUUUAUAUAGACACCGGAGAGGGCUAGGGUUACAUAGAGUCGGUUACAAUGGUAGGAGAUCUACGUAUCCGUAUCGCCAAGCUUGCCUUACACGCCAAGGAAAGUCCCAUCCGGACACGGGAUGAAGUCUUCAAUCUUGUAUCUUCAUAGUCUUGGAGUCCGGUCGAUGAUGAUAGUCCGGCCGAUGAUAGUUUGGCUGAUGAUGGUAGUCCGGCUAUCCGGACACCCCCUAAUCCAGGACUCCCUCACACCUUCUAGGCCGCUUCCCAACCUAAUGCAUUCAAGUCUGCCUUCGGUACUGGUACUUCGGAAUCAAGGGCCCAACAAGCGACAUCAGGAGUCUUUGGCCGAAGAACUCGCGGAUAAGAAGGUUAUUCCAUAACUAUAUAAAAUCCAUAGUCACGCUCAGCAUGCGAAAGCUUGUAAAAAUGACAUCCCCUGCGAAAACCAAUAGGAUUUGUUAGGCCAUCGAACACUAGUUUCUGGUUUCUCAAGACCUUGAGGCAAGGGCAGUUACGCAACAUUUUCUCAAUAUUGAAUGUGCAUUUUUCCCGCACCUUGCCUAAGCGCCCUGGGCGACCGGACUCGACAAGGGUAAGAUCCCAAAUCUGUUCCUUUCCUGUUGUAAAGUCUGCACCCUUAGAGGUGGCAUCCCUUUACGCAUGAGCCUUGUUAGUGCAUGUCUCAGUCCCUUGAGACAUGCUCAGUCCUAUGUUAGGAAACCAAACAGUGUAAUUAGCUUCCCCCUCUAUUCCCGGCCAUCGUAUGGACGAGGGCUCCUCUCCCUCUGCUCUACUGCCCGAAAAGGUAUAUAUAUACUUAAAUUAGGAAUUGAAAAUGCUUGGGCUUGCCUUAUCCUAAACAAAAUAAAGAAAAGCCCUACCCGCCUUCAUUGGUUCAGUAAGGGGCAUUUACCUAUCAGUCCUAGUCCUAAGGCGCAAUCGGAGCACUAAGCCCAAUUACAGCUUGACUCUGUAAAUUAGACCUCAUUCUCCUAGUCCUAUUCCUGAUUGUUAUUUCGGAUUCUGUGCCUGGGUGGUAUCUUCUUACUAUUGAUUCAACCUCUUCGGGCAAACGUUGUCACUUCCUUUAUUUGGAAAAAGGGGUCUAGAACUACAGUCAUCUGAUACCUUCUUCCCUUGGUCUGGGUAGGUAGGUUAUGUAGGCUACAAUUGUUCAUAGGUUGUUCAAUCGCAAAAGGCCAAAUAAUCGAUUACUAGUAUGCCGAAUAUUGCCAGGAGGCCCUUCCCCCUAUGUUUGACUCAUCCUAGAUGGGUUCACACCUGUUGAUUCCGAUCAAAGGAAAAAGCUUUUUCACGGCAUCCGUCCCAUCACACCAAUCUAUGCCAAGAUAAAGAAUGCUGGGUUGCGAGGAACAAACCCUAUGAUUCAAGGUCUUGCCUAGAAUUGCCCUAAGAAAAAUGCACCCCAUUAAUUAAUCCCUCUUUAGAGUAGUAUAAGUACAUCCUCGACUCUAGCAUGAAUAGAGUCGAGUUCUCGUACUAACCUAAGAGCAGAUAUGCCGAAAUAUUUCCACGUUCAAGCAGCUAAUCAGUAAACGACUUCUCCGUAACAGUUUGAAGAUUGGCUCGCAAUGCAAGUAGCGGCAAGAAAGGAGAGCAAGACUUCCUUUUCUAAAAGAAGAAAGAACUAGACUUCUAUAAGAAGAUUUUUAUAAUCGUAGAUCGUGGAAUAUUCAUCUAUCUUAUUAGGUAACUACUUUAGCUGCUCACGAAACUGAACCAUCGUGAAUAGAACUAAAAUCAGUGUAUGUCAUUGACGAUUCCUCCGUUGAAGUGAGAAAAUAUAUUUGUAGCUCUAAAUUUUGUAAGGAGCAAUAAAUAAAGAAUAUAUAUCUACAAGACUAAAUAUCUACCCUAAGUAUAACAUAAAUAUAUACGUUGAUCAUUACAAAACUAUAGAGAAAUGGAAUUGUCGGUGUACUAGAGUAGGGGUACCCUAGUAUCCCGAACUUGUGCACGGGCAGUUGCAGCGCCGCGCGGCAAGGCUUGCCGGAAGACCGCCAGAGUCCUUCGUGGGUUCCUUUGGAGCCAUUCAAGAACAAAGCAUUCAAGAUGAAGAGACAAGGCCCCGGAAAGAGGAUCUUGCCGGGAAGAGACAAGGCCCCGGCAAGAGGAGCUUGCCGGGAAGGCCAACCAUGGCACUUCAAGAAACUUGCCGCGAUGCACCGCACGUCCCGGCAAGGUCCGGUGAACGACAAGCUUCUGGACUCGACAAGACGACGACCCCGACAAGGUACUCGCCGGGGGCCCGCUGCCACUCUGUACCCAUGCUCCAGCGCACCCACCCGCGUGUCGCCAUGAGGCUUCCUCAGGGGUGCGUGGCGGGAGCCUGUGCAGCCAGGGGUACGUGGUGGCAAGCGGAGAUGAAGAGAAGGCCAUUGUGGCAAACGGUGGCGCUCCUAACGGUCACUUUUUGCACUGUUUAGGCAACUCAGACGGGCAUUCAAUGACCUUGUCCCCUGCCGUCAGAGUUAGGUAGGGUGCACUGUGUCCACAGUAGCGGUAGCUGCACCUACCGCAUCCUUUUCCAUUUUACCCUUCUAGUCUACGUUGCCACCUGUCGGUGACCCCUUGAAAGUAUAAAAGGAGGCCCAAGCGCAACGUAGAGGGGGGUUCGGCUCAUUCAAAACAUCAGGAACACUCUCACGCUCGGUCGGGCAGCGUCCAUCGCUCCUGAGCAAGAAUUCAAUACACACAAACAAGCAGCAGUAGGGUUUUACGCAUCCGUGCGGCCCGAAGCUGGGUAAAACUGCUCGUGUGUACUGCCUCGAUCCGCUCUUUGCGCGGCCUCCGCCCCCCUCCGAACCGAAAGGGGCCCGGUCCCCAUAGGUGUUGGUGGAUCAGUUUCCCCGACAUCUUUGGCGCGCCAGGUAGGGGGCGUCGAGAUUGUGCGAACCCGAUCCGGCGUGCAUGCGAGCUAAAUCUUCAUCGUCUUCAUCGACAUGCCACCGAAGAAGAAGGAUUCGGAGGCAGCUGUUCCGUCUGCGUCGCUUUCACCGCCUCCGGAGCAAACGGGUGGUGGAGUGGACGCCGGCGGAAGAAUGGGCGUCGACGAGGGAGCCCUCAGUGCGGCCAAGUCCAAGGACAAGGCGGCACAGACCUCGGCGUCUAUGCGCGCACCGCGCCCCUCUCAGGAGGCGCGGGACCAGCAGCAUCAUGGCGUUCGCAGCGCCAUACGUCCGCUGGGCCAAGAUCAAGCUGGUGGUUCUCGUGGCGCUCAAGACCAACAUGCACGUCAACAUGCUGGCUCGAGCGAAGUACGGUCGCCUGGACGGGGCACUGCUCCUUCUAACGUGGUUAGGAGUCCGAGCAUGCCCCACUCCUCGCACCGUUCACCUCUGCCGCCCACCACUCCAGUAGAAGCCUUGGCGCGAGCUCAACUUCUCCUAGACUAUCCUCCGAUGGCGGACAAGACCGACGAAUGGAGGGCCACUAUCCAGAGCCUCAUCGGCUUUGCCAACGGCGACACUGCGCGGCAACCAAGCACCUCGCUGCCGCGGCAGGACAGCCGGACGCGAGCCGAUGGCAACAAGACUGGGGGAGGUGCGACUUCCAUGCACUCUCCACUAUGAAGGCCAAAAUCGCCGACUCACCGGUUCCACCCCGACAGCGGCUCCACCGCGUCGUCGGACCCACGAGCUCGUCGCGACCAGCGCCAAGUUCUCCAUGAACAACAACAAGAAGACGCUCGAACCCGCAUCGAGCGCCAAAGAGAAGCGCGACAUCAAUCCGACAAGCGCGCUGGGCCCUCUGUUGACAUGCAUGCGCCAGGGGAACCAGGCGAUCUGCCGUACGCGGUAGGUUGUCCUGCGUUCACCCGUGAGCUGCGGCAAGUCCAGUGGCCCAGCACAAAGAAUUUCAAACCAGACGUACCAGAGAAGUACGACGGCAAGACGGAUCCGUCGGAGUUUCUCAGCAUCUACACCAUCGCGGUGCAGGCUGCCGGGGGACGGGACGACAAGAUCCUUGCCAACUACUUCCCGCUGGUACUCAAGCCCAACGUCAGGUCCUGGCUCAUGCACUUGCCGGACAAUUCCAUCUCCUCUUUGGCAGAUUUAUGCCAUCAGUUUGUCGGCGCCUUUACAGGCGGCCACAAGCCACAUGGCCAAGAGAGCGAUCUUCAUCUGCUCGCCCAGAAGGAAGGAGAGCCACUGCGCAAGUACAUUCAGAGAUUCAGCCGUGUACAGCACAACAUCCCAGACGUCCACCCCGCCGCGAUCAUCAGCGUGUUCCAUCAGAACGUGCGAAACCGAAGGAUGAGGGAGGAGAUGGCGAUGUGUAAGAUCAGAGAUGUCAGCGAGCUUUACGCCCUGGCCGACAAGUGUGCACGCGCUGAAGAGGGGAGGAGGCUCCCCGGAGAGAGUACGGGAGCAGGAGGAUCCGACAGUGAGGAUGCUGCCCCGACAAGGAAAGGCCGGCGGCGGAACAACAGAAGGAAAAAGGGCAAGGAAGUGCUAGCUGUCGAGCAGACCGGCAACGGAGGUGGCGCCAAGGAAGCUAAAGCUGGUGGCUCCGACAAGGAGGCCCAGCCUGUGGCGGCCGCCGACAAGCAGGACAGCUCCGGCAAGCAGUAUUGUAAGAUUCACCGCACCAAGGGUCACGAUCUCCAGAACUGCAAGAAAGUCGAACAACUUGUUGAGCAACAGAAAGCUGAGUACGAGCUGCGCGACAAGGAGAAGGCCCAGGAAGGAACUGGUGGAUCCGGCAAGAAACGUCCCGGCCGAGGAGGACGCCGCGGCAAGGCCAAGCAGCGGCAAGGAGACAGACCUCCCCGCGGCCGCGACAAGGAUGAAGAUGACGACGACGAUGAAGACAUGGAUGAUGACGAGGCCGACGAGCAGGAAUUUCAGAAAGCCACAGAGGUCCUGUGCGUUGACGGUGGCGCCUCUCUGCAUACUUCGCACCGCCAACUCAAGCAGUGGAUGCGGGAAGUGAAUGCAGCAGAGCCAUCCAUAGAGUCACGCAAGCCCCUGAAAUGGUCCAGCGCACCUAUCAUCUUCGACAUUGAGGACCACCCUGAUCGCGUAACUGCGGUCGGGUGUUUGCCGAUGUUGGUUUCUCCAACUAUCCGCAAUCUCAAGGUCACGAAGAUGCUAGUUGACGGCAGGGCUGGCUUGAACCUGAUAUCCUCCGCGGUCCUCCAGAAACUUCAGAUCCCUGACAGCGAGCUCGAGGAGACCGGCACAUUCCAAGGAAUCAGCCCGGGAAGAAGCAAGCCGAAGGGAAAGAUCACGCUGCCAGUCACAUUUGGCAGCGAGCUGAACUUCAGGACUGAGAGGGUCACGUUUGACGUUGCCGACUUUCCAUUACCUUACAAUGGAAUCCUUGGCCGUCCGGCACUCGCCAAGUUCAUGGUAGCAUCUCACUAUGCGUACAACAUACUGAAAAUGCCAGGCCCAGUAAGUGUCAUCUCUGUCCCUGGCGACAAGAAGGAUGCUCUUAUCUGUGCCGACAAGAUCUACCGGGAAGCGGCAGCCGCAGCAGAGCGCAAGAAGCUCCCGGAGGGAAGAAGAAGACCAAGUCCGGCAAGAGCUCUGAUGCCUACUCCGGCAAGCGCACCUCUUCGGAGUGCUGCGCUACCGUCGAGGACGCACCAUCGAGCUCCACCGGCAAGUGUAAGAAGGCAAUGGCAGCUCCACCUGAGACUAAGAAGGUGUCCGCCAAGGAGGAUGGCACUGGUGAUACCUUCACCAUCAGCGCCACUCUUGACCCCAAAUAGGAAAGUGCGCUCGUUGCUUUCCUGCGGGCAAAUGUCGACGUGUUUGCAUGGCAACCGUCUGAUAUCCCCGGUGUUCCCAGGAAAGUAAUCGAGCACCACCUUGCCGUCUGUCCUCAUGCGCGGCCCGUCAAGCAGAGAGUCAGGAAGCAGGCAGUGGAGCGCCAAGAAUUCAUCGCAGAAGAAAUCAAGAAGUUGGAAGCAGCAGGCCUUGUUAGAGGAGUGCUCCAUCCCACGUGGUUGGCCAAUCCUGUUGUUGUGCGCAAGGCUAACGGAAAAUGGAGACUUUGUAUUGACUUCACUGAUGUUAAUAAAGGUUGUCCCAAAGAACCAUUUCCCUUGCCGCGUAUUGACCAGAUUGUUGACUCCACAGCCGGAUGUGAUUUGCUUUCAUUUCUUGAUGCAUACUCAGGAUACCAUCAGAUCUUCAUGGCAGAAGAGGAUGAAGAGAAAACCGCAUUUAUCACCCCAUGUGGCACGUACUGCUUUGUACGGAUGCCUUUCAGUUUGAAGAAUGCUGGAUCAACAUUCGCAAGGGUAGUCCACCGUGCUUUUGAGCCGCAAAUGCACAGAAAUGUGGAAGCCUACAUGGAUGAUAUAGUGGUCAAGAGAAAAAACAAGGCUACUCUGAUUCAAGAUCUAGAUGAAACUUUUGCAAAUCUGCGCAGGAUCAACCUCAAGCUCAAUCCCGAGAAGUGCGUGUUCGGAGUCCCUUCCGUAAAGCUUCUCGGGUUCUUUGUGUCACAGCGGGGGAUUGAAGCCAAUCCCGACAAGAUCAAAGCCAUCGAGCAGAUUGAAGCACCAAAGCGCGUCAAGGAUGUACGAAAGCUUGCCGGUUGCGUGGCUGCUCUCGGCAGAUUUAUCUCUAAGUCCGCAAAGCGCGCCUUGCCGUUUUUCAAAAUAUUGAAAAAGGCAGGUCCGAUGAAAUGGACUCCAGAAGCGGAGGCCGCGCUACAGGACUUGAAGAGGUACCUGUCCUCCACUCCAAUACUUGUCGCACCUAAGCCACAAGAGAAGUUGCUGCUAUAUCUGGCAGCAACCAAUCAAGUGGUUAGUGCUGCGUUAGUAGCGGAGAGGGAGGCGGACGAUGAGCCAGCAACUGCGGCAAGUGAAUCCAGCGACAAGCAGGGGGCUUCUCCGACAAGCUCUGGCCCCGACAAAGUUGAGUCUGCGCAGGCAUGCAAGGAGGUGCAGAGGAAAAUGGUGCAGCGCCCAGUUUACUUUGUCAGUUCCCUUCUACAGGGGGCUAGAUCAAGGUAUUCUGGCGUACAGAAAUUGCUUUUCGGCCUUCUCAUGGCCUCGAGAAAGCUGCGCCAUUACUUCCAGGCACAUGAGAUAACAGUUGUCACUCGCUUUCCGUUGAAGAGGAUACUGCAAAAUCCAGAAGUAACCGGCAGGAUUGUCGAGUGGGCACUGGAACUGUCAAGCUUUGGCCUCAAGUUUGAGAGUACUUCCACUAUAUAGAGCAGAGCAUUGGCAGAAUUCAUAGCGGAAUGGACGCCGACACCAGACGAAGAAACUCUAGAAACAAGCAUCCCCGUCAAAGAGGCAAGCAAAGAGUGGCUGAUGUACUUUGAUUGUGCCUUCUCGCUGCAAGGCGCCGGCGCAGGCGUGCUGCUUAUCGCACCCACCGGAGAGCACCACAAGUACGUAGUUCAGAUGCAUUUUCCUAAGGAGCAAGCAACGAACAAUACCGCAGAGUAUGAAGGUUUGCUUGCCGGACUCAGAAUCGCGGCAGACCUUGGGAUCAACAAGCUCAUUGUCAGGGGUGACUCGCAGUUGGUCGUCCGCCAAGUAAAAAAAAGCUAUCAGAGUCCGUUGAUGGAAGCAUAUGUUGAUGAAGUAAGGAAGCUAGAAGCACACUUUGACGGCCUGCAAAUGGAACACGUUCCACGAGCUCAGAACGAUAUUGCUGACGGCCUGUCAAAGUGCGCAGCACUAAAGUUACCUGUGGAACCAGGGAUUUUUGUGCUCAAGCUGACUCAACCAUCCGUAACACCGUCGACUGGACAGAGAAAGAAGAGGAAGUUGGUUUCUGAUGACUACUUUCUGGCAAAGCUUCCCGAAGCCACCGCCAAGAAGGUCCCCAAGAUCGACGCCAAGAGUGCUGAGGAGCAGUCUGCUCCGGCGAACCUCUUGGUUUGUUCCGUUGAAGCAGACGCUCCCGACAAGUUUUGCUCCGGCAAGCUUGCCGGGGAAUAUCACGCUCCGGCCGAACCGCAGGUUCUUGCCGUAGAAGCGGAUGUUCCCACAGCAACAGAUAUGCCUUUAGCCCUUAUUGUCGAGCCGCAAGCUCCAGCAUGGGCGUAGCAGAUCGUCCGUUUCCUUCAGACAGGAGAGCUUCCCGAAGAGCAAGAAGAAGCGGAAAGAGUAGCCCGGCAGUCAAGUAUGUACAAGUUUGUCGACAACACAUUGUAUAGAAUAAGACUCAACGGUGUGAAAUUGAAGUGCAUUCGCCGGGAAGAAGGACAACAGCUGUUGGCAGAGAUACAUGGAGGCAUAUGUGGUCACCACAUUGGCGCAAGAGCACUUGCCGGCAAAGCAUUCCGACAAGGUUUAUUCUAGCCGACAGCCCUCCAGGAUGCAACUGCACAAGUAACCAAGUGUGAAGCGUGCCAGUUCCAUUCCAAACAGAUACACCAGCCAGCUCAAGCUCUCUAGACGAUCCCUUUAUCCUGGCCAUUUUUGAUCCGGGGGCUCGACAUCCUCGGCCCCUUUCCCCGAGCUGUCGGGGGCUUUGAGUUCUUAUACGUCGCCAUCGACAAGUUCACAAAGUGGCCGGAAGUGGAACCAGUGAGGAAGGUGACAGCACAGUCAGCAGCCAAGUUCUUCAGGUCGAUUGUUUGCCGUUUCGGGAUCCCUAACAGGAUCAUCACCGACAACGGCACGCAAUUUACGAGCCGCACCUUCAUGCAGUACGUCCAAGAUCUUGGCGCCAAGGUCUGCUUCGCUUCUGUUGCUCAUCCGAGAAGCAACAGUCAAGCGGAAAGGGCAAAUGCUGAAGUGCUGCGAGGCCUCAAGACCAGAACUUUCGACAGGCUGCACAAGUGCGGAAGAAACUGGAUCGAGGAGCUGCCGGUGGUUCUUUGGUCGAUCAGGACGACGCCAAAUCGAGCCACUGGCCAGACACCCUUCGCUCUAGUCUACGGAGCAGAGGCAGUUCUCCCCACGGAACUCGUUUACAGGUUACCUCGAGUGCUCGCUUGUGAUGAGCUCGAGCAAGAGCAGUUGUGCCAAGAUGACGCGCUGCUCCUUGAGGAAGACCGUCUUCAGGCUGCUGUGCGAGUCGCUCGCUACCAGCAAGCUUUGCGUCGCUACCAUAGCCGCAAAGUUAAAGCCAGGAGCUUCGAGGAAGGCGACCUUGUUCUUUGGCGUGUUCAGUCCGCCAAGAAUUCCAACAAGUUGACGCCAAAGUGGGAAGGCCCUUAUCGGGUGAAACGAGUCACUAGGCCCGGCGCUGUCCGCCGUGAGACCGAAGAUGGCAUUCCGGUGAGCAACUCCUGGAACAUUGAACAUCUUCGUAAGUUUUACCCGUAGGGCGCGGUUGCCGGAAGCUUUUCCGGCAACCACCUUUUGUACAAGUCUUGCCGCUGUUGCAUGUAAUCCUUUGUACAAAGCCGGGUGCAGACCCCGUGCACCAGUAAAGUUCAUGUGCCCCGCACAUCUUGUCAGUUUUCUUUUUUAUGCUAUAAUCCUUUUUCGCAUAUGUUAUCAGACACUUUGUGCAGUACCAGACCCCGUAAGCGAUAACGAGCCCAAGGCUCCAUAUCAUUACUUUAUUUCUCUGUUUCUUUCUCAAAAGAAGGAAGGUUCCCUCGCCCACAAGGUUUACCGGGGGGGGGGGAGGAGAAGAUAAUGGUGUGGGCCAGGACGUUCAAGAAAGUUUCUCUUUGCCGGGAAGCAGACGGCAGAAAAGCUAAGUUGCUAAAGUUUGAGCAAUCAGUUUUUUAAGUUUUUGAGUUAUUUUCCUUGAACGACCGUGCUUUGUAUGGAAAACCUGUGCGCGGAGGAACCAACUCGUAGCUAGCUGCGCCCUUACUUUGUUUCGAGUCCGCUCAACAACUUAAGUGAGCUGCAACUAGUUGCGACAAGGUUGCUUGUCGGUAGCGACCCCGCCAGCAGGCUGCUGAAGUUCCGCACUCGGCGCUCGCGGCAAGGGUGCCUGCACCGGCAAGUUUCCCUAGAAAGCGUAGGGCAGAACCAUACAAAGCCAAGAGUCGAGUAAAGGAAGUAACACAACAAUUUUUUGCCUAAGAUAAAGUUAUAUUACAAAAAUAACUUGUCGCGCCUCUAAUAAAGUGUUCCAUGACAUGACUGGCAGCGACAAGAAAAGAAGAAAACGGACGGCCUAAUCUACACGACCGCCGUCAACCCUUUUGACCUCGUUCACCCUGUCCACAAUGGGUGCGACGAGGGCCUUAAGUGCGUCAAGAUCAGCGUCCGCUGGCAGCCUCUUGAGGACGUUGGUGAGGUUGAGGCCCGGAUUGUGGAAGGCCACCUUCACCAGCACCUUCUCCAGAACUCCGGCACAAAUCGAGCGUGACUCGUCGGCCAACUGCUUUGGGAUCCGUUCUCGGAGUUGCUGGAGCGCCGCCACCACACCUUUGAAGAACAGAGUGAGCUUGGCACUGGGUUGGAGGUUCUCGUCGGAGGAGUACCCGAAGCCUUCCACCCCCAAUUGCACCAGCUCCUCUUCGAUGACUGCAGCAAUGUUCACGAGGCCCUCCGUCCAGAGCGCCAUGGUAUCUCUCUGGGUUUCGGCGGCCCUCGCUAGCAGCGCCUCGUUGGCCUUGAUGUCCUUCUUCAAGUCCGCCUCCCGUUUCUUGGCGCCGUCCAAUGUCUCCGUCAGGGUGGCCAGCUUCAGCUCCAGAUCAGCAUUGGAAUUCUUGGCGGCGCGCAGCUCUUUGCCCUUCUCGGAGAGUUGGUCCUGCAGCUCACCAUGGGCAAGGGCGUCCUUCUCGCGCUCCAGCUUGAGCACCGCAAGCUCUUCGCCACCCACCUUCAAAUCAGCCUCCAGCUGCGCCACCUUUACUUCCAAUUCCUUCUUGGCGGUCUCGGCAGCCCUAGCCGCAUCCUUUGCCUCUUGGGGCGACCCGCCAAGUGCCCGUUCGCGCGCGGCAAGCUCCUCCUCGUGGCUGUCGAGGUUCACUUUCCGCUGAGCCAGCUCGCCUUCUCGUGCGUACAGCUUCUCGCCGGUGAGCCGCUGCUGCUCUUCAGCUUCGGCCUUCUCGAGGAGGAAGGCCUGCCGCUCUUCAGCAAGCUGCUCCCGCUCCUCCGCCAAGGCCUGGAGAGCUUCCUGGCAAAAACCCCGGAGCUCCUCCACGCGCUUCUCUAUAUCCACGCUCGCUUUCGUGACGAGCGCUUCCUGGGACUCCAACUUGACUUGACGGGCGCGAUAGAGCGCCAGCAGCCUCUGCAGCAGCCGCUCCUCCUCAGGCUCGUCACUGCUGCUUCCCGACGCGUCAACGAUCGACAACCCGGCGGAGGCAAGCACCUCCCCAUCCAAAACUUCUCCUUCCACCGGCGCCUUGGAGCUUGACACCCAAGGGAGCUUGAUGAAGAUGCCCUCGCCAGCCUUCAGAUAGGCGCCGGGAUGGGGCUCCUCGGAGCCUGACGCUGCGGCAGCGGCGGAGGGAUCGGCGGUCGGUGCAGCGCCUGACGCUCCUACGGCCUCAGGGCCGUCAGUGCGAUUGCCAGAUCCCCCGCCAGCUUCCUCGGCGGCAGCCUUGGCGGCCUCUUCACCGGCAGGCACAUCGGCACCAGCUCCGUCUUCGGCGGCCGCGGCAUCAUCAGUGUUGCCGCGCGCGUCCUCUCCGCUGCCCGCCUCGGUCUCCAUCGGAUCCGCGGAGGGUGGACCUGACGACCGGAGAAGAAUGAGAAGUCAAACAAGCACUCAAGAAGAAAAAUCAGCAGAAGAAUACAAAGAAAGUUUCGGGCAGGAAGGAUUACCUAUGCUGGGAUCCGCUGUCAUAAGCUCCACCACCGGCGGAUCGUUAGCGCUGUCCCUUGCCGGAGACUCCUCCCUUGCCGGAGGCUCCUCCCUUACCGGAGAACUCUCCCUUGCCGGGGAGUCCACCCUUGGCGGCGUAGUCGAAGCAGACGACGAGUCGGAGGUGAUCACCAUGCCCUCCUGAUGAAGCUGUUCUGCUCCUGCACAAACAAACCAGUGAUCAAAUGUCAACAAAGGAAAAGCAACCAUGCGCACCCAGAAGCAGAAAGUAAACCAUAUGCUUACGCUGGGGGCUGCUCUGUGAAGUGAUGGCCGGAUCCGGCAAGGUGGUCUCGGGCACGCCUCCUGUCGUCGCAGUGGGCUCGUCCUCGAUGACCACCACCUGAGCCUUGGCCCUCUUCGCCACCCUCUGGGCCAGAGUCCUGAAAAGGGAGAGUCCAGGGUGGGUCAGAUCAGAUGCAAGACAGGAAUGGCAAGUUGAAGAACUACAAGAACAACAAGGGAAUCUUACUCUUCUUCCUCUUCCUCGUCGGAGCUGAGCGCGGAGAGGUCGAAGUUCGGCCCACCUCCGGCGCGACGAGGUGGAGGGGUGGGAUCCCUUGGCCGCUUGGCGGGGACUGUGGCGCCAGCCCGAGAUGACCCCGCCCCAGUUGCCACUGCGGCGGGAGGCGCACCCGCGGCAACCGUACUUGCCGCGGCGGAGCGCGUCGCGCGGCGCUGCGGCUGUUGACCAGCUUGCCGCCCUGCUGCGUCCCCGAUCCUGCGGAGGCGCCUUCUUGGCUGCACUGGGGGCUGCGUUCCGGGCCCUGUUCCCGGCAAGCUCCCCGGAGAUGGCGGGCCGCUCGCACCCUCGGUGGGCUCACUCAACUCGGCGUCGGGCGCGGCAAGCUCUUCUUCGUCUUCGGGCCACUCCCGCUCAGCAAGACUCAUCGCCGAUGCCGCGUCCGCUUCCUCCACCGUGAACCCAAAUUCACCCGCGGCUGCGGCUGCCGCCGCCUCUUCCGCCCUGGUGGCGAUGUGUUCCAUCUCUUGAUCGGUGGUGUCGCGGGUGAGGAGCUUCUUGUCGUCAGCAUUACCGCUACUUCCACUAGGCUAUCGAAGAACUGCUGCACAAUGUCUCCGGCAGGCUCUUGCCAAGUUGGAGCGAUCCCGUGCGAAUCACACAACGGCAUCAUGGCGCAGAUGCGGUCGCGCGAGGAGUUGUUGCACAGAGGAACGAUGCCUGCCGGCAACCUGAACCACUCGGGAUGCUGUGGGUCGUGCUUGAAUAUCUCCUUGAGUAUCCCGUCCAACUCUAUGAUGGUGAAAUUGAAGUUGAGGCCUGGGCGCAACCUCAUGAUAUCUGCCGGGCCUCCAAAUUCCCAGGCGGGUCUCCCCCUCGCCUGCAGAGGGGCAAUGCGCCAGCGAAGGAAAUCUGCGCCGACAGCUCCUACAGUCAGCCCGGCAAGCCUGAGACGCAAGAUCCGAGUGGUGGCGAUCUUCAGUUUGUCGCCGUCCACGGACAGAGCGCUCCAGUCAUUGCCGUGCACUGCUGGGGCUUGGCGCAGGGCGGUGAACGGCUGCGGGCUCUCCUCUACAACCCAGCACCAAUCUGCUCUCCACUCGUCCCACUUGCUGCGGAGCUCCCCCUCCAGAUAGGUCUCCUUCUUGCCGGCCCGCGAGAUCCAGGCGAUCCUGCCGGCAAGAGGUUCCCCUCUCUCGACACGAGGCAUAAAGAAAUGGCGGAAGAGAGCUACGUUGGGGUGGACUCCGACAAAGUUUUCGCAUAGAUGGGCGAAAACUGCCAUGGUCAGAACGGUGUUGGGGGUGAAGUCAAGGAGGUGGAGUCCAUAGGUGUUCAUGACGUCGCAAAAGAAAUCAGAGAAUGGCGGGCAGAGCCCGCAGUAGAAGAACACGGCGAAGAAAGGAUAUCCGCCAACUGGAGCUGCUUGCGAGGCGACGGCGGAGAGUAUCUUCGUGCGCGGAUGCGCCCGCGUCUCCGUCGACCAGAAGAGAUAGUACCACUCCCUCAGCUCCUUCACAGAGAGCUCGGGGGUGAAAGUGGCCCGCUCCUUUCACAGCGCCUCAAGCCGCUGCGCUUCGGUCGACUUCACAGCUUUCGCGGCCGCGGCCUUCGUGGCCUUCCCCUUCCCGGGCUUCGGAGGCAUGGCGGAGGCGGUGGGGGAGAUCGACGGCGCUGGUGGUGGCAGCAGCGACGGGGGCGGAGCGCUGCCCUCUUUCAACUCUGCAAGCGGAGGAGGGCGGCGGAGAUUUCUGAGAUUGCAGCAGCGAAGGGCGGAGGUGGGGGAAAUGCCCCUGUUUCCCCUGCUUAUAAAGAGAGACGGGGCGGAUAUUUCGGCCUUCCAAAUAAACAACCACCCACGAUCUCUCCCACGACUCCGCGAUUGACGCGUGCCGUUACGGGGGGCGCGGUGGAUACGGAGUUAGAUUCAGCAUAACCCAGGCUCCGCGCGUGCCCGUGCCCUGUUUUGGGCCUAGCCCAAUAGCGCUCGGCACCGUGUGUGGCCCAGGCCCGGGGGCUCCUGUCGGUGUACUAGAGUAGGGGUACCCUAGUAUCCCGAACUUGUGCACGGGCAGUUGCAGCGCCGCGCGGCAAGGCUUGCCGGACGACCGCCAGAGUCCUCCGUGGGUUCCUUUGGAGCCAUUCAAGAACAAAGCAUUCAAGAUGAAGAGACAAGGCCCCGGCAAGAGGAUCUUGCCGGGAAGAGACAAGGCCCCGGCAAGAGGAGCUUGCCGGGAAGGCCAACCACGGCACUUCAAGAAACUUGCCGCGAUGCACCGCACGUCCCGGCAAGGUCCAGUGAGCGACAAGCUUCUGGACUCGACAAGACGACGACCCCGACAAGGUACUCGCCGGGGGCCCGCUGCCACUCUGUACCCACGCUCCAGCGCACCCACCCGCGUGUCGCCAUGAGGCUUCCUCAGGGGCGCGUGGCGGGAGCCUGUGCAGCCAGGGGUACACGGUGGCAAGCGGAGAUGAAGAGAAGGCCAUCGUGGCAAACGGUGGCGCUCCUAACGGUCACUUUUUGCACUGUUUAGGCAACUCAGACGGGCAUUCAAUGACCUUGUCCCCUGCCGUCAGAGUUAGGUAGGGUGCACUGUGUCCACAGUAGCGGUAGCUGCACCUACCACAUCCUUUUCCAUUUUUACCCUUCUAGUCUACGUUGCCACCUGUCGGUGACCCCUUGAAAGUAUAAAAGGAGGCCCAAGCGCAACGUAGAGGGGGGUUCGGCUCAUUCAAAACAUCAGGAACACUCUCACGCUCGGUCGGGCAGCGUCCAUCGCUCCUGAGUAAGAAUUCAAUACACACAAACAAGCAGCAGUAGGGUUUUACGCAUCCGUGCGGCCCGAAGCUGGGUAAAACUGCUCGCGUGUACUGUCUCGAUCCGCUCUUUGCGCGGCCUCCGCCCCCCUCCGAACCGAAAGGGGCCCGGUCCCCAUAGGUGUUGGUGGAUCAGUUUCCCCGACAGGAAUGAAUGAAAUGUAUCUAAGAAGAAAGGAAGCCAUGCUCCAUCCUGUUUCUAAAAAGAACAUCACCUCCAUUUUUGGUUAGAUACCGCUCCGUUAGGUACUAAUGCUUCUACCUAUCACCCGGAGGGUGAGUUAGAGAGCUGUGUUUUUUUCCAACGUUAAUAGCAUUCCGCGAGAAAAGUCAUCUACUGAUGUUGUCAGCGGAGUCCCUCGUCCAUCCAUGUAUGAAUAGCGGUAUCCCCCAUUUUGGACAGUGAUGAGGUAGUCGGCUCAAUUUGCAUGUGUAUUUGCGUUCGGCUUUGCUACUUUCCUUCUAGAAAAGAAUGUCCGCGGAAGGGAAUAGUCUACGUGGCCCGGGGUAGUCUUUCAAUUCCUUUAUCGGGUGGGAGAGUUUAGAACCAGUUAAGCCAAUAGCUACUGCUUUAGUCACACUAGCUACAUCAGUUGAUCAUGGAUUUAGCAUACCACCUCAGAAUAGUCUACGUGGCCCCUUGUUUUUACUACAAUUUGAUAUAGUGAAUCCAGUAAUGCAGACAACCCUUUUUAGAGCGCUUUUAAAGCCUCUGACUCUCAAAAAGAGCUUGAGGUUUUGCCUCAACUCAUUCCAUGAAUGUUGUUUCAUUCCCCAUGCGGCUGAAUCCAACUCAGUCUUUAUCCUGCCUUGGAGUUCUCUCUCAUAACUGAAGCCAGGAGGUAUUCGAUUUAUCGAAUUUCGAGCUAGCUGCCCUUUUCUUGCUCCUUGCCAUUAGCGCAGCCCUUUUCUUUUUCUUAGCUAGCGUAGUUUUUCACCUUCAAAAGAAGGCGCCAGCGCUUUUGUAGUGACCCCUCCGGGGUCCUGGGUUGCUUUGGCGCGCCCCACCCCGUCAGUCCUGUGUUGUACUUGACUUGACUCUCCCCUGCUUGCUGCUUGCUGAUCGCAGUGUUCAAAAAUGACACGAAGCUGGAUAUGAGUAGAUGUUGUUGGUCGAAAACGUCUUUCAUUCACAAUGAAACAGAAUGGUCUCGCUCGAUGCGACAUUUUAGAAUGUGUAUUUUCAUAUUAAGAGUUCUUAAAAAUUUUGAGUGCUUGAAAUGUUGAUUGUGGACUAUUGUAUUGGACUAGCUACAAUUAUCAUAGCUAUAAAAUAGUUGUUUGGACUCAGUAAUGCACCUGCUACCUUCCAAUCUUUAAUGAAUCAUGUUUUUGCUCCGGAAAUACCUUUUGGUAUUCUUUGAUGAUAUUCUGAUAUAUAGCAAGACCAAACAAGCUCAUCUCAAGCAUCUAAAGUUAGUCCUGGACAUUCUAAGGUCAUAAAAACUAUAUGCUAAGACUAGCAAAUGCAGUUUUCCUGUCCCUCAAGUGGAGUAUUUAGGGCAUGUUAUCUAAGGAUAGGGUCUAUCUACAGACCCCCACAAAAUAGUUGCCAUCAAAGAAUGGCCAGCACCUAAGACUAUCACUCAGUUGAGGAGUUUUCUUGGUAUGGCUGCAGAAAAAGAAGUUUUUUCAAGAAUUAUGGGAUAAAUUCUAGGCCACUUCAUGACUGUCUAAAAAAAGAAUCAUUCCAGUGGUCAGAUGCUCAAAUUGAGGCCUUCACAACAUUGAAGAAUUGUCUGGUCACUGCUCCUGUUAUGGCUUUGCCUGAUUUGACCCUACCAUUUACUUUUUAAACAGAUGCAUCAGGUCAAGGUAUUGGUUCUGUCCUCAUGCAACAAGGCAGACCAAUUGCUUAUUUCAGUAAAACCCUUGGACCCAGAAAUGCAGCUAUGUCAACUUAUGAUAAGGAGAAGCUUUAGCUAUUUGUGAAUCCUUGAAGAGAUGGCGCCACUACUUUCUUGGUUCCCAAUUCUUUUAUUGAUCAAAACUGAUCAACAGAGCCUUAAAUACAUCACAGAACAAAACGUCUCUGAGGGCAUCCAGCACAAGCUUUUGUGAAAAUUGCUUGAAUUCAAUUACAAGAUUGAAUACAAAAAAAGAAAACAAGGUUGCAGAUGCUUUGAGCAGAAGAGAUUCUCUUAUGAUGGCAGUCGCUGCAGUUACUCCUGCUUGGGCUUCAACUGUAGAAACCAGCUACACUAAUGAUGAUUGUCGGUGUCAAAACCGGUGGAUCUCGGGUAGGGGGUCCUGAACUGUGCGUCUAGGCGGAUGGUAACAGGAGACGAGGGACACGAUGUUUUUACCCAUGUUCGGGCCCUCUCGAUGGAGGUAAAACCCUACUCCUGCUUGAUUAAUAUUGAUGAUAUGGGUAGUACAAGAGUAGAUCUACCACGAGAUCGGAGUGGCUAAACCCUAGAAGCUAGCCUAUGGUAUGAUUGUUGUUCGUCCUACGGACUAAAACUCUCCGGUUUAUAUAGACACCGGAGAGGGCUAGGGUUACACAGAGUUGGUUACAAUGGGAGGAUAUCUUCAUAUCGUAUCGCCAAGCUUGCCUUCCACGCCAAGGAAAGUCCCAUCCGGACACGGGACGGAGUCUUCAAUCUUGUAUCUUCAUAGUCCGGGAGUCCGUCCAUCCGGACCGGCCAUCCGGACACCCCCUAAUCUAGGACUCCCUCAGUAGCCCCCGAACCAGGAUUCAAUGAGGACGAGUCCGGCGCGCAACUUGUCUUCGGCAUUGCAAGGCGGGUUGUCCUGCAAAUCCUCUGUAUCCGUCGAAUAGUGUACGGCUUCUAGUGUGUGCUGUCCUCCUUGGCUUAUGUGCCCCAUAAUGACCAUCUUCCAUGCGUCAAACGAAUGCAAAAAGCCAGGGGUUUUCUUUUCACUUACCCCCCGGUUGCAUUAAUGAGCCGCCCAUAAAAGAGACGGGGAUUUAGAUCCAAUUCGCACCAUCUUCCCUCCGCGAGUCUUCAUUAGAGCGCCUCUGACAGAGAUCCAUUCCAUCAUGGCCAGUCGGUGCCGCUCCUCCUCUUGCCCUUCCAGCCCUCGGCCCGGAGAUUGGGGGCAGUGCUCCGUCCCGCAUAGCAAGUUAGUAGUGCUUCAGUCCAAGGGGCUUCUCCCCCCAGCAUAUAUGGUCCCACUUCGAGCCGGGAUUGCUGCUUAUAGCUGCGGAGAGCAGGCGGAGGGUGUUCCCAAUCCCUCUCAAGGAGAGCGGGUAUGCCUAUUCCCUUAUUUGAUGAUAGGAUUAGGAUUUCCAAUCCAUACGUUUCUCCGAGGGUUGCUGGAGUUCUACGGCCUCCAGCUACAUAACCUCACGCCCACCUCCAUUUUGCACAUCGUGGGCUUCGUGGCCCUCUGCGAGCUGUUCUUGGGUGUUGAAGUCCAUUUCACGUUGUGGAAGAGGUUGUUUUGCCUUGUGGCCCGUUCUUAGGAGGGGUCUAUUUAUCAGGUGGGCGGAGCCGAACUAUGGCGCAUUGCCGGGACCGGAUAUCUAUCCGACAAAAGAGGGCGUCCGAAGACUGGCCCUCGGAGUGGUUUUAUAUAGAUGACGUCCCCCUGCCGGACCCUGUACGGAUCGGCCUCCCCGAGUUCAAUAACACCCCGUUGAAGAAGCGCCUGAGUUGGCGCCCACGGAACCCUCAGAGGGAAGCUGACAGGGACGUCCUGUACCUGAUGAGCCGGAUAAGGUUGUUGGCUCAUUCCGUAUUGACCAUGAUUAAGGUCAUGGCCAUAUGCAUUACGCGAGGGGCGCAACCGCUUCAAUACAGAGGCCACCCCAUGUGGGAUUUCAACGGAGAGGAUGACGCUACCCGGUGCGGUCGCAAGGGGCCAGAUUCGGCUGCCACUUUAACGAGAAUCUUAUCCGCUUUGUACAAGGGGGAAGAGGAAGAAUUCCUCCGUAUCAACCCGGAAGGCGGAUUCUCCAUGUACAAUCCUCCUAGUUGGGUGAGUGGACACUUUCACUUGCCUAUCCAUUUUUGAAAUUCCUGUAGUUGAGUACUUAGUCUAGUAAUGUUUAAACGCAGGAGUUGCGCCAGGUUGUGAAGGAAAUAAACAGCCCUACUCCACAACCCGAGGACCCGGAACGGCCCCUCGAUCCAGACUCCCAAGAAGAUCCGGACUUAUGCGUGGAGUUGAUUGAUGGAGUAUUUCAUCAAUUGAGCAAGGAUAAGUCCUUAGUGGCCAUUACGGCCGACUAUCCCGGACUACUUCCAGCCUCCAAGGUAACUAAGACCGAAGUCCCAGUAUUCUCAUGUUUUAUCUUGCAUGCCAUGUACUAACAGCAUUUCGCAGGGUAAAUCCUUGAGGCGGAAGGCCGAGCCCACGGUGGGCAGCCAACAAGGGCCGCCGAAGCUAGGCGGGCCAAAAAGAAGUGCGGACCGGAUCGAGAUUCCGGCGCAACGGUAUGGCGUGCGGAUUUAACGCCUAGGGUUUAUGCCCUUGAGUCUUACUAAUGCUCAUGAUUUUCUUAGAAAGAAGAUAAGCCGCCGGACUAUGUCCGCCGGUCAAGGUUCGAGGCCGGGUCCGGAAGCAGAGGCGGACACGGGACGCGCCUCGGGCGCUCCUCCGACAGAGGGCGCCGACGGGCUAUCUGCCACCAAUUCAGAGGUGGAGAGUGCCCUGAACCACAGGCGUCGCUGGACUGUUCUUCGUGACGCGUGUUUUUCCCAGAGGCAUUGGACGCCUUUAAUAUAGGAGAUGCGUAUCUCCGUGCUGCUCAAAAUGGUCUAGCCAGAGCCACGGAGCAGUAUGUGAAAGACAUACAGGUGAGUAAAAUUCAAGGUUAUAUAUGUCAGUAGCCCCCGAGACUUGAAACAAUGAAGAUAAUUGUUUGAAGGAUCAUGUGCUAUGCAGUGUCUUACAAAGAAGAACACGCAAUUGUCCCAGGAGCUCGAAGAGUGCAAGGCUCAGCUCGAGGCCGCAUUGGCCACUUCAGAGAAUGUCAAGGGGACACCCGCAGGUAAUAUAUGCUUCGAAAGGUACUUCCGUUUUAAAAUGCGGCAGGCGUGCAACCCUGACGAUAAUAAUGCAGAUGAGGCCGGAGUAAAUCCGGACCAGCAACAACUCCUACACCAACUAAAGGCUGGCGAGAGUGUGCUGACGAGGGUGAGGCAAGAGAAGAACAAGCUUCAAGACGCCAAUACCCAGCUAGGCGAGGAACUGAAAGAUGUUCGUAUUCAGCUGUCUUCUACCGUGAAGGAGAAUUGGCGACUUCGAGCAGCAUUUUUAGUAAGUGCUUGAACGAAUCUUCAAAAAAAUAAUUCGGCGAGGAAGUCGAUUGACAGAGCUAUGUCCGUAGGUCUGCUGACGGGUCGUCCAGCGGAGGAAAUGCCCGGUUCAUCCGGAGACCUUCUUCCCGAGCUGUUGCAACUACACGAACGAGUUCGGCAGGCAAUGCAAAGCGUCAUCCAGGCUAUGUGGCCAUCCCUCUCCGUGCCCGAAGCCUUGAGGAGCUUACCAAGAAGCUGGAGGGAGUGCGGCAGCGCUUCCGGUUGUGGAAGAUAUCGGCUUGCCGUUAAGGUGCCAGGGAGGCCUGGGCCAUGGUGAAGACUCGGUACACGAAGGCUGACCCAAACCACAUGGCCGAGGUCGGCCCUAUAGGUCCGGAUGGAAAGGAGAUCCCGGUCAGCUUAGCAUAUGGCCAGGUGGAGCUGGCUACAAAGUAUUCCCAACAGGACUGUAAAUUAGACCGCCUGUUGGAUGGUAUUGAAGAAGAAUAUGCCGAGUCGGAUUGACUCUGUAAAAAUGACAUAAAAAUGCCUUCUAGCCGGAUUGUAGAUCGUUUGUCAUUGCGGACCUUUUCGCUUCGACCUCUGGACCCUAUAGUCCGGAGUGUGUCCGAAUACCCUCUCAGUUAUGUAAGAACCGGGGCAUGCAUGGAGACAAGGCGUAGGGGUCAUAAGUGCUUUAGCAGACAAGUGCCCAACUAGUUAUGUUAUAUUACAUGGUUAGUAAGAAACAUCUUCCAGAGAGAAUAGUUCCGUUAGGGGUUCCUUUCCCUGGGAGGCAUGCCCUAAAGUGCAUAUCCGAACUGCCGGAAAGAGCAGAAAAGCAUCUGGGGGCAAAUGAAUAAAUACGAAAGAUCAUCUUUUAGUUCACCGACCGAAUAUUCCCUUAAGAACGCUAACUUUCGGCUUCACCCAGUCUGAGGUACACAUCCGGCUGACCCGGUAGUAACAAUCGCAGAGGUUCUCCCUUUACCACCUAGCCGAACGAACGGGAACGUAGGGGUAAGCACAGGAGCCAGGCAACCCAGCUUGGCCAAAACUUAGUCAUAUCGAUGCAUAUAAUGGUGUAUAAAAGGUUCAUGUGGAAGCAUCACACAUGUUUUGGGCAUGAGGCCCGUUUUAUAUAAACUUCUUGGUAGAGAAGCCCCCAGGUAUUAUGAGCGCAUGUAGCGCGUCGGGUAUGUGCGAAUAUUGCACAGGCAAGCCCCUAAGGGCUUGUGAGAAAAAAAGGUAGGGAGAAGGAACAAAAUCCCGGACUGCCAAAAAUAAAAAUAAAAAUAAAAAAUAAAACAAAGGUACGAGGGAAGGAAACGAACACGGAGUCCGGCGCUAGGCGUAGAACCUUCGUAGGCGUGCUGCGUUCCAUGGGUUCGGCUCGAGUCGGUUAUCCGAUGCGUUUCGCAGACGGUACGCUCCGCCGGUCAGUACUUGGUCGAUGAUGAAGGGGCCCUCCCAUUUGGGCUUUAAUUUAUCCUUUUUCUUGUUUGGCAGGCGUAGAACUAGUUCGCCAACGUUAUAGGUUUUGGCCCUUACUUCUCUGCUUUGGUAUCUUCGAGCCUGCUAUUGAUAGAAUGUGGAACGAGCUUUUGCCACGUCGCGCUCCUCUUCCAAUGCGUCCAAGCUGUCCUGCCGAUCGAGCUCGGCUUCUCUUUCUUCGUACAUGCGCACUCGAGGUGAGUCAUGGAUUAAGUCGCAUGGCAGUACUGCCUCUGCACCGUAUACCAUAAAAAAUGGUGUGAAUCCGGUAGUGCAAUUCGGCAUGGUCCGCAGCCCCCAGAGUACGGAGUCAAGCUCCUCUACCCAGUGCGUGUUAGAUUCCUUGAGGGAUCGCACUAGUCUGGGUUUGAUGCCGCUCAUAAUGAGACCAUUGGCCCGUUCGACUUGACCAUUAGUUUGAGGGUGAUAGACUGAAGCAUAGUCGAGCUUGAUGCCCAUGUUUUUGCACCAAAGUUUGACUUCAUCGGCCGUGAAGUUUGUGCUGUUGUCCGUUAUGAUUCUGUGGGGGACGCUGUAACAGUGUACGACCCCGGAUAUGAAGUCUAUCACUAGUCCGGAUUCGGCCGUAUUUACAGGCUUGGCUUCUAUCCAUUUGGUGAAUUUGUCCACCAUGACCAGUAGAUAUUUUUGCUUGUGGGUUCCUCCUUUAAAGGGUCCGACCAUGUCAAGCCCCCAGACCGCGAAAGGCCAGGUAAUGGGUAUAGUUUGUAGGGCGGUAGGUGGCAUGUGGCUUUGGUUGGCAAAUAACUGGCAACCAACACAUCGUUGCACUAAGUCCUGAGCGUCUGCCCGGGCCGUUGGCCAAUAAAAUCCGGUAUGGAAGGCCUUGCUUACAAGGGCCCGGGCUGCGGCGUGGUGCCCGCCAAGUCCGGCAUGAAUUUCAGCCAAAAGGUCUCGCCCUUCCUCUUCGGAGAUACACCUUUGAAGGACUCGGGUUGUGCUUUUCUUGUAAAGCUCUCCCUCGUGGACUUUGUAGGCUUUAGAUCGCCGCACUAUGCAGCGGGCUUCGUUUUGGUCCUCGAGAAGUUCCUGCCUAGUUAGGUAGGCUAGGAAUGGUUUUGUCCAAGGGGCAAUGACUGCCAUUAUUGCGUGGGCUGACGGUGUUGUUUCGUUGGCGGAGCCCCCAACUGUGUCAGAAUGUUCGGUGAGGGGUGGUGUAGUUGUGUCCGGGCUAUUGUUUCCGGAUUCUCCUUCCCAUGAUAUAGAUGGCUUAAACAGCCUUUCUAGGAAGAUGUUGGAAGGGACGGCCUCGCGCUUGGCGCCAAUGCGUGCCAGCACGUCUGCUGCUUGGUUAUUUCCUCGGGCUAUGUGAUGAAAUUCGAUCCCCUCAAACCGAGCUGACAUCUUUAAGAUGGCAUUCCGGUAAGCUGCCAUUUUCGGAUCCUUGGCGUCGAAGUCUCCAUUUAUUUGGGAUAUUGCGAGAUUUGAAUCCCCGCAGACCUCUAGGCGUUGAAUGCCCAUGGAGACUGCCAUCCGGAGGCCAUGUAAAAGGGCCUCGUAUUCGGCUGCAUUGUUGGAAUCCGUGUACAUUAUCUGAAGUACGUAUUGGACUGUGUCUCCGGUUGGGGACGUCGGAAUGAUGCCAGCCCCCAGGCCAGCCAACAUUUUGGAGCCGUCGAAGUGCAUGAUCCAGUUGGAGUAUGCGCCGUACUCUUUAGGGAGUUCGGCUUCAGUCCAUUUAGCGAUAAAGUCGUCCAAAACCUGCGACUUAAUAGCUCGCCUUGGCUUGUAGGUUAUGUCAAACGGGAGGAGCUCGAUGGCCCAUUUGGCAAUCCCGCCUAUUGCGUCGUGGUUGUUUAUAAUAUCAUUAAGGGGUACUUCGGAUGCCACUAUUAUGGAGCACUCUUGAAAGUAGUGUCGCAGCUUCCGGGAUGCCAUGAACACCGCGUAUGCUAUCUUUUGAUAAUGCGGGCACCAUGACUUGCAUGGAGUUAGUACAGUGGACACGUAGUACACUGGUUUUUUGGAGGGGGAACUUGUGUCCUUCCGCUUCUCGUUCGACGACGAGCAUCGCGCUUACAACUUGAUGGGUUGCCGCGAUGUAUAAUAGCAUUGGUUCGCCCGUUUUGGGCGCGGCCAGGACCGGAUUUGUUGCCCGUAUGGCUUUUAUUUCUUCGAGUACGGCCGUGGCGGCAUCCGUCCACUCGAAGUGGUCGGUGCGCCGCAGGAGGCGAUAGAGGGUUAAUGCCUUUUCUCCUAAGCGGGAGAUAAAGCGGCUUAGAGCCGCCACGCAUCCUGUCAGUUUUUGUAUUUGUUUGAGGUCCUUUGGGGUAUCCAAUUGUGACAGAGCUCGGAUCUUGGCUGGGUUUGCUUCAAUUCAUCUACCGGAUACGAUGAAGCCCAAGAGCUUUCUAGCUGGUAUGCCGAAAACACAUUUUUCCGGGUUGAGCUUAAUGUCAUAUGUUUGGAGAUUGUCGAACGUGAGCCUCAAGUCGUCUACUAGAGUAUCGACGUGUUUUGUUUUGACGACCACGUCAUCUACGUAUGCUUCAACUGUUUUGCCGAUCUGGUUGGCCAAACAUGUCUGAAUCAUGCGCUGAUAUGUUGCGCCGGUGUUUUUGAGCCUGAAGGGCAUCGUGUUGAAGCAGAAUGGGCCGUAUGGGGUGAUGAAUGCCGUUGCGGCUUGGUCUGACUCUGCCAUCUUGAUUUGAUGGUAGCCAGAGUAUGCACCGAGGAAACACAAUGAGUCGUGUCCUGCGGUGGCGUCGAUGAUUUGAUCAAUUCGGGGGAGUGGGAAAGGGUCCUUUGGACAGGCCUUGUUUAGGUCUUUGAAAUCAACACAUAGGCGCCAAGAUAUGUCCUUCUUUGGUACCAUCACCAGGUUUGCUAGCCAGUCCGAAUGUUUUAUGUCUCUGAUGAAUUCGGCUUCCAGCAGUUUUGCUAGCUCCUCUCCCAUGGCUUGUCUCUUGGGUUCAGAAAAAACGCCGUAGGGUCUGCUUGACGGGUUUAAACCCUUUUAGGAUGUUCAGGCUGUGCUCGGCCAGCCUGCGUGGGAUUCCUGGCAUAUCCAAGGGGUGCCAGGCGAAAAUGUCCCAAUUUUCUCGCAGGAAGUCUCUGAGUGCGGCGUCUACAUCGGGUUUUAAUUGUGCCCCGAUGGAGGCCGUUUUUGUAGGGUCCGUUGGAUGGACUUGGAAUUUGACUAUUUCGUCCGCUGGUUUAAAAGAGGUGGACUUGGAUCUCUUGUCUAGUAUCACAUCGUCCCUGUCCACCGUAGAGCGCAACGCCGUUAAUUCCUCGGCCGCUAGGGCCUCAGAUAAUGCCUCCAGGGCCAGUGCGGCUGUCUUGUUUUCAGCGCGGAGCGGUAUGUCCGGAUCACUUGCAAGAGUGAUGAUUCCGUUAGGUCCGGGCAUUUUGAGCUUCAUGUACCCGUAAUGGGGUAUGGCUUGGAAAAUUCUAAAUGCUUCUCGCCCUAGUAGAGCGUGGUAUCCGCUGCUGAACGGGGACACUUGAAACGUGACCUCCUCGGAUCUGUAAUUAUCCGGCGUGCCGAACACCACAUCCAGUGUGAUUUUUCCUGAACAGCACGCUUCCCGGCUUGGGAUUAUUCCCCUAAAAGUUGUCUUGCUUCGCUCAAUGCGGAUCCAGUCAAUUUCCAUUUUUCGCAGGGUUUCCUCGUAGAUGAGGUUGAGUCCGCUGCCGCCAUCCAUGAGUACCUUUGUAAGUCGGAAGCCGUCCACUAUCAGACUGAGGACCAAUGCGGCUGGUGCCCGGGCUGUCCGGAAUUUAAGUUCUUCACUGGCAUUAAAGGUGAUAGCUGUGUCACUCCAUGGGUUUAUUGUUGCUACUUGGUAGACUUCGGCAAGGUUGCGGAGCGUUCAUUUCCUUGCAUUGUUUGAUGUGAAGGUCUCAAAGACUGUCGACACAGUACUGGGGAGGUAUUCUUCGGGUGCUGGGGUUAAAAGCUCCUCGCCACUUCUGGCCACCUGCCGUAGUAUCCAACAUGCUCUGAGGCUGUGCGUUGGUGUGGCUUUCCCUGAAUUAUGAAUUUUACAGGGUCCAUUGAGCCAUCCUUCUAGUACAGUCCCAUACCCUGUAGAGGGUUUUUGUUUUUUGAUGUUUGGCUCAGAUGCCUAGCGAUAAUGCGCCCUUUUGUUUCGGACUCGUGUUAUAUUCGGGGGCGGAUUGUCCCAGAAUUUAUCUUCGGUUUUCCGAACGCUUUCAGUCGCACAGUACUUUCGUACUAUGGAUGUCAAGUCGGCGAAUCGUGUAAUUUCGCGGCGACUUAUGGCGUUGAGGAUUCCGAUGUCCGUGCAGUUGUUAUAGAAGAGUGAAAUUGCUUCUUUCUCACGGCAGUCCUUUAUCCUGUUCAUAACCAGGAGGAAUCUGGCCCAGUAGUGGUGUACUGUUUCUCCGGACUCUUGCCGGAUUAGGGAUAAAUCCAGUAUAGUUGGGUGGGCGGGUGGAAUUAAAUCCAGAAACCUGCCCGAUGUAAGAUUCAGGGGCCGAGUGGUUUCUGAAUUCGGAAGCUUGCUUUCUUGGAUAUUAUUCAAUGAAUCGGGCCUGCUGCCUGACUUUAGGUUCAGGGUUUGGGCGACAUCCUCCACUCCGCGGGUAUCCGGCUUGGAGGGAUCGGGAAUCCGGACGCAUCUAGUCCUUAGGGCGGGCGAAGACUCGCCGCAUUUUUCUUCCACCACUUCGACGUGAUGGGUGAUCUGGGGAGAUUCAAUGUCUCUCUGAUCGGGUUUAAUCCCAAUCUGGUCGUAAUCAGUAGCGACUCCCAGGGCCGUGAUGCGAUCCAAGAGCUCGUUCAGGGAGAAGAGCUCCAUCGGAUCUAACUGCUCGGCAAGCUCCGAGCUGAUGUGAAGAUUGCUUUCGAUGGCCCGAGAGGUCAUCGUCGGUGCAACGGCCGGACAGGCGGUCAUCAAAAACCUGCCUAGCCGGAGAGUUUGGCCGACAGCCAAAGCUCCUUUAGCAACGAUGCCGUCUUUAAAGACGGGAUGCGGCAUCCUUCCUGAUGGUGACGACACAGCGGAACUCUCAAUGAAAGCACCAAUGUCGGUGUCAAAACCGGCGGAUCUCGGGUAGGGGGUCCCGAACUGUGCGUCUAGGCGGAUGGUAACAGGAGACGAGGGACACGAUGUUUUUACCUAGGUUCGGGCCCUCUCGAUGGAGGUAAAACCCUACUCCUGCUUGAUUAAUAUUGAUGAUAUGGGUAGUACAAGAGUAGAUCUACCACGAGAUCGGAGUGGCUAAACCCUAGAAGCUAGCCUAUGGUAUGAUUGUUGUUCGUCCUACGGACUAAAACUCUCCGGUUUAUAUAGACACCGGAGAGGGCUAGGGUUACACAGAGUCAGUUACAAUGGGAGCAGAUCUUCAUAUCGUAUCACCAAGCUUGCCUUCCAUGCCAAGGAAAGUCCCAUCCGGACACGGGACGAAGUCUUCAAUCUUGUAUCUUCAUAGUCCGGGAGUCCGGCCAUCCGGACACCCCCUAAUCCAGGACUCCCUCAAUGAUCACUGCAAAUCUCUGCUUGAGAAGCUCACUGUAUUAGCCAAUGCAGCACCCCCUUAUACUCUUCAUUCUGGCAUUUUGAAAUAUAAAGGAAGAAUAUAUGUGGGAUCAGAUGCUGUUCUUAAACACCAAAUCAUUGAUUCACUUCACAACUCUCCCAUAGGAGGCCAUUCAGGCAUUGUGGCUACUUAUCAAAGGGUAAAAAAGCUAUUUGAUUGGCGCCAAGCCAGGAGAUUGAAACUUUUCUACAUGAGUGUGCAGUUUGCCAAAGAGUCAAGGGAGAGCAUUCCCACUACCCUGGUCUCCUAGAUCCACUGACAUUACCUACUUCUGCUUGGACUGACAUCUCCUUGGAUUUCUUUGAGGGUCUUCCCAAAUCAUUGGGCAAAGAAUUCAUAUUGUUGGUGGUGGACAGGUUCACUAAAUAUUCUCAUUUCAUUCCCCUUGCUCACCCUUAUACAGUACAAUCAGUCUCUCAUGCUUUCAUGGAUAAUGUUUUUAAGUGGAAUGGAUUGCCAAAGUCAAUAGUCUCUGAUAGAAACUGGAUAUUCACAAGUAACAUGUGGCAGGCCUUCUUCAAAGCACUGCAAGUGAAAUUGAGGUUUAGCUCUGCCUACCACCCACAAUCAGAUGGCCAGACAGAACGUGUGAAUUAGUGUGUGGAAAAUUACUUGCAUUGCAUGGUUUUUCAGCAGCAAGGAAGUGGGCUAGUUUGGAUCAAGCAAAUGCCACUUGGGAGGAUGCCGACUUCAUCAAAGGUCUCUUUCCGGAGUUCUAUACAGCUCCUAUUCGUGGUUGGUACCCUAAUUCCAACACUUGAAAAUGCUUUGGGGGAGGUAUUGUCAUAUCUGAAGAUUACUGUAUCUAACUCUCGAUUGAAUUCAGAGUGCUGCCUUUACUUCAUCUACCGUGAACGGGGCCAAGAGGCUUGCGUUCAUUUCUUCAGUUACUCGCCUGUUUACUUUCCCCAGUAGCCCAGGGUCGGGAGCUAGGACUUCUGAGGUGAACAGUCCCUCAAAGUAACCCUGUAUCAGAGAUGCUAACUGGUCAUUACCUUCGAUCCUGUUGCGGUUUGAGUCAUUCAGAAACUUUAUUAUGUUCUUCUUUUUUCUCCGUUGCAAAAUGAUGUGAUGAAAGAAGCUUGUAUUCCGGUCUCCAUGGCGGAGCCAAUUAGCCCUUCCUCUUUGCAGCCAUUAAUCCGAGUGCAAACUCUCUUAAUUCAGUGUUGGAAGCAGUCUCUCCUAUCCACUCCAAACAGGGAGGGGAGCCCCAAGUAUUUGUCAGUGAGUGAUUCGGUGACAAUAUUCAGCAGGUUGCAUACCUCUUGUCUGUCCCCCUAUCUGUCUAAGGGUCCUUGGUAAAACUCUCUUCAUUGAAGGCAGCACGUGGGUAUCCAUCUUAUCUACGGUCUGCGAGUCAUCCACAUGUAACACCCACGAUGCGGCUAUAUCUCCCACGUGUCGAAGCACGACUUAGAGGCAUAACCGCAUGGUGGUUUUGUCGCAAGAAGGGUCAUCUUCACACAAUCCCAUGUAAUGAGCAAGAAUGGGAUAAAGAGAGUUGGCUUACAAUCGCCACUUCACACAAUACAUAAUUAAGAUCAUACAUCAUUCAAAAUACACUCAUAGACCGGCUACGGUCAAAUUCAAAUGAAAAGAAGACAACCCCAAAUGCUAGAUCCCCGAUCGUCCCGACUGGGCACCUCUACUGAUCAUUUGGAAACGAUACAUAGUAACGACCAAGGGCCUCAUCAAUCUCCCACUUCAGCUCAGUUGCGCCAUCGACGCUGGUAUCCUCGGCACCUGCAUCUGUUUUGGUAGAAUCUGUGAGCCACGGGGACUCAGCAAUCUCACACCCGCGAGAUCAAGACUAUUUAAGCUCAUAGGUAGGACAAGGGGGUAAUAUGGUGGAGCUGCGGCAACCACUAAGCAUAUAUGGUGGCUAACAUACGCAAGUGAGAGAGAGAAGAGAAGCAACGCAACGGUCGAGAAGCUAGAAUCGAUCAAGAAGUGAUCCUGAAACUACUUACGUCAAGAUAACUUAAACCAUGUUCACUUCCCGGACUCCGCCGAGAAGAGACCAUCACGGCUACACACACAGUUGAUGUAAUUUUAAUGAAGUCAAGUGUCAAGUUAUCUACAACCGGACAUUAACAAAUUCCCAUCUGCCUCAUAACCGCGAGCACGGCUUUCGGAAGAUAAUAUACCCUGCAGGGGUGUCCCAACUUAGCCCAUCACAAGCUCUCACGGUCAACGAAGGAUAUACCUUCUCCCGGGUAGACCCGAUCAGUCUCGGAAUCCCGGUUCGCAAGACAUUUCGACAAUGGUAAAACAAGACCAGCAAAGCCGCCUGAUGUGCCGACAAAUCCCGAUAGGAGCUGCACAUAUCUCGUUCUCAGGGCACACCAGAUAGGUCAGUCUACGAGUAAAACCAGACCUCGAGUUGCCCCGUGGUGGCCCCGCAGUCUUCCUGUUUCGGACCAACACUCGAAGGAGCACUGGCCCGGGGGGUUAAAAUAAAGAUGACCCUUGGGCUCGGGAAAACCCAAGGGAAAAAGGCUUAGGUGGCAAAUGGUAAAACCAAGGUUGGGCCUUGCUGGAGGAGUUUUAUUCAAAGCGAACUGUCAAGGGGGUCCCAUAAAUCACCCAACCGUGUAAGGAACGCAAAAUCAAGGAACAUAACACCGGUAUGAUGGAAACUAGGGUGGCAAGAGUGGAACAAGUCACCAGGCAUAAGGCCGAGCCUUCCACCCUUUACCAAGUAUAUAAGGUGCAUUAAUUAAACAGGAGAUAAUGGGAUAUCCCAAAAUAUCCAUGUUCCGACCAGGAACAAACUUCAUCUUCACCUGCAACUAGCAACGCUAUAAGCGGGGCUGAGCAAAAGCGGUGACAUGGCCAAACAACGGUUUGCUAGGAUAGGAUGGUUAGAGGUUUGACAUUGCAAUAGGGAGGCAUGAUAAACAGUUGCAGGUAGAACUAACAUAGCGAUAGAGCGAGUACUAGCAAGCAAAGAUAGAAGUGAUAUCGAAGGUAUGGUCAUCUUGCCUGCAAGGUUCUCAGAGUUGUCGAAGGCUUGAUCCUUGUUAGCAUACUUAACAGGUUCCUCGUGCACGUACUCGUCUCCCGGGUCUACCCAAAGCAAGAACACAAGCAAAGGAACCACAAUAAAUCUCGGUGCAAUGCACAAGCAACAUGAUGCAAUACAUGUCAUGAUAUGCGAGAUGUGAUAUGCAAUGCUUAUGCGUGCUUCGGGAGGAAAAAUGAUGAGCAAGGCAUCAACUUGGCAAACCAAGUAUGCCGCUGGAAAGAUGAGAUGAUUUCGGUUGAAAUCGAUAUGAAGAUCACCGGAAACGGAUGCACUGUUUGCAAAUGGCAAUCAAAACAAGAAUGGCGCAAAGCUGCGAUUAACAGCACGAUGCUACUUAGCAUGCAACAAGAAACUAUGCUACAGCACCCCAACAUACCAACAAAGCAUAUGGCAGUGAUCUACAGGAGAUGCUUAACAAAAGAGGAACACUGAGCUAUGGCUAAAUCACAUCAUAACAGGUUCAAACAAGCAUGGCAAAAGAGCUAAAAAUAUCAGGUUGGACAUGGCAUAAACAGCAUCACGAAGCAAUGUUCAGAGCAAGUUAUCAACAAGUUACAAGACCUUAUAAUAUCAAAACAAGACAUGGCAUGAUUCUACUCGAAGCAUAGAUCAAAAGUCCCUUACUGACCAUAAGCCAAAAAGGACCAGAAGAUAUGAUGGCACCCAUGUGAACAUAGCAAGUUUCGUUAACAGAUUCACCAAAGAGAGCAUGGCAUUGACAGAAUUACGAAGGCACCUUCGCGAGCUCUAUGCACUCACUACAGAGCAUUUCAUGAUAAACUAAGCAUACAUACAUCAAGAAGACAUGGCAUAGAAGCUAUACAUGGCAAGAACAACAUCAUAGCAUACACGGAUCAACUACAACAACCUUGGCAAAAUUGAAUAACAGGUAAACAAUCUGCCAGGAAACAUUUUGAAGCAAAAGUAGAGCACGAAAAUGACAUGUUAGACUACUCCAUAAUUUCAACCAGGGGCAUGAAUGGAUAGAUCAUAACCAUAUGUUCAAAACACCCUUACUGAAGUAUCCCAAAUUAUGCAUGGAUCUCUCUGUAGCAACAUGUUUACAUGGCAUCAAAAUAACAGCAGAACAGGGACUAAAAUCAGCAAUAUCAUGAAGCCUAGUUUGCAUGCUUGUGCUAGUCACCACAUUGAUCACAAAAAUACAUGGUAAGCACCUCUGUAAAGAAGACAUGGCAUAGUUCAACUCACAUGUAGGACUCAAGUACAUAAGAUGCACACAUCAAUCAUGGCAAAAAUGACAAAAGUGCAUUUUCUGAUAAGAAUCUGAAACUAACAUUAUGAAGCACUCUUCCAACAUCAUUUCGGGCAUCAAGAUGAGCCCAAAUGAAAAUGAUGCAAUGCGAUGGAAUGAUGUACUCGUCGAGGCGAACAAUUCGGUAUGCUACGCGCCAAAAACGGAGCCACGGGUGCAAAGUUGUGGGGUGUUAAACAUGCAACAAAAUUACUGACAGAUAAUAACUUAGGGGAUUUUCGGGGGGAGAAGUCAACGAGGGUGGAUCUAGAUCCGGUCGUGCGGAUCGAGGACGGCCGGCGCGUGUUCGUCGGAGGGCGCGGGCGUCGCCUGAGUUGACGGAGGGGAGGAAGGCCGGAGAGGACGGGCCGGCCGGAGCUUGGCCGCGGCGGCGCGGUCGGAGACGGGGUCGGGCAGCGGCGCGGUUGGAGGCGNNNNNNNNNNNNNNNNNNNNNNNNNNNNNNNNNNNNNNNNNNNNNNNNNNNNNNNNNNNNNNNNNNNNNNNNNNNNNNNNNNNNNNNNNNNNNNNNNNNNNNNNNNNNNNNNNNNNNNNNNNNNNNNNNNNNNNNNNNNNNNNNNNNNNNNNNNNNNNNNNNNNNNNNNNNNNNNNNNNNNNNNNNNNNNNNNNNNNNNNNNNNNNNNNNNNNNNNNNNNNNNNNNNNNNNNNNNNNNNNNNNNNNNNNNNNNNNNNNNNNNNNNNNNNNNNNNNNNNNNNNNNNNNNNNNNNNNNNNNNNNNNNNNNNNNNNNNNNNNNNNNNNNNNNNNNNNNNNNNNNNNNNNNNNNNNNNNNNNNNNNNNNNNNNNNNNNNNNNNNNNNNNNNNNNNNNNNNNNNNNNNNNNNNNNNNNNNNNNNNNNNNNNNNNNNNNNNNNNNNNNNNNNNNNNNNNNNNNNNNNNNNNNNNNNNNNNNNNNNNNNNNNNNNNNNNNNNNNNNNNCGGGGCGGCGGCGCAGGCCACGUGGCGGGAUCCGGUUCAUCCGGGGCGCGGUGGUGGACGCGUCCGCCUCCGUCCGGACGUGUCCGACAGCGCGGAGAGGAGCGGGGCUAGGGUUAGGGUAGGAAAUGAUCCGGGAUUUCGGGGGAGGGGGUGUUUUUAUAGGUAGAAGGAGCUAGGAGUGUCCAAAUGAGGUGUAGUUUUCGCCCACACGAUCGUGAUCCGACGACGGAGAGCAUGGAAGUGACUUAGAUGGGUUAUUGGGCUGUUUUGGAGGGGUGUUGGGCUGCAACUCAAAAGAGGCCUUUGCGGUUGUGCGGUUAACCUUCGGAGUACCAAACGAGCUCCAAAUGACCCGAAACUUGACAGGUGGUCUACCGGUGCUAUACCAGGGCCACUUGGCAAGGCUCGGUCCAUUCCGAGAACGUUUAACACCCGCACACGAAAAGAGACAAGAGGGGUGUGCCGGUGCAUGUGGGAGUGUCGGAUUGUGAAACGGACAAUGGGGAAAAUGCUCGGAUGCAUGAGACGAACACGUAUGCAAAUGAGAUGCACAUGAUGACAUGAUAUGAUAUGCAUGACAUGAAUAAAAUGCAAAACAAAAGGCAAAACCCAGACACGGAGGGAAUAUCAUAUCACAUAGCCAAAAAUGGCAAGAGUUGGAGAUACAAAGAUGGAAAGUUACAUCCGGGGUGUUACACCACAUGACCAAAACAAAGGGUACGAAAGCAGUGAAACCGAUAUAUCUGUUGAAGGCGAUCCCACCGGUCCUAUUUAUUAAGUUGCAAUGGCGAGUAUCUUUGGACCCCAAAGAGUUGUAUACGCUGGAAAAUGGAGAUUUGCCUGUGGCAUUGGCCGUUGGGCAGCUAGCUAUUGCAUUUGAAGGCUCCACAGAAAGAACCCGCAGGUACUAUUACGACAGGUGGCUUCGAAUCCAGUUUGUUAGUCGUUUGCAUCUCGGUUAACAAAAAUAAGCUUGAAUCCCUCCAUUCGUAGAUCAAUCAGCUAAAGUUGUUAAAACAAUGCCCCGGUAAAAAGGUAGCAGAAGGUCGUUCUUUCUUACACUAAGUUGCACUCAGGUGCUGCUGUUUUAGAGCUAGGCAAUAUUCUCUGUGUAAACCAGUAUCGUAUUUGUUCGAUAUGGACCAUUCUAUAAGUAUAGUCAUUUCAGUCUUCCUCAAAGGAUCUCCGAUCUAUUGUGCAACCUUCCCUUCGAAACCCACACCACACGAAUACUUCUACCCCUUAUCACAGCUCCAAUGCCCACAGGCAUCUGUCUCUAGCACAAAUCUUUUACUGAAAUCAGGGAGAACCAACACAGGGGCCUCAAUUAAAGCUUGCUUGAGAACAUCAAAGGAUUGCUUUGGCUUGUCCACACAAAUGGUACUCCUUUCUUUAACAAGUUCGUGAGAGGUCUCCUAAUUAUGUAUAUACAGGAUGAGUCACAUCUUGACCGGAGCCAUGCGGAGCACAAAAAGUGAAGAGAAAGGAUUUGUUCACCACUUUAAGCCAAAAGAUAGAAAUGAAAGUUGUUCCCAUAGAAUGAGAUUAGAUCCCGCAAGAGAUCUAUUUAUCCCGAAGCUUACAAGAAGCAAAGUUGAAACGGGAGCUUUCCCACCACGACAUCCAACUCUUCUCUUCUGUAAGCAAAGGGGCUUUCAACGAGAUAGGGAGCUGUACAAUUUCACCCGUGGGUGGGGCUGGCUACGCUUGCUAGAUUGGAUCAAAUAUACGUGUCCUACGCUAGGCGGAAUCGUUGUUUCACUCCUCCAAGCGUUCCUUGCCAAUGGGUAAAGCCUUUAUCUAUCACUUCGGUCGGAGACAUAUUAAUUACCUUUUUUAUCCUUGGACCCUUGAAAGCUCGCUUCCCUUCCAGAACUGAGGGAAACCGGUGCCUGAGAGAUCCGUUAUCUGCAGUCUCUGAGCUUGAUUGCACAUCUUUUCCUGCUCAUACAUGUGUUUUUGCACGCUUGAGACCUCCUCUUUCGCUUGGCUAUCCGAGGAAAGAUGUCUUACGAGGUGGGUUGGACAACGUACGUAGUGAGCCUGCUGCUAUCAGUGUGAAGAUGAGCAUCUAUCUUUCUUUUCAGGAUUUAGUGUGUGUGUGCUUGUUCUUAAGGGAACGUGCAAAUCACCCAAUCAUAUCAGGAUGGAUCCAAUGGGUGUGAUUUUUGUCUGUAUUGGUCACUUACCCACGCUAUAAGAAGAAGGGCGUCAUGGAAGAGUUUGGGGUCCAAAGCCACACCUUCUUUCCCCCAUAGGAACAGAGGUCAGGAGCUGCCGGCAGGGCGCUGCAUUCAAUCUGACUGAUGGCUCAAGAUAAGUACGAGACAUACUUGAGAUAGAUAAUUAUGUAUUUCGCUAUUUCGAAUACCUAAAUAGCUGCUAACAAGAAUAAGUACGGAGAUAUUGGAUCUCCCUGGCGUAGUCCCUGAGAAGGUUUGAAUUCCUCAAGACGCUCCCCAUUGAAAAGAACCGAGAAGGUAACUGAAGUCACUAACCUCAUCACCAUAGAAAUCCCACCUUUGCUGAAAAAAAGUGGACUGGAUAGCCGUCCGGGCCAGGGGCCUUUCAGGGUACAUCUUAAAAAGGUCACACUUCAGAACCAGUAAAGGGCGCAGUCAAUUGCUCAUUCAUUGCCUGAGAUACUUUCCGAGGAACUGUCGACAGAACAAACAUCCUCCAUUCUUUCAGUACCUUCAGCAGUAUAGAGAUGUUUAAAGAACUCAUUCGUCAUCCCACUCAUCUCCUCUGAAGGGACAACGAAGGAUUGUCUGAAGUAGGACCUAUUCGUAGCUCAUUUCAAAUGGGCCAAAGAAACUAGGGCCACAGAGACCCCCCCCCCUGUGUCAUGAAAAGAGAAACUUUCGGUAGUCACAAAACCCUAUUUUAAGAAAUAAGUCAUUAGAUCCCAUAUCAGCUAUAGCAGUGAAGUUCUCAUAAGCUUUCAUCAUGUCGAGCUUUAGUGCACACACCUGAUCAUCUCGUGUCUCUUAUGCCCCUCCUUCUUUUGGGAGGAAAUCAAAUGAGUAAAGGUUUCUGUCGACUCCCCUCAAGGAACCACUCACUACUCAACUUGAAACCACGGACCUACCUCCUGCUUUUUACUUUUUUCUUUGUCCCAAUUCAUACCGAGCAUGUCUUUCUCCAUCUAUAGAUAGAGAGAAUAUAGGAUAGAGGCGCUCAAAGCAAAUAGGAUUCUGUAUCUAAUACUAAUAGGUACUAACCGCAUUCAAGAUUGACUUGACCUCUUAUUUUGGAUAGGAGAAAUUCUUACGCCCCAGGGGUUUAAAGGGCCCACUCCGUUUUGUUGACUCAUCAGGCUCACCACCUUUUGGAGCUCAUCCAACAGUCAGUCUACUUAAUCAUAAUCAUAAUCAAUCCGUUGCUAUUGCUAUCUAUCGCCAUACCCACAAGAGGGUAAUUUAUCCAACUCCCCGUGCGAAAGCAAGUCCCGCGUCAGCAGUGAUUCGAGUUGUUCCUUGAGAGCGGGCUUAUGGCACUCCAGGUAAACAUAACAAUAUGAGAGAGAACUCCGUUCAGCUUAUAAGUACUCGAUUGAACCAAUUGUUUUUUCAUUUCCCAGUAGGUCACCUUGGUCCAGCUGGUGACUUUCUAGAAAGAGACAAGGAAGUCGAUUCAACAUAAGGGAAGAAAGCAUAUUUUAGGUUUACUCCUUCCAUGUCUAGUAGGAGUGCGUGCUUCUUAUUGCCUUUUGAGGAGUAGUUGUAUACAUUCCUCACUCAGUCUAAUUAAUUAUCUUUCUCCCUACCCAAAUACCAAGGGAGGUUUAUGAGUCGUAUCCUCCUUACGAGAUAGCGGAAGUAGCAUUAGCGGGAAAAGUAAGCUCCUUUUCAAGCCUUCUCUUUCGUAACCUUUGAUUAGUUCCUUAGAUGCCCUUAGCAAGAAUGAUGCAGGAGCAAGAAAGUCUAUUUCCUCCGCCUUUCCAGAAUCUAGCUAUGAAUAUAGUAAUGGCACUCAUAGAUUAUCCUUUUUUAGUAGGGAAUAGCCCAUAUCUUUGAUUAGUUACUAGGUAUUUGGAUGAUGGUUUUAGUAUUAUUCUUGCUAAUAAUUCAAGAUAAACUAUCUCUUCAAAAUUAGUUAAUAGAAUCCAAAUUGAUGCGUAGAAAGAGAUCUUACCUAUAGGAAAUAAUUAUUAUCACUAAUCUCUGUUCAUCAAUCUUAACUAACUGAGGAUAGUUUUAUGUCAUAUCUUCUCGCUCAAGGGACAACAUUCUACCCACAAUGGCUAAAGCUACCUUGAAUCAAUCAAUGAAUGAAUGAUUCAUAACCCCCAUGGGUUCGAGGACCCGUUGGUCAAAGGAAAAGGGGGGUCCAGAUUCCAGGACGGAGCCGUAUGAGGCGAGAGUCUCACGUACAGUUCCUUUGAGAAGGCUGUGAUACCACCACCUAUCAGGCCCGACGAGCGGUCCACGGAGCUGCAUCCCUACUCACCCGGUCUAUGCACAUCGCUCUUUCUAGGAGGUUGGCUGCCUAUCCUAGAUCUUCCCAUUUCCAAAAGAUCCCUUGUUCGAUCUGGUUUAGUAUCAAGGUUCUUAUUUUUCUGUUUCUAUAUAUAUGGGUCUGUGCAGCAUUUCCACAAUAUCGUUAUGAUCAAUUAAUGGGACUUGGCCGGAAAGUGUUCUUGCCUCUAUCAUUAGCUCGGGUAGUCCCUGUUUCAGGUGUUUCAGUCACCUUUCCAUGGCUCCCUUAAUGUAUGUGCCAGGAAGUUUCUUAUGAAGGGGGCUACUCCCCGAAAAUGCCCCGCCCCUUGUUCGUUUGUCGUUGGGGAUUCAUUGCUCGUUCUGCGGUUAUAAGUAACAUAGCCAGCCUAAUUUCUAGAAUAGGGCUGCAUGCAGGAGGGCUUUGUUUGUGCAAUCUUGUUCGCAACACCCUCUCCUCCGGCGAACCUGCGAUCGCCGCCUCUAACUGAAUGCUCAACUAAGAUUGUGUACAACAACCUUAACCGCACAAGACUGGGCUGGGCCUACCCCCAUCCCUAGAGUGUCAAAGGCGGGCGACAAGAAGGCGGUUGCAGGCAGUAAGUAGAUGGACGGCUCUUUGACAGGAGGUAGUAAACAUAGGUUGCGUUAAUGAUAAAGAUCUUUGGGGAAACCGCUAAAAAAGAUUGAACAUGUGGUUCCGAGUUUCGAUAACUUCUUCUACUUUCAUUUCCUCCGUCUUCCAAAUCGCAGAGUUAAUUCAAAAGCCUAGGUGUUAUUACUGAGCUGCUGCUCUUUUUUCUCUAAUUCCCUUCUCAGAUCAUCCGACUACUCCUGCUUAUCCUACUCACUCGAAGUGACACUAAACUUUAAUUUGAGCUAGUUACUAUAUCGAGAUAAAUUUUAUACUCCUGCUUUUAUUCUCAUCAGUGUCUGAAGUUUCAUGAUGAAUACUUGUUUCACAUUUUAUUGCUUACGUGAGGAAAUAUCAAUUUGGAACUGGAAUUUGUAUUUGAGUUAUGAUGAGGAGUGAGGUAGAUUCGCAUUGUUGAAGAAAGCAAAGAAAAAGGAUGCUACUAUGGCUUGCUUGUGGCUCUUUCUUCUAUUGGCUAGUCUCAGGCAUGAUAGUUUCCAUUUCUUUUGGAAAGCAAGUGCGGCUCAGUCAUAAGUGUUAGUAAUAGCAUGAAGUAAGUUGUCGGUAGCCGGCAUUAGGUAAAAGGAAAAGCUUCUCAAAAGCAUCUAGAAAUAUCAUAGAAUGGUGAUCGAGAUCACCUUCACGGGAAUCAUCCUUUGCAAAUUGGGGGAAGGGAACCAAUCAAGUCACCAAGAAGUUCCCGAAACUUGGUUUAGUAUUAAGGUUCUUCUCUUCCAGCGUUUAGUAUUCAAGUUCUUCUCUUCCAGCCCCCUGGCCCCUCCCUGAUAAGUCAGGUUUUCAAAACGAAAAGAAAAUGAAAAAUAUGGUUCGAUGGCUCUUCUCCACUACCCGCUUUACUACUUUCUAUUUUUUCUUAUGUAUUAAGUUUCCCUUAAUAUAUAAUUGGAUAUUACUUUCGAUUUGUAUAUUUUUAUUCCUUUGUCGUUUUCUAUUAUGCCUAAUACCUAUUUUCAAUCUUUUUAGUUCGUGCUUCGUCGGCUCCUCCUUUCUGAUCACUCUCCCACCAGAGAUUCAAGACCCCCAGGCUCUAGCUCAUUUAGCAGGGCUAAACUUCUAUCUGAGUCUUUACGAGCAGGAUCCGGGAUGGGUUACUUUCAUUCAGAAUGAGCUUAAUCACAAUACCCCCCUGGAAGACAUACCUGGGCGGCUUAAGCUCUUCCUAAUGGAAGAAAAGAUCUCUUCUAUGCGACAAGAUGUCAUUCAGGAAUUUGUGGCGCUUUAUCAAAGAGUAGGGCCUUAUCUACCGAUCGAGCCCUACUUGGUCGAUGAAGCGCUUCGUUCCUAUCUGGACCAUAUGCACACAACUGAUUCUUUCACUGUUCUCCAAGCAUCUUAUCAAGAUCUGCGGGAGAAUGAGGGAGGAUCCGUUUUCUUUCGAAAUGUUGUUUCCCACAACCGGGAUCUCCUUGAGGCGGAAAGCUCCGCAAGGAGGUGCCUGGAAGUGGAAUAGAGGAUCCGGUGGGAAGAAAUCCCCAAGAGCAAGGCAAGUCUCUUAAGAGCUGAGCACAAGCAUGCUCUCAACUUGUUUAAGUCGGAGGAUCUUAGAAGGCAAUUAGAAAAAAAGAGCGGGGUAGCUCAGUAAUUCUGAUUCUUUUCUUUUCCAGCCCCCCGGCCCCUCUUUGAUAAGGAAAGUUUUCAUUUCUAAAAUUAAAAAUGACAAAUAUGGUUCGAUGGCUCUUCUCUACUAACCACAAGGAUAUUGGGACUCUCUAUUUCAUCUCGGUGCCAUUGCAGGAGUGAUGGGCACAUGCUUCUCUGUACUGAUUCGUAUGGAAUUAGCCCGACCCGGCGAUAAAAUUCUUGGUGGGAAUCAUUAACUUUAUAAUGUUUUAAUAACGGCUCACACUUUUUUAAUGAUCUUUUUUAUGGUUAUGCCGGCGAUGAUAGGUGGAUUUGGUAAUUGGUUUGUUCCGGUUCUGAUAGGUGCACCUGACAUGGCAUUUCCACGAUUAAAUAAUAUAUCAUUCUGGUUGUUGCCACCAAGUCUCUUGCUCCUAUUAAGCUCAGCCUUAGUAGAAGUGGGCAGCGGCACUGGGUGGACAGUCUAUCCGCCCUUAAGUGGUAUUACCAGCCAUUCUGGAGGAGCAGUUGAUUUAGCAAUUUUUAGUCUUCAUCUAUCAGGUAUUCAUCAAUUUUAGGUUCUAUCAAUUUUAUAACAACUAUCUUCAACAUGCGUGGACCUGGAAUGACUAUGCAUAGAUUACCACUUUUUGUGUGGUCCGUUCUAGUGACAGCAUUCCUACUUUUAUUAUCACUUCCGGUACUGGCGGGGGCAAUUACAAUGUUAUUAACCGAUCGAAACUUUAAUACAACCUUUUUUGAUCCUGCAGGAGGGGGAGACCCAAUAUUAUACUAGCAUCUCUUUUGGUUCUUCGGUCAUCCAGAGGUGUAUAUUCUCAUUCUGCCUGGAUUUGGUAUUAUUAGUCAUAUCGUAUCAACCUUUUCAAGAAAACCGGACUUCGGGUAUCUAGGCAUGGUUUAUGCCAUGAUAAGUAUAGGUGUUCUUGGAUUUCUAGUUUGGGCUCAUCAUAUGUUUACUGUGGGCUUAGACGUUGAUACGCGUGCCUACUUCACUGCAGCUACCAUGAUCAUACCAUGUGGGGAGGUUCGAUACAAUACAAAACACCCAUGUUAUUUGCUGUAGGGUUCAUCUUUUUGUUCAGCAUAGGAGGGCUCACUGGAAUAGUUCUAGCAAACUCUGGGCUAGACAUUGCUCUACAUGAUACUUAUUAUGUGGUUGCAUAUUUCCAUUAUGUACUUUCUAUGGGAGCCGUUUUUGCUUUAUUUCCUGGAUUUUACUAUUGGGUGGGUAAAAUCUUUGGUCGGACAUAUCCUGAAACUUUAGGCCAAAUCCAUUUUUGGAUCACUUUUUCGGGGUUAAUCUGACCUUCUUUCCCAUGCAUUUCUUAGGGCUUUCGGGUAUGCCACGUCACAUUCCAGAUUAUCCAGAUGCUUAUGCCGGAUUGAAUGCUCUGAGCAGUUUCGGUUCUUAUAUAUCCGUAGUUGGGAUUCGUCGUUUCUUUGUAGUUGUCGUUGGGAUUUGCAUGUGUAUUUGCGUUCAGCUUUGCUACUUUCCUUCUAGAAAAGAAUGUCUGCUGAAGGGAUUAGUCUACGUGGCCCGGGGUAGUCUUUCAAUUCCUUUAUCGGGUGGGAGAGUUUAGAACCAGUUAAGCCAAUAGCUGCUGCUUUAGUCACACUAGCUAUAUCAGUUGAUCAUGGAUUUAGCAUACCACCUCAGAAUAGUCUACAUGGCCCCUUGUUUUUACUACAAUUUGAUAUAGUGAAUCCAGUAAUGCAGACAGCCCUUUUUAAAGCGCUUUUAAAGCCCCUGACUCUCAAAAAGAGCUGGAGGUUUUGCCUUAACUCAUUCCAUGAAUGUUGUUCCAUUCCCCACGUGGCUGAAUCCAACUCAGUCUUUAUCCUGCCUUGGAGUUCUCUCUCAUAACUGAAGCCAGGAGGUAUUCGAUUUAUCAAAUUUAGAGCUAGCUGCCCUUUUCUUGCUCCUUGCCAUUAGCGCAACCCUUUUCUUUUUCUUAGCUAGCAUAGUUUUUCACCUUCAAAAGAAGGCGCCAACGCUUUUGUAGUGACCCCUCCGGGGUCCCGGGUUGCUUUGGCGCACCCCACCCCAUCAGUCCUGUGUUGUACUUGACUUGACUCUCCCCCGCUUGCUGCUUGCUGAUCGCAGUGUUCAAAAAUGACAUGAAGCUGGAUAUGAGUAGAUGUUGUUGGUCGAAAACGUCUUUCAUUCACAAUGAAACAGAAUGGUCUCACUCGAUGCAUCAUUUUAGAAUGUGUAUUUUCAUAUUAAGAGUUCUUAAAAGUUCUCAACUCAAAGCCCAACCGUCAAAAGGAUGCUACAAUGUUCGAAAUUAUCAACUUAACAUGCCCCCUUACUUCCUUCGUGACCUCCCACUACUUCAUCUACCGAAAUGAUUAGGCAGAUCUCGUUUUUUCUGGCAUUAAACCUGCUCAUGAUCCUUUAUAGAGCAUGGAGCAGACAGAGAGAUGAAAGGACCACCUUCUCCUGCUUGCUUGAUCGGAAUCUAUUCACAUUUAGAAUAGCGGAAGUGCUACUUAACUUCACUUAGUAGUUGAAACUCGGAGAGACAGAGAGAGUCCUCUCUCAUACUUGCCAAUUCCAAGGCUGAUCAGCAAGGGAAUUGGCAGGAACCAACCUUAGUUGCCCCUCGGUAGAGUGAGUCUACUUAGCGAACUGGCAGGACGCAGAGAUCGAUUGAUCAAUAUGCAUAUCGAGAGUUGAUGGUUCACCGCCGCCCCCCUUGUCCUGCCCCGGCCGGGGAGGCAAAGGGGAUUGCUAUCAUCACCCUUUCUCCCGGUGUAUGUGAAAGAGAAAAAGUGACGCACUUUUUGGAUUUUCGGUCUGCGGUUGGUUGGGCCAAAGAACGAGAGUCAGCUUCCUUAAGUCCGUUCUUCCUCAGUAGCUCAGUGGUAGAGCGGUCGGCUGUUAACUGACUGGUCGUAGGUUCGAAUCCUACUUGGGGAGAUUUGAUUCAUUCAGAAUUCGAAUUGAUAGUUAUAGCUUUUCUGACUAGCGACCCCUGUCCUUCUCCUUUUUUUUUCUAAAGACGCAGCAGAAUCGUCAAACGGGACAUCAAAAGUGGGAAGUUGAUUAUAGGAUUUCUAUUCCUCACUCUCGUAUAGGUGAACUUGGUUCGUUCAAUAAAAAGGGAUAAUAAGGAUCCACUGGGAAUGAAUGGGAAGACUGGGGUAGUAUCUUCAUUAGCCGGAAGGAAUUAGUCUCCACUAGCAUAAUUCGAAGAACGAACAAGAAAAGGCGUCUUUAGGUAGGAGGAUGGAUGGAUGUGGUCCAAUGGCUAAAGCUCUGGCAGCUUCUUGUAGACUGGCAGUCUCCGAGAGGAACCUUAACCACCCGGGUUAGGCCGGGUGGGAUGGUAUACUUUUUUUUCGCCACAAGUGGGAACUCAGUCCUUGGUAAGACACAAGGGGGGAAGGAAGAUCUUCACUCAUUCAUUAAGUAAGUGCAUGCGGUGAGACUGACAACAAACGAAGGGGGUGGAGGGAGACCGAAGAAGGAACAAUUGUCUUGAAUGCUACGCUGGGAUCAGCAGCUUCCAGUGUUUUCAAAAUGAGUCGGGCAGGAAGAGGAAGAUCGGGCGGGGAAAACGGGGUUCGAACCCGCGACUUCUGGCGUGAAAGACCAGCACUCUAACCAACUGAGCUAUUUCCCCCUUUCGUAACUACUGUCGAUUCAAUAGUCACCUACCGGUUACCUUUGUAACUAUACAAAAGUAGCUGUACAACAGAAUGCCCUUCGCCUUUAGUACUUUUCUUUUUCUUUUGACGACAGUAGAAAGAAAUGGCUCUGCUCGCUUAGAGAAGAGUCUCCGCGCUCUAUCAGCUAUUAGUUAGUUGGCGCUACGCGCAACUUCAGUUGACAAAAGCGAACAAGAUAGCGCUAGCGCCCGCGGAGAACUUUCGUUUGUUCGCCUUCUAAAAGGCAACCGGCAGACCUUACUUUCUGAAAAAGACAGAAGUACGGAAACUGAUCCUAUUUCAGAUCUAGGCCGUUUUGAAUUGACAUAGCUUGACCUGUGAACUCUCAGCGCGUACGAUAGUUGCUUCGACAAACAUUCGAUAGACUAGCUUUCGAAGUGCCACGAUCCUAUCGAGUAAAAUCAUCCCCCGGGGAUAACGGCUGCCGGAAAGGUGCGAAGUUGGACUAAUUUGGAAACAUUGGGCAAUUUACUUUAUACCUACUAUUCCGUCUGGUUUUUUCCUAUUUUACUAAGUGCAUUAAAAAUAACUGUUUUUCAAUGUCUUCAUAUAAAAGUUCUAACACAUUAUUGAACAUUAGCAUACCUGAUAUAGCACAUCCACCUCAGUAUAAAUGACUUUUUCUGUGAAACUCCAAUAAGGUAAGCAGUUUUCUUCAGUAAAGCCAUGAUGUUUCCACUCCAUUUUCAUUACGAAGAUGUACUAUGUCAGGAUCUGUUGCUCAAACUGAAUCACGCCAAUGUUAUGGAAGUUCCUGGAUUGUUUGAAAUAAGAUUAGUACCAAAAGCUGCCUCUGAUUUCAGAAUCCAAUUAGGAAAAUUGGCUAUGGAGAUUUUGUGCGGUCAGAGAUUCAUACAGACACAAAGGGGCCCCUAUUUUCAAGGAGGAAAGUCGUUUCGAUCCAAUCCAUUCUUGGGGUCCGAAAAAGACACUGGAUAUGUUAGUGACUUUACACGACAAAGCGUUCUCCGAGGGCAUGGAAUGUACCAUUUUUUAGUCAAAAUCUUUACAGUAAUGUCUAUGUUGGAUUCUCCGGUCGAAAUACGGGAAAACUCCAUCAAAUUCUUUAUGGAAACGGAGUUUUGCAAAUUCUCCCCGGAACUGGAAGAUCAUUUCGAGAUCUUCGAGCAUAUUCAAGGGUUCAAUGUGACUAUUGUCACUUCGGCCAAUACAAAAGAUGAGACUUUACUACUGUGGAGCGGCUUUUUGCUAAAAGAUGAAGGGGAAACUAAGUAAGAUGCCGGAGAAGCGACGAAAUAUACGAGAUCACAAACGUAGAUUGCUCACGGCUAAAUAUGAAUUGAGACAAAAGCUUUCGAAUUUUUUAACCCGAUCUUCCGUCUGAUAUGCGGGACAAACAUCGUUAUAAGUUGUCCAAGUUGCCAAGAAAGAGUUCAAUGGCACGAGUAAGAAACCGAGGUAUUUUCACGGGUCGCCCUUGUUCCGCAGUUGAGUUCUUUCGCAUUUCUUGUAUCGUUUUUCAUGGAUUAGCAUCUGGAGGUUCUUUGAUGGGCAUAAAGAAAUCGUCUUGGUAGCAACCACCAAACAAAUAGAACAAAGGUUAGCUCUGCAGCUAGUCCAGAAGCAAGGGUUGUAGGUCCAUUACCAUACGGCUCCCGACCAAAACUAACGGAGUCAUCCCAACUCUCGGAUCGGAGAUGCUAACGGGACAGGAAUCGAAGUGGGGGACCUCUCUACCGCACCUGUCUCCCGAGACAUAGACUACGUAAAGGGUUGUACUCUUGGAAAGAGAGAAGAUCACCGUGUCAACCAUCAUCCCGAGGAUCUAAAUCUGUCCUAUCGGAUGAGGAGAGCAAGAGGGAUUGCACGAUGAAGUAGAUCUGCACGUGGAAAGAAAGGGGUCAAGCGGAUACACGAUUCCAAAUUACUCCUUUCCGGCUAAGAAGAGAGGAUCUACAGGGUACAAUGUAAAGUGUUUUGAUCGCAUUGGAAAAGACUAUCCAUACCGACCUAGAGUCGUCAGCCAUCGCACAAGCAGGCAAGCCAAGUUCCGAUACAAUUAGAGAGAGGCCAGCCUUUGGUAUAUUUGAACCAUUGGUUUUUGGAGAAGGUUGAUUAAUUAGAAAAGUGAAUUAGAAUAGAUAGAUUGUGCCAGAAGGAUGUAACUCGUAUGUCUUUUAAAGCUACUUGCCUUUCCGAUUAGGAGAAGCUUAUGAGAAAGAUACUUCUGUUUGCUCAUUAUGUCAUUUAGAUAGAAAGUACAAUGUUUCUUAUGAUGCACAAAGAGAAGUUGUCCGAGCGAAUCCAUAUUGGCGUGCCGAUACCGCGUCCCUUCCCAGCUAGGGCUUCCUUUCACUCUUUUGGACCCAUGGAUGAUCCCCCUGAGGCCAUGUUUUUAGAUCUUAGUUUACCCUGGAAUUACCUAUUAUUUGCGUUCUAUUUCCGCUGGAAUUGGUGAAUGGUUCUUAUUUUUUCAUUCAGUAUAGCUGCGUGCAGCGGUGCUGGAAGGAGGGCUUAGUGUUAUAUAAGAUAUUUCAAUCAAGGGCAUGCGGGCCCUAUCAGAUCUCAGCUAACCAGACCUGGAACGUGAUAGGGACCUUCGGUGGAAGAAUCUGAUUCUAAGUUGCAUGCGAGUUUCAUGACUCUUUGGGUAUAGCAACCAUAGAAGAAGCGUUUUCUUUGAUCUAGAUAGCUGGGACGAAUCCAACUCUUUUUCCCGCGGACGAUCGCGUUGCAGCUCCUUUGGAGAGCGCUCCUAUGCUAAAGUAAUAAAUUGAAGACUACCAAGAUGGGAAUCCUUGCUCUUAUUUGAAGUUCUGCUCGCGUAAAUGACCUGAGUGAAGGUGUUGAAAAACUCAUAUGAUUCCCGAUGCCAAGAGCAAGAAAGCACAAUACUGUCGUUGAAGCCGAUGAAGGAAAGAGUUGGAUGAUAAAUAUGGAGCAUCAACUCACUACGCAAUCAUGUUAAUGGAUUGGUUAGAUGCUAUUGGAGACUUGGAGUAAUCAGAUUCUAGGGAAGGGAAGCUUAGAAUUCGGUAGCAGGAUUUCAAUGUGGCACAAAGGAUUGUAAUUCAUGAUUGCAGACUUAGUGCCAGCUCACAACGACUUCACUCACAUGAUCCGAGAUAAGCCUGUUACGGUGCAGCUAAAGAUAAGAAUAAGUCAAUCGCACGAACUAACACUAAUCCUAGAAUGCGUCAUAGGAGAGGCAAUUGCUAAAGAAAGUUUGAUUCGAUUUGAGUGUCCACUGAUAAUAGGUGCAUAAGAUAGGAAUAGGGAUGUGAUUGGCUCAAUUCUCAUAUGAAACUUGCCUUAUCUGGUGUCUCCUCCCAGCAGACAUGGUGAGUUGAGUCUCGAAGAAGCAGCUUAUAACUCAAGGUCUUUUAAAUAAAAGACGAUUGCCUUUUUCUUACUUAUUCGUAAGAUUCAUUUCAAAUAAGACGUAUCUUGUUCAAGCCAAUAAAUAGAGCUGGGGUUAUAGUUAAAGCAGCCAGUAGAAACCGAAAUAACUAGUUAUAGUAAGCAUGAAAGGCCAUUUAAAGAAGGAAAUCCAAGGCAUGAUUGAAUCCGCCAAAGAGAAGGAAAUAGAUGAUCUCAUUCAUACUAAUUGAUGGAUAGAAGAUAUGAGACUAAUAAGAAGGGGAAAGAAGACAGCUUAGCCAUCUAUUCUAUGAAGCAAGGGAUCCGUUAAAGUCAAGCUACGAAGCCCCCUCCAUCUCUACCCAAAGCUGAUUUCAUUCCAGUAGAUUCUUUUGAAAAGAAAGGCGGAUUCUCUUUUCUUUCAAGUAGGCCACUUUUUUCUGAUGUCAGUGUUCGAUAAGAUGUCGCUUUCAACCCAUUUGGGGUAGUAAGAAAUAGCCACUAAGAUGUAUUAGUGUCCAUUUGAUGCUUUGGGUGUUACCUUUCCUUUCCCUACCUCAAUUCCUCGUCCAUUCGUAUGGAUUCUCAACCUUGGCCUACAAGCGGAACAAACUAUGCUAGCUCAAGCUAGAACUCACUUAGAAGGUCAGGAAAGAGCGACUCAAUAGGGGAAAGCCGGAGCGCCUUAGCACCGCUUCAUUGGCUCGCGUCAAGUCUUCCGCUCAUUUGGUAAACAUGCACAUCCUAACCCCGCGAAAUGCCCUAUAGGGAACAUCCUCCUUUAUCCUCUUAGACUUCCCCGGGCAUGGAAUUUAGAAUCCUGGAGAUCCUAUCACUUACUUCGCCCGGCUCAUCCAUUCUCUGGCUUAUCCCAAGGAGAGCCUGAUUCGAUCCUAAGGUCAAGUACCCUAUUUAUAAGUCGGACCCGGAGCUAAAAGAUAACCUCUUUCUUCUUAUGAAUGGAAGGAAACAUAAAAACUACGCUAAAACCGAGUGAAUCAUAGUUGAAGAUAGGAUACCGAGAAGUCGGAUUCAGUUCAGUCCCGUUUUCAAGAUCCGGUUUAGUGUUUGGGGAUGGCUUGGUCCAAGCCCACAUCCAUAGUAGAUGGACUUGAGCAGGCAAGUAUGCCACCUACUGAUAUGAUUGAUUAUGACAAUUAUGAUAUGGACUGGACGGUUGUGCAACCGAUUGUACUAACUCGCUUACCCCUGAGAACACCUAAGACAUGGGGGUUAUUUAUGCGAGUAAGCCUAGCAAGGACCAAGAUCUCGAUCUAGCCUAGUUGGGGCUUUAGAGUCACAUGACACAGUACCAAGAAUGGGAGAACCAGUAACAAUUGAUACAGAUUUCCAACCAACGGAUCUUCUUACCUUUGGACCGGAACCUUUAGCUGUUUCCUACUUGGUCUACAGCUUGGUUUGAAAUGAGGGAGCCAUACCGUGUGGUUGAAGCAGAGUACCAUUUUUCAGUGGAUAGGGCACUAUCUCUAUUCGUAGCAGCAUUGCGUAUUGCUCUCACUAGGAAAGGGGGACAUAACCCCUACUAUAGAGCAGGAAUGGAAGGGAAUGAGCUCGGCUGCUUCUCCCCCACACUUCUUUAUUUCUCCGUGCCCCUAUUUAGUUAGUACUUUCGAGUUAAGAGCGAGAUAACGAACUAUUUCAUUUAAUAAAAAAAAGUGCAACGUCUAUAGGGUGAAAAGGCCAUGAGGAUGGCUACGGCUUUGAAGCUCCUUUAUCUACCAUAGAUAGAAUGGAAGAGUUUUUUCUCACUGUUGUUUCUGAUGUAGGAGUUGGGGAUGGAAUGAUUGAUUCAAGCUCUGGUGGUACUAAUCAUGUCUCUGGGGGUAAACCAACUGGAGCGGCAAGGGAACAUGCAGUACUGGAGAGGGAAUCUCAUAGAAAUACUGAUUCAAGUAAUUUCAGAGUUACCAGAGAUGCAAUUGGUUUAGAAAUAUGUACUAGAAAAUGGUAAACUAAUACUGACUAUUCUCUUUGGAUAUCUGGUUGGACACCAAGCAUUUUGACCCCUAUUUGAAUGCAGAGUCAGAGUAUAGACAGCUAAACAAUGUUGUAAUAUAUUUAUCUACCAAAUUAGAGUGCACAGUCAUUUUUCUAUUGAUGUUCCUAGAAAUUUAGUUCACUAGGGAACACCUUACAGGUUGGCAUGCCUCGGCAAAGCUUAUUAUGAUAUAUUGUUAAUGAAAAUGUCAAAGUAGCACUCUAUUUCCUCUACUCGCCCCUGGCGCCACCGCUAACCACUAUUAUCAUAUAUAACUAGAUCACGUACAGAGUUUAUUACACUUAUAAUUAGAUCACGUAAGCAGUUUACACUAGAAUAAAUCUACGGUUCUGUUCAGUAUGAGCAAUAGAAGUAGAUGGACUUAGAGUAGAAACUUAUGACUAGGUCCUAUGACCAGAGUUAUGUGGAUGACUGUACAAGAAGGAUACGAUAAAUGGGCGACGUUUUUCGACCCUGGAAGAACAAACUGACAACAAACGCUCCAUCUUUGAGUGGGAUCUGGAUGGUAUCGAACUAGACCUGCGAACGCGAUGGAUUGAGAAGUAUCUAAAUCAGAUCCAUAAUCCUAAUAGCCGCUUUUGGCUACUCGUAGUUGAUCAACUAACCAAACUUUUCCCCUGAAUAAAAAAAGCAAGUGUAGGUAGUAAGUAUCUAAUCUAAUAUGUCCACGAACUCAGUAGAGUCUCCGAAACCCACCUUAAUCCAUUUUAUAAGGAAUCUGUCUCCUUCCGUAAUCCAUUCCUCCAUCCCACACUCUUCUUAUAGUUAUGAGUGAAUCUGAAUCAAAAAUAAAUGAAGUCUCCAGUCAACUGGUGGAAUACAUCGAAUCAACCUGGGAGCAUUAGCCGAUCUGGUACAUCAAUACAUGUUCCUAUGCCCAUUCCAAUCUUGUCUAACUUUGCUAACUUCCCCUUCUCUACCCGUAUCUUGUUCGUUGUGGAAACACGUCUUCCUAUUCCAUCUUUUCCCGAAUCUCCCUUAACGGAAGAAAUAGAAGCUCGAGAAGGAAUACCACUAAAAACCUAGUUCGCUCUCAAAUAAAAACCUAGUUCACUCGCUAAAGCAUCCAUGGCUGAAUGGUGAAAGCGCCCACCAACCUAGAAAGGCAAAAUGGGUCAAAAAGUAGGUUCGAUUCCUGCCAGAUGCACUGCCUCUUAAAGACAGAAACAGAGGAGGGAAAGAAGGUAGUAUAGGGAACUUGCUUUUGGAUUCUUAUCGAAAGUGAAACCCUCUAACACUUCUGUUAGUGUUCUAUGAGAAAAUCUUUUAUACACACAACAAGUGUGAAAAUCCUUAGUCACUAGGCAAGAAAGCUCGAUGGGAACAAAAAGGAUACAAUUAGUUCAUAAUAAAAAAAAUGUACAAUUUCAAAGGAAAGAAGGAAUGGCAAGUUUCCCUCCAUUGAACAUCAAUCAAUCAAGAAAUAGGUAAAGGAAGGCGUAUCACAGGGGUAUUUUGCUUUUUUCUAUUCACUUCCGUGGGGUUCUAAAUUGAAAACAUGAACACAAAAAAAAUCGUAUUGAAAUUACAUAAAAAAAAGAAAAGGGAGGAGUAGCUCUUGGUUUAAAGAAAAGGGAGGAGAUGGAUCGAAUUCAAUCUUUUUCCUUUCUUUGAUGAUCUACAACACAUCUAUUUGAAUUCCCUGUGAGUGAAGGAUUUCUCGUAUGGAGAAAAACCUCUUGAGCGCUAUCUGAUCUUAUUUUUGUAUUUCAAAUAUGGGACCUGCCUUUUUAAUGGGACAUCCCGGCAACAGGCUUACUCAUGCAUGUGGCCAAGUACUCGACUAAUCCUCGGAGCGAAGGGAUGAACGAAUUCUCGAGGUCUGGUUCAUUGAGGUCAGCAUCACAUGAAACCUUUAGCACUUUUUUCGAUAUUGGAUGGAGUAUGGCUGGAAGGUCAGCCUAGCUAGUCUUGCCAAUCGGCCCUGACUCGUCUUCUCCUUGGUACCUACCACUAUUGAACUUCGGUACCUAUAUUCCUGAAACAAGACAGACCUUCAUGAAGACCUUUUAUUUUGGAGUAAGAUCGGACAUUUCCACAUUGAGGUGAAAUUACAUACGAGGAAAAUAAUCCUGGACUAGGAAAGCUACCCUUGUGUGGUAGAACCAGGUCUUCCACCGGGCGGUCAGCCAAGUACUGAAGCCCCUAUCUUGAUAUAGAAUAGAAGUGAGUUCACACUAAAAAUAGAAGAAGCCCUAUGAUUUUGGAGCCCUGCUAUCAAUCACUUCGGUAAAGGGAUCGAAAGAUUAUAGUCUGAAAUAGAGAUUUGAGAGUCCCUCGUGUGAGUACAUGCUGAAGAGCAAGGAGUGAAAGUGCGUUCAUCUUUCUUUCUGCUAGUUGUUUCCUGCUAAUAGUGAUUACUGAGUGCCCCAUACAUAGCCAAUGUCCGCCCGUGUUCACAUCCAGUCUUCUCUGUACACUAGUGCAGCUUCCAGCUCUAUGCCAUGUAUGGUAGUCGUUUGACUCGGGAAUCCCUGAUAAAAGCUUUUAGUCCAUGCCUGGCAGUUUCAGCCGUGGUCCAGUCCAGUAGCCUCUUUUCGAUCCAAGAGUCGCAUGAGAAGAAAGCUUCUAGUUAGCUUCAGUUAGUGUUAGUUAAAUAGAACGGGAACCUCGUAACUAUGCCAAGCCCGAUCUUGGUUCCAAUGCUGCAGAGAAAGGUUAUGGGUAAAAAUAAGGUCUUUAUCCUGGUGCUCCAGAGACCGGUGUUGCUGAUCGAACUCAUUUUCUUUCGAGGAGAUCGAAAAUCUCUGAAUUUCUGCGAAAAGAAUUUACAUAUUUAUUGCGAGGGGCUUUGAAAAGCGAAAGGAUGAAGACUGAUUUAGAUCCUCUGAAAGCGCAGGAAGUAUGCCUUUUGAGCUUUUUCUCCACCCACCUCUGAGCAUCUUGUUGGAAUGGUCAUAGGAAAGACUACGUACGAGAAAUCAUUCUCACAGCCAAUCCACAUGAGGUGUGUGAUGCAUAGCUAAAAAAACGCCAGUCACUAUCUGAAUGACUAAACAAAUACCUGCUAACGAACCGAACUUCGCCCCUUAUCUCUUCAUCAUCGUCGGUUCCGUCACUUGUGGUAUUCGUUUAGAAUCUUGUUAACCCUACUCGCUUACUCCUAUUUUCCUUAUUUCUUUUUCUAUAAAUAUCGUAUAUAGUAGCUGCCAAACUCACAAGCAUCACACACUUCGAUCUACUUUAUUGAAUAACUUAGCUAGAUAGAACCGACUCAAGCUUUUAAAUGAAAGAAGCAAUAAUGUCAUAAUUUCUGUCUCAAGACCUCUUGCAGCUACAGCCAAUGCAGCACCUCCUUGAUCAACAUACAACAUAGCCCAUUACGCCUUGCUCCAGUCGCAGUAUAAAGAGAGACUAGAACCUAUCGGGGAGCCCUCGGUAGAGUCCCUAUCGUUGUUGCAACAAUUACACACAGAGUUCCGGAAUUUCACAUUUGUGAGAAGAAAGGGUAUGUGUGUUUGAACGGAGUGGUGCAAGAACGUAUUCUGAGCCUCAGUCAACACAACUUGUUUCGCCUUUUCCGAACAGCAUUAUUAUCAGGACCCUCCUUUAUAUAAACCACUCGUAGAUAUAUACCUUCCUGUGGCCUCAGAUGAAUACAUCGAUAGAUAAGAAGGGAAAUGCAUCAUCUAGAAAGGCUUACUCAGGUUUAGGGACUCAACCAAUUUCUUAGUACAUCAACACAAGAAGUGGCGAAUUUGGGAUGGUACUACCUCAGUGAAACUGUGGGAAGAUGGGUAGGUGGGGCCUCUCAACCAAGACAUCGCGGUUGGCGAGUGGGGACUCUACUGAAGCACUCCGAUACCAUUGAUGUCCAAUAGCUUUGAUAGUAAUGGCUGGAUCUACUAAUACCCCGUCCAUUGAGUAUAAUAGAGCAAACGAUGGUAUAGCAAUGAACAAAAGAAUGACACUUGGAAAUAUGGUCCAAAUAAUUUCGAUAGUAGUUCCAUGAACAAUCCUUUGUGGGAUUGGAUUAGUUUGCUUGUUGAAAUGCCAUAAAGCGCGAACCAACAUCCGUGAUACGAAAACCAAAAUAAGAACGAGGAAGAAAAAGAUAUCAUGAUGUAAGUCAAUGAUUCCUUGCAUCAUAGGUGUUGCUGCGUCUUGAGAUCCUAAUUGCCAUGGUUCCGCAGCAUCACAAAGAGCGAUUGUGAGGAAUCGACAUGAUAAUGAACGAAGAAUCAUUGGAAUUUCCCAUCUUUUUCAGCUCUGCUCCCGAAAAGAGAAAGGAAGACUUAGUUUUAGAUCGGCGUUGGUUUUUCCAACGAAAAACAAGAACAUUCUUUCACGAACUUCCAUGAAAAAAUGUUAGUUGCCUCGUAACGCAUACAUUGGAGCGUUUGUCCCAUCGACGAAGACUACUUACUAUACGCGUUUUCUGAAGAGCAACAAUGGAAAAAAAUAGGUGAACCUGGAUACCAUACUAUUAAAGAAAAAGAUACAGACUAACAAGAAAUCAAGGACCUCGUGAGUACUACUUAGUCGGCCUCAUCAAUUAGUCAUGCCAAUGAUAUAUCAAGCCCUCGAUUCCAACGGGGCUACGGACAAGAAAGGUCCUUUCGAGAUUCUAUUUCCCCUUGGGUCUAUCAAGCUGAAUAGUUUGUGGGGAUAUAAGAAGAUCACACUUAGACAACUGUCUACACUACCUCUUUAAUGAUCCGGAUUCCAUGACGCAUAAUUCAUCUGUCCAUAUAUAUUCCUAAUUUCAUAUUCAUCACCAUUUCAAAUCGGGCAAGGAGAAGUCGUCGUGUUGGUUCUAGGAUGGAAUGAUCUUUUGAUCCAAAGAUGUCGGUGCUAAAACCUCUUGUGUCUCUUUUAAUAGGACCAGGAAGGCAAGAGCAUUGAGGAAGCAAGGAUUCUCCCAUAACUAAUUAAUGCGGGGAAAAAACAAGAUUUCACUAAAAAAAAGGUGCCUAACCCCGGGAUUUUUCGAUACUUUUCUUGAAAUUGACUGGAUUUGGAAGAAAAUGCACUCAACCUAACAAAUCCUGAUCAAUUCAAGUGGUUAGUUUAAGGGGGUACAUGGGGCUGACGCCGAAGGAGAUAGGAAUGAAGUAGGGCGGGCAGCUACCUAGAGAUUGGAAUGCCCUAUCGACAGGGAAUGCUGGUACCACCUACGGUGCUUGAUAGUCUUCAAUCCAGACGGUCUCGAGAGUACCUUGACCCAUAGCAUAGGGCUUGAUGUGGCUUUGUGGCUUCCCAAAAGGUACUAGAAUAGGUAGUUCAAGCACCAUCAUCAAUAUGUUGCUGCUAUUGAAUCCGGUUUUGAAACAAGCAUCAAGAGUUCGACCUCAGGGAACGCGUUUUCAAGAACGGCGAGGUAAUACUAAAAUUACCGGGAAAUUAUAUCAGCUGAGGUAAGGAGAUUAUUUAUAAUUCAUUCAUUAGCUUGUCAUACUUGUAUAAAUUUUAGUAUAAACUCGCCUUAAAUAUAGUGUAAAAGGAAGUAAUAACGAACUAUAUUAUUGUAGUAUUAGUUUAUAAUCAUUAAUAUAUUAGCUGGUGCCUUGUAAAAAUCCUUAUAUAUUGGUGCUCUAUCUGAUUCUAGUGCACUUCUCAGGUGUUAGGUGAUCACAUAGCUUGACCUCCAUUAUGUGUCCUACUUUUUUAUAAUAGGAUAUGAGCAUCACGUGAAAAUGGCAUGAAAGUGCCUGUUCGUUUUACUUUAUUGAAGAAAGUUAUCUCUAGUCACCAACAUUAUCAUAAAAAAAGUAAAAAUGGAUAAAUAACACAUAAAUCAAGGGCUAUGUGGAUCCUCAGACAUAUAUGAAAUGGAAUAAAGAUCGACCAAGCUACUUAUGAAUGUAACCACAAUUAACAUCACUAUGGUUAGGCUAUCGAACACAGAGUCAAAAGUGAAUUACAAGUCAGGCCAAUCUGCGAAUCGAUGGAUGGACCCUUGGUUGUUUUUGUGAUAAGUCGCUAUUAUCAAAUAAAUAGUCAUUUCUUGCUCGAUUCGAGAGGUGAUUUCAUUCCACAGUGACAAUUCAUGUUGAAGGCGUCCUCCGACAUUUAUGAUUCUUCCUACAGAGGGCACUACUGGCAAAGAAUAACCUUUCCACCCGGCGAGAAAAAGAGAUAGAGGUUUGCACUUGGCCCUCUUGGUUAGGGUGUAGAGGGGAUCUAUCAGCAAUCCCGUCGUCUUCUUCCAGCUUUUUCCUCUGAAUUUGAUAUACUUCAAAAAUGAAUCACUCUUUUCAGUAUGAAUGGUUGCUCCUUACAAAACGCGUACGAUAUAUUCGUCUUCGUAGUAAAUAUGACCCCUAUCAGGUGAAGACUAAAUAUCUACUCCUAUUCAGAAAACUGCUUAUGUUUCCAGGCUUUUACGCAUGAUAAUUUAUCUUCCAGCGCUUUUUUAUUCCCCACCAACUGCUACGCCCCGCGGGGCUUCUUCCUAGCGCUAUUGAAAUGAUAUUCCUAUUAUUGGUCCUAGCAAUAUCCCUGGACCAGGGCACGGCACCUAUCCAACUAUGUCUUGUUUCGGUUUCCGGAUCCGAAUCUUUUGUUAUACUUAUGCAUGGAUGAUUGUACACAAUAGGUGUGGAAAGUGCGAUAGAGCUCGAAAAUGGAUGCCCCUAUUUCAAUUUAAUAAGUGCUUGUGCAACGGCUUGAAAGUGACAGACUGAGUCAAGUGACCUGUUUUUUUCACAUGAUCCAGAAUUGCACGAGAACCUACAAGUCCUGUUAUCAUUCUUAAUUCGAUAGCCACGGGACAGCCGUUUUCUCGUCUCUCAGCCUUUCUUAUACCUGCACUGACCUCAACGGUAUCCAACCUGCAAAAAAUAUCUAUACCCAUUAGCUCAUCACGCCAACAAUUCUCUUGGGUUGACUGAACCUACCUAUCCGAAAUCCCUGUUGCCAACUUCUUACUGCACAGAAGCAAUGGAACAGUAUCGUAAAGUGAAGUGAAGCAAACAAACCACUCCUUUGGAAUUGAUGGACUUGACUGAGAUGUGCCAUUGUCAUCGUCAAGAUCGUCCAUCACGAGUACCUUCUUUUCUGCAUCCGUCAGUUCCAAAUUUCCCAGCAUGUUUUAUUACUUGCCUCGAUUGAUACCAUCCACUUAUUUCUCUUUCUCACGGGACACAUAAAGAUACCAGCGCUUGUGCGAACAGUUGAUGCUUGUUAAGCCAUAGCUAUCACUUCUCGCGCCAAAGCGCUCCCACCAACUACAAAAUACCUUAUAGGAGGGGCCCUUGUCUUCAGCUAAAAAGAAGCAGAUAUUGCCGUAAGCAGGAGAUGGAAAAGCCCACGAUCCAUAACUUACUCACUCAGAUAUUUACUAGAGCUUGGCAGUGAAUGAAGCCAGUACAGGAGACUCCGAAUCCUAUUCAGAUUGCCAAUGAUCCAGUCAAGCAUGAACUAACCAAGCAUAUUGGUUUCGAUCACGUCUAUCCAAAGACAAUAGAGCAAUUUAGAGCGUAGAGGUAUCUUUUGCUAAUGAAAUGAGAUUGGAUAUGAAUGUGGAAUUCAUUGAGUGGAGAGAUGAACUAAUCUAUACUCUGCCUGUCUUCCAUUUCUCUGAAGAUUUCGUUUACAACACAACAUCAAACUCCAAUUUCAUGAAUUGAUAGGUCAGGAUCGUUGUCGAACAGCUCUUCUUCAUUUCUUCCGGAAUUCUUUCUUCUAAGGUAGUAGGUAUCGGGUUUCCCUGUUCAUACUCCGAACGUGAGUUAAUAUACUCUUGUAGAGCAGAUCACUUAGGGCUUUAUACUGGUUCGACGACUGGGUUCUUGUUCCUUUCUCAUCUUUGUCUGUCCACUCCCUUUGUUUUCAACAGUCUUUGGAGCUUCUAGUACCACUGGUGUGAUCUCAUUCUUGAAUGCUAACACCUUGGUGUCUCCUAAAGCUACGCUUUCUAAGCAACCUGAGUGUUCUCUGAACUAGGUGAACAAUCCAGGGCGAUAGCGUGAAAGGGCCUCAUCAUUGCUCAUCCAGUUUCACUACAUCAGCCUCCUCGUGUUCCUAAGGGCUACCACCAACUAAUGCUUUUCUACUUCUGGCUAGAGCUACUAACCUACCUCGAACAAGAGCUGCAUCCUGGUAGCGCUUUGAAUCAUCAUUUUACUAUUCCUAGGUUCGAUUCCUGCUGUCUUUACUUUGUCUUGCCUCUAUGCCUUCCUGGUGGGUGACUGUGACCUGGAUAUGGUUCGAUGGUUGGUGAAUCUAAGCCAGAGUGAUGCUUUCUUAGUUUCAUAAAUGCCUUUCUAAGCCCUUUCCAAUCAAUGGAGAAUGGUUACUAGAGCUAGCGCCUGUCCCACUUUAGAACACUAAGAACGUAAUAAGCCUAGCCAGGACAAAUGCACUCAGUGUUAGUCCGAUCACCUCGACUAAAAUCAUCUUCCCUUUAUUAAUGACCAAGGGUAUCCAUAUCAUGAAAUGUAGAUACAACAGGGCAGAGGCAUUGAUGCGGGUAGAAUGCGUGUCUGCUUUCCUGUUGUUUGAAGGAGUAGAUACAUUCAUUUCCUUUUGCUAGAUGAGAGUGAGAGUUGUGUGGGAUGUUGACAAUCACUAUCUCGUGAAGUCACGAGUGUAAACCUUACAUAGUUCUAGCAAAGCGCAAAGACGAUGGUGAAAACCUUUGUUCUUGUUCGGCCGGUGUUGUUCAAAGAAAACCUGGACAAUGAGGGGCAGGUUAUAUUCCCUUUCUUCUGAUCGAUUGAGGAAUCGUGGAUAAUGACACCACGUUUGUAGCAUCUACUACUAUUGCAAGGCCCAAAGCACGUGGGAGAAUGUUCGUUUUUUCUGGAUCGGAUUAGCAAAAGCAAGCAAGCGUGUGAUGUGGCGGGGAAGCCUAAAAUAAGCCUUUGGGAGGCAGUGUGGUGACGCCUGUUUGGCGCGUGGGAAUUAACUAAUCUAAUGAUAUAUUGGUAAUUGCCUGUGGGUCCGCACACCACUCCUUAUGUUCAGCUAAAAAGCCUUCUGGGUCGAAUUUCUUAAGAAAUAAUCAAAGAUUAGAAUGCCAAUGUGUUAGAAUGUCAACGGGAGCUUUCACAAAGCCAGGUCACAAAUACAAUGAAGAAGUGCUACUGCCAACAGACGCAACCACGGAUCCCGAUUCAGAAGAAUCUGAGAAAGGCGAGUUAGUUAUCACAUGAGAGCCAUAAGAGCUCUCCAGGAGAGUGAUCGCCCGGUGUGACUGAUCCAAUUUAUAGUCGCAUUCAAGGCUCCACACGGGUGGUAAAUUCCAAAUAAUAUUUGGAUAUCUCGAAGGGAACCCCAAUAGAACCAUUUAGAUACUUCGAUGAGAACCAAUAGAACCAUAAUGGUGAGCGGCUACGCGUCGACGCCAGGUUAAUUUAUAGUUCUAGUCUACUGGCCCUAAUUCACAGUCGCAUUUAUUACACUUUUACAAGACAAAAGCGAUAGUGGUUAGAACGCGCUAGACUGGCUGAUGCUAUAGAUUUGCUCCAUCCAGAGUCACCCAAAAGGACCUUAUCUGUUGAAUGAUUGGUUUUAUCCUCGAAGUCUUUCUAGCCCGCCCGUGCCAAACUAGUCUUCUUUCAAAGAUGUGGAUCCAACAAAAAUGUAGAUCCAAUUAACAAUUAACCGCAAAUAAAGGUUUUAGGAGAGUCAUUAUCUCCCUAUAGGCACACCGGUGGAAGAAACUCCUAAAACAGGGAAGCACGAUCUUGUUGCUUCUUCUGUUCUUGUGGAUCCACGCCUGUGGUUAGCAAGGCUACAGAACACAAUAAAAUAGCAUUGAUAACCAGAGAGAUCCGCGGGCCUAUUACCAGUUUUGGCAUGUUAGUUGUUUUGGUCAUAAUGUUAGCCAUUUUAGGCCUCUCAAAUUCAAUGAACAUGUUUUGCAUGGAGUCGAUAAAGACAGUGAUAUGAUUGCCGCAUAAUAAUAAUGAGUUCCAAAGAGUACGAGGAUAGCCCAAGCCUUCCACAAGUUCCUCGCUAAACAGUGUCUCAUCUACGCUUCAUUUUAUACGUUUUUAUAGAUAAAAAGGCCACGAUAGACCAUCUGGUGCUAGCUCCUCAAAUCAUUGGCCAGAGAGGGAAAUGGAUACAGCAAGUCUCCCCUCAUCUACCAGAACGUGUUUGGAGUUAUCUUCGCUCCCACGCAUGGCUAGACAACCGAAAAACAGCCUAGCAAAGAUGACUUCUCUUGGGCAAUGCAAGGACAAGUAGCUCUGAUUAUGAAACACAACACAAGUUGGCAUAACCCAAGUUAAUAUGAUAACUCGAUCAUCCAGGUCUUGCCUGUGUCAGCUUCUUUCUUUGGAUCAAUGAAGACUUCGGCACCCUUGAUCUUUUCAGAUAUGAAUGAAAGUCGGUAAGCAAUCUCCGAAACCACGAACUGAUGGACAUCGAACUCUUCCUUUCUUUCUAGCAGCAUAGCAACAUAGCCCUACGGGGGCCCAAGAAGCCAAUCUUCGUCAACCAAUCAUAUCUAUCUAUUGAUGCCUACUUACAAUCGUGCUCUUCUUUCCCAUGUCUUCUUCUCUUCCCUGAAUGAUCUUCGGAAAACAUAGGAAUUAGGUCGAUGCUGCUCAAAGAAUAGCUCUGGAUACCUGUGUUUCCAAUACUGACUUCAGGAACAUAACGGUUCACUCCCUCCUAUGGAUAAGAAGUAGACAGCUCGAUGUGAUGAUAGCCAUUUCUCAAUUUAGAAGGUAGAGCAAGUCCAAAGCAAAGAUGUCUUAAGUAGUGCCCCCACCCCAAUACUCACUAGUUUCUCUGGUAUCCUGUACUUCCCGAAUAUAGCGCUCAUUAACCUGUGGAAGGACAGCAAAGGUCUCAUCCGACGAAUUGACACUUGAUCCAUAUGCUUCUUUAACAAGAGUGGAACAUGUGGUUGGUCGACCUAUGAGAUACUGGAACAUCUCAUGGUCAACGAUGAGAAUUUGUUUCGGGAUCCUUCCUUUUUAGGGAAGAUGAUUAUAGAUCUUUCCCUUUCCCUAAAUCCGUGUUGGUUUGACCAUGGAGAGUGUUCUCCCGUGCUUCCAAACUUGCUGAGCUCUACCAAUUUUUGUACAUUCAAAAAGGGGAAUUGAUUCCUUCUCUAGAUAGGGCGGGAAAACUAGACUAUAUAAGAGUUGAUACAUAAACGCACAUAUAGUAAGUAUUUGGAUCUUCCUACGAGACUGUUCUUUUCGCUGGAGAUUUCACAAUUAAGUCGAUAUGGGGUUUAUCCUUCAUGUUAUUUCAAAAAUAAAGGCGUCGCCUUGAAAUGCCCUCGAGGACCUGGUUUUUUUACCCGUUUUUCCUGGCUCGCAUUUUCUAGGUUAAGAUCCCUGUAAAUUUCUUCCAAUUUGGUUUCGGGCAGCUUACGAUUUCGACAGGAUCUCAGAACAUUCUUUAUUUUCUUUUUCAACAACGAAAUGGAGGGUACUUCUGGGUUGGGCGGGGUGCGGCUUGCGGAUGGCUCCGACCGAAGGUUCCGCCAAUUUAUCACUACUGUAGUUUAGUGUCGCUUGCUCUUGUUUGCUGCAGACCUCUAUUUUCUUUCCAUCGAUUAAGAGGCUAAAUGAACAGGGUGCUGGAAUGUUUGUUGUGUCCGACGUCGGGCAACUCGGUUGUAUACCGUACGUUCGUGCUCUGGAGAUACGUACGAUAUCGUGAUGGAGAUCAUUCUGCACUACCAUCAAUACGGUAUGCUUUUCUUCCUCGCCGCUUCCCGCAAAUGAUGUGCUUCAGACUUCUGAACACGAAAUGGCAAUACUUAGAAUCCAAUUCUUGCUUUGUAUUAACACCUCUAGACGUUACCUGAGCUGACUGUGCAUAUGAAGAACCCCAGUGGUAAACGAAACUUUUGUUCAUUGACUACAUUGCCUGGUUUUGAUAAUGCGCAGGACCCGUGCAGCGGCGGCUGCUUCCCACCAUUCCUCUACUUUGGCGCAGCCAAACUCCUGACUUCGGCGAAAAGAAGGUAAGUAGAAUGAAAGGAAAACAAACCACGGAAUUGGAGAAUCAGUUGUUCCUUUGCAGUGAGUGGAGUCAAGCUCGUUCUCAGUCAUAUCCACUAUAGGAGGUUUGCUACAUGAAGAACGGGAAUAGGCAGGCUAUUGCUUGAAGGAAACUAGGAACUGGGAUUGAUUGUCCGCUCUAAGAUCGGUAUUCAUUCUGUUCUCCUCGGUUCUGGGUCUUCAUCUGUUCUGUGGGCUUCGUCUUUUUAGUCUCUGAAAAGCCAGUUGACAUGUGCGAUCCAAUCAAGGAGGCAGUACUUCUGCCUGAGUUCCUCUGGAUCCUACUUGUCGGGAUUACCGUGCUCCCGCAGGUUGUUCACCAUGCAUUCCAUAGCACUUUGACUUUAUAUCUUUUACCAUCUUGGAAUCAUGUAGAUGUAGAUUGCUUUCCUUUGCUACUGAAAAGACAAAACAAGGGAAGGACAAAAGGUUUCCCCCGAACCCCCUUUCCAAAGGAGUAGAAGGGAAAAGACUCUCUUCACUUUUUAUGCUCCGCAUGGCUCCAGUCAAGAUGUGACUCAUCCUGUAUAUACAUAAUUAGGAGACCUCUCAGGAACUUGUUAAAGAAAGGAGUACCAUUUGUGUGGACAAGCCAAAGCAAUCCUUUGAUGUUCUCAAGAAAGCUUUAAUUGAGGUACGCAAGUAGUGGUUUACCAGGAACUCGUAUAAGAGCUAGUCAUAUAGUCCUUGAAGCAUUAUUCCUUUUAUCGGUAGGGCUGUUAGCAAGGAGUUUGAAGCUUGAGUACUUUCAGCUUUCCUGUUUUAGCUGGGAAUGAAGUUGGUUCAGAGGUGUCAAGUAGAGAGGUUAGAUCUUCUCUUCCUUCUCAUACUGCGAGUAAUAUCUCUACUACACUUUCCACUUUAUGUUGAUCAGUUUGAGCAUGAGCAGCUUGUUCAGGAGCAGCCGCCCGUGGAAUUCCAUCCCAGUCCAUUCCGGGAUAGGCGGCUAAUAGAAUCUAAUAUGUGCAGUAGUCGUCGUCUAACCAAUCGGCUCGGACACCAGACCACUUGUGCCCGCCCAUUCGGUCUCGCCCUAAAUGGAAUGGCUCUCUUAGUUACGCUGUGCCCCGACCCGAGUCCCCACGUCCGCUUUUAUCCGCCUGCAACCCGACCAACACAACAUUAGGGCCGUCCCCCCCAUUCUAUGCCGACCCGGGCCGGGGCUCGAUUUUGGGAAGCCCGUUCCCACCGCGCUCACGGCCCGGCUGGCCUGCCAGCGGUAGUGGGAAUUUUCCCGUUCCCUGGUCAAAAAGGGUUGGUUGGAUGCUGGAUCUACUCCACGAGGAGCGGUACGGACGUAGAUGAUAUCAUCACGACCUCUCUUUGCGUACCGCUAGGGAUGCUUAACGCCACUUCGCCAACUGGCAUUACCUGCGCUUUCGUGUCUCUCAGUGUGGUCAACACUGGGUGUUUCCGAGCAGCGAGGCUUACACCCAUUCACAUUAAUUCAUCCAAAGUUCCUUACCCUUAUGCACGAGUUUUGGAGUCAAUGAGCAUCUCAGCAGCGGGAUUGAAUACCCGGAUCGAAUCAGAGUUCACGCUGCCCGCCCUAAACAAAUAGAAUAGGAGGCAUGGGCCACAGGUCACACAUAAUCCAUCGGGUCGCACGACAGAAGAACACCCAACAUAAAGAUGCACACUCCUCCAUGUGAAAUAGAAAGAUUCAUCUUCACUUUUUUGUAGUAGUCGUGACCAACAGCCAUCAGCAGUCGGCUCGUUGGUAAGGCGAGAGCUUCAAGCCCGCUUUCUGGUGGCACACCCCCCAAACAAGCACCACUCGACGAGGGGGGGGGGAGCUACAGGCCCAAAACCUUCGACUCUUCUUUCUAUAUGGGGGUGCCCGGGGCACCUCAUCUUGUCAUUUUGUUGCUCAUUCCCCUUAGGCCGAAGUGCUUGGCCUUUAUUUCGGAGCGCCCGCUCACGCUUCGCUGACCUAUCGCGUGGUAAAGAGAAGAGAGUACGAAAGAAUUGUAAACAGAGCAGACCGCAGAAAGAUUCUAAAUAUGACAAGUCCCCCAUGGAUUCGAUAAUAAGGAAAUGAAGAACGGGAACGAAACUAAAUAAAGCAUUUCUAGCGGAUGAGCUUCUCUCCAUUUUGUCUGGUAAUAGAAUAGGGCGGCUUGCUUUGACCAACACUCCACUUUUUGCUCUGUCCAUGGAGCGUAUGAAUUUCCUUAAAUGUAGAUAGACCAAAAAAGGGAAUAAAGGGAUAGGAAUAGGAAUUAUAGUACCAUUGGAAGAAGAGGCACUAGUGGGAACAUCUCUACUGACGAACCAUUUCAAUAGUACGGGUGCUGCCGUGCCACGGGGCACGACCAUGGAAGUAAUGAAAAAGAAGAAGUUCUAUAAUUGGACCAUCUGCUCUAUCCGUUCGAUUUGAGCUUCUCCAGAGAAGAUGAGACGCUAAAAAUGAAAGUGUUCGCAACGCAGAUCUGAUCUACUUUAUACUGACCUCAAACAACGAGCGAAGACGAGAUGUUGAUGAGAAAGGGGCUUUUCUCAAGGCCAAAGAGUGCUCUUUGAAGGCUACGAUGCAUCCUUACGAAUACAAGAGUGGUUUUUUUUGUUUUUGGUAUAGCAGGACUUGAACCCGCGACCAUUAGGUUAAAAGCCCAAUGCUCUACCAACUGAGCUAUACACCCAAUUUUACAAGAAGGCUUGGUGCGGAAAAGAAAAGAGGGCGGCCUAGCCCCUUUUCUUCUUAUCAUAUCACAAGGGCGCGGCUCUUUAUGGUAUAGUACUGUGGAGCAAGUCUGGGAGUCCUUUCCACUCAUUGAGGAUUCUAUCUAAAAAAGAAGGUCUAUAGUAGCUCGAACUCAGACUAUCUACGAAAAAGGUAAAGUGACACGCAGAAUAGAUCUAUUAUCACUUAAGCAAAGUAAAUAUGAUUGACAGAAGUAGUAUUAUAUUCCAAUUAACGUCAAAUCGAGUAGUCUAUCCUUUGUAAUGAGGAUUUGCGUUCAUUUCUUCCGUUACUCGCUUGUUUACUUUCCCCAGUAGCCCAGGGUCGGGAGCUAGAACUUCUGAGGUGAACAGUCCCUUAAAUUAACCCUGUAUCAGAGAUGCUAACUGGUCAUUACCUUUGAUCUUGUUGCUGUUUGAGUCAUUCAGAAACUUUAUUAUGUUCUUCUUUUUUCUCCAUUGCAAAAUAAUGUGAUGAAAGAAGCUCGUAUUUCGGUCUCCAUGGCGGAGCCAAUUAGCCCUUCCUCUUUGCAGCCAUUAAUCCGAGUGCAAAUUCUCUCAAUUCAGUGUUGGAAGCAGUCGCUCCUAUCCACUCCUACCAGGGAGAGGAGCCCCAAGUAUUUGUCAGUGAGCGAUUCAGUGACAAUAUUCAGCAGGUUGCAUACCUCUUGUCUGUCCCCCCUAUCUGUCUAAGGAUCCUUGGUAAAACUCUCUUCAUUGAAGGCAGUACGUGGGUAUCCAUCUUAUCUACAGUCUGCGGGUCAUCCACAUGACCAAAACAAAGGGUACGAAAGCAGUGAAACCGAUAUAUCUGUUGAAGGCGAUCCCACCGGUCCUAUUUAUUAAGUUGCAAUGGCGAGUAUCUUUGGACCCCAAAGAGUUGUAUAAGUUGGAAAAUGGAGAUUUGCCUGUGGCAUUGGCCGUUGGGCAGCUAGCUAUUCCAUUUGAAGGCUCCGCAGAAAGAACCCGCAGGUACUAUUACGACAGGUGGCUUCGAAUCCAGUUUGUUAGUCGUUUGCAUCUCGGUUAACAAAAAUAAGCUUGAAUCCCUCCAUUCGUAGAUCAAUCAACUAAAGUUGUUAAAACAAUGCCCCAGUAAAAUGGUAGUAGAAGGUCGUUCUUUCUUACUCUAAGUUGCACUCACGUGCUGCCGUUUUAGAGCUAGGUGAUAUUCUCUGUGUAAACCAGUAUCGUAUCUGUUUGAUAUGGACCAUUCUAUAAGUAUAGUCAUUUCAGUCUUCCUCAAAGGAUCUCUGAUCUAUUGUGCAACCUUCCCUUCGAAACCCACCCCACAUGUAUACUUCUACCCCUUAUCACAGCUCCAAUGCCCACAGGCAUCUGUCUCUAGUACAAAUCUUUUACUGAAAUCAGGGAGAACCAACACAGGGGCCUCAAUUAAAGCUUGCUUGAGAACAUCAAAGGAUUGCUUUGGCUUGUCCACACAAAUGGUACUCCUUGCUUUAACAAGUUCAUGAGAGGUCUCCUAAUUAUGUAUAUACAGGAUGAGUCACAUCUUGACCGGAGCCAUGCGGAGCACAAAAAGUAAAGAGAAAGGAUUUGUUCACCACUUUAAGCCAAAAGAUAGAAAUGAAAGCUGUUCCCAUAGAAUGAGAUUAGAUCCCGCAAGUGAGCUAUUUAUACUGAAGCUUACAAGAAGCAAAGUUGAAACGGGAGCUUUCCUUAAACCAUGAAUCAACAAAUUGAAAUAGAGAUAUCGGUAUCUUCCAAUCUGCCACAAGGAUCUAGUCGCCAGUAUCUUUGCCUUCUUCCCAACUUAUCCCAGCAUUCCUUGUAAGCGUUGCUAUCACUAUUUCUCCCUCCGGUGGCCUUGAGGCGUCUCGAUCAAUCGGUGUAUCCGCCACAGGACACACCUCCUUCUCUCAACCAUCCGAACAAGAAGAUUCUAGCACUAACCCUCCAGCAGCUUUCUUUCCGACCGAAGUACCGCUUUUCUUUGCACUACUUUCGAACCGUAUCAGGAACAAGAGCUUAUGUGUUGCUUUCUUUUUGCAGUAUCCGCCCCCAGGGGUUAUUACUUGAUGAAGAGUGCUUCCCCUUUGAGCACCUUAUCUUGGCCAUCAAUAUAAUUAAUCCAUCCUGCCUGUCUAGAUAUUGUUGUUAAUACACAGGUUGAUUGUAUGACUAUGGCAUAGUGAGUUCUGGCUCCUAGGUGACAUACUGAAUACAGCAUCGAAGCAGGUCUAUCUUAUUCCAAUGUAACGAUUCCAUUGAAUAUUGUGAUAGCAUCCUUGAUUUUAGCUAUCUAUUCUCAGUGAUAUGCUUGCUCCUCUUGGAUUUCAUUCCAUGAUAAGUAUGUAUUGGAAGUUGGAAUGCCUAAAGUAUUGGUGCAUUAGGGUCCUCUUAAGCCUUGUUUCCUUCUUGAUCUUACCUUUCCGUUGCUAUCACUCGCUCUAGCCUCUCCUGGCCAGAGCUCCCUCUAUCAACAACACCCUCACACGAUUGAUUCACUGGAUAAGUAUGGCUCAUAUAAGGUAUCCUGAUCAUAGUAAUUGUAUCAUAUCUCCUUCUCCUAUUGAUCUUACCAUCCCUCGAGUCCAAGUCUCGGGAUGGCGCUUAUUAAGGUCCUAUCACUCCUAUGAGACGGCUAACACCCAACUCCCGAUACAUUCUUUAGAGUCGACCAAAGGACUCGUUGGUUUGGACACAGUUUCUUUGUUCCUGUGUUUCUGUUUUGCUCUCCCCCUUUUUUUCACUUAGUUUAGUUGGAAUGACAAGAGAACUUCCUUCAGUUUUUCUUUUUUGUUAUUGCCUGGUUCGGUCUCUCUGAGUGGAAUAAGUGGGUCCUUCUUGUUUUUCCUGACUGAUGAAGGUCGAAACUGAAGAUUGAAUCAAGCAGAGUCUAAAUUCCUAUGUUCGUACCAACUCAAAUGAUUGAUGAAUUGGAUCUUGAGUAUGCUCACUUCGCUACUCAGCAAGGGUGAAAGAAUGACAAAGAGACUGGCAUCACAGAGGAUGGGAAGGACCCAAUCGCCUACCUCUUUCUUGGUCCACCCCCCUGGUGGGUACUUUAUAGCUCACAACACGAGAUAGGAAGAUAUGUGACAUAGAAAAAUUGCUUUCAUUGACAACAAGACUCUUUUCCUGAUUGGGAUUGGUCUGUGCAGGAUCUCCUUCCCUAUGAGACUCUUGCUUCCCUUUGAAAGAGGCAGACCCCUACUUCAAUUGUCAUCUGACGCCUCUACCCGCCCUUGGUGUUCGUAGAUUGGUUUUGCCAGUUAGGGUUUGUGUGGUGGGUUUCGAUGAUCUCGGGUAGCUCCUCACUUGGAUGAGGAGUGGGGAAAUAAGAUUGCGGAAGAGAUUGGUGAAGAAGUGGAACUAAAGGAUACUAUAACCAAAGCUUAAAAUGGGGGGGGGGGGAUGAGGCUGAUGUUGAGCUGGGUGAUGAAGCAACUUCACCGCAGCAAGAAGCCUAGUGAGCGGUUGACCUGGCGGAAGGUCGUUCUACCUUUCCCUGUGCCAACAAAGCAGGCAUACUUGAUGGACUCUUUGGGGCUCGUGAGAGACAUUCGUAUUACUGCGUUCUGUGAUCGUAGAUCGUCAGGAUUCCUCAUUGUAUAUCCGAGAUCUGAAAGUGUGGCAAAUGUAUUUGAAGGCAUGGAAAGAGGCCGCCCUCGUGCAAGACUUCUUUAUUCUCCCGAUUUCCCUCCUCCGGUUGGAUUGACACGAAAGUCCAGUGAUAACAUUGAAGUACUUUAAAGAGUCCCUUUCAGCCCCCGCUUUAUCAUAGGAAGAAGAAGAGUAAUCUAGUUUAGGGGUAAGUGCCCUUUUGUUGCCAAUAUCUAGAGUCCUGUUGUGUUGAUAGAGCUCGGAAAACUCCUCUUUUAGUGAUGGAUUCUAGUAGUCCUAUGCCUGGAUUGCACAAGAACUACUCCGCUUCUAUAUUGGGAAACACUGUGUUUGAGCUUCUGAAAAGAAAUGAAGCUGUUACCUGAUCCAAGCAGAUAAGAUGCUCACGGCCUGUCCUGAGCACUACGGAGAUAUUUCUUGAUCCACAUGAGAGUCAGCUCCCUACACCUACACCGGAUUAUGUCAAUGAGAGCUUUCCAAUAGAGAUACUUCUGACUUAGAGGCACCGGAGUUGGCCAACUCAAAUUGCAUUGACAGUGAACCCUUGGUAGAUGAUUCAGAGCAAGAUUAGAUUCUUGAUGAUUUUUCCCUUUGUUUGAUCGAGCGAUGCCGAAUCUUUAUAGCGCAUUUCCACCUAUCCAUGCUUUACGACUUGUCGGAGAUGCUGAUGCUGUUAAAAACCAGUGUAUUCGAGAGAUCUCGGAGAACUUUCAUGCAACAGACGCUGGGUUAAUUGAUUUCGUCAAUCAGACGGAUGACACUGAAGGGCAAAGAAGAGUCAUAUGGAAUCUUAUCAAGCUUCAUUUCCAGGAUGAGCUUGAUAAGAUCCCACCCGAACUACAACAAAAUGAAAAUCCAGAGGAGGAAUGAAUGGUAUGGUAGCCAUCAUCAUCAUUAUGUUUUUCGUUAUAAAUAUAAAGGGCUUGCUUCAUUUGAAGAGUUAGUUGGCCGGCCUACCGGCCCGCAGAUGUAGAGACAGAGAUAGAGGUUGCCUCUCUUCUUGAACUGCGAAAUCAAAGGGACACUUGGAAAGAAGGGAACGCACGGCUCUUAUCUGGUUCGAAUCCAGUUCGUCCCAGCCAGCCACAAAGACUACACCAAACUACACUAACUAUGAGUUUAUGAAAGCGCAGAAAAAACGAUAACUAUAUAUGGGAAUAUGAAAGCAAGAACUACUAAUUGUAAAAAUGACAAUCGAAAGCCCCCACCCCCCGGUAGAAAACCAGCUAUCGUUUCAUAUAUGCGCUAGGAUAUAUAUAUAGUAUCCUAUCCCCCUCAAUCUCAGGAGUCGCUUUCUCUAUGCCCGACUUAUGAGCUCUUUGCUUAUUAUUUAUCGGGUGGGAUGAAGGUCGAAAUGUCUAGUUUGAAUUGCUUAUGCUUAUAUAGUUUGAAUCGUCUAGCUUCAUACCAAGGUUGUUCUACAAAAGAACCAAGUAAGAAAGUAAGCCCGUUCAAUUGAAAUAGCUUCCUCGCUUCGCAGUUCGAUACCCACUGAAACUAUGGAUACGAUAGACUCGGGAGGGGUAAAGGGUUACUUUAUUUGGGCUGCUAAGUCUUUCUUGUUGAUUCCGGAAAUAAAGAGGACCUUCUUAAUCCUUCGUGCUCCACACCCGCCUCACUGGACCUAUCCAUUCGAGCUCUCUCCUCUAAUCCCAACUCGACACGGCUGGACGACGACGCCUGUUCACUUAUAGCGAAAUCACAUGUUAAGCCCGAUGAAUUCAUCUACAAUUUAUGGAUUUGUCGGUCUGACAAGGCAGAACCAGGGCCCUUCCAUUAAGGUUAUAUUAUAGUUUCGAUAGGAGAGAUGCAGACCAGAUAGGAAUGCAAGAAUACUCUGUAAUUUUUUUAUUAAUCGGUUUAGUCUGUGGAAGAGAAGUCUCGAUCUAGAGGAUUGCCCCCCCCCCCCAGACUGACCUAGUUGUCCUUGACUUGCUUCGGAAAGAAAAGACCUAGUACUUGUUUACCUUGACCAUGGUUACUUUCCCGCCGCCUUUCCUUCUAUACUUUUCCUAUGUGCUAUCCCAGGCAUCCCUUGUCAAGCUACCUAUCCCUACGAAAAAGCAAGCCUACUUACUACGUGUUUUCCUCUAUUGGCAAAUACGCAUAUUCUGACCUACUCACGUGCAUAUCUUGCAUAAAGCUUUCCCCUAAAAAACAAACUAGCCCGUAUCUUCCUAGUCCUUGUUGCCAUCCCUACUCGACUUUACUCGACUAUUUAGAAAAAGCUACUACUUGAAUGCAUACUUUAACUAUUAUUUAAAGAAAAAACAAAAACUAUUUCUGAGUUUAUGCCCCACCAACAGAGCAAAAGAACGCUCAAAUGAGGAACUAGAAUAUGAAAGUGCAAAAUAUCCUACCGAACAAAGAAAGCACUAUAUCUCCUUUUUAAAAUAUGGUAAAAAUUCUUCAACCUAACUCAACACAACUAUAUUUCGACUGUAUAUGUAUGUUUGUAACGUGCCACAAAACCAUCUUAAGAUUAGACAGUUAUCAAUCAACAAACGCAUUGACCACAUGCAAAAAAUCAAGAUGGAUCUCCUUCCUAUUAUUCGGUGCUUUCCUUUUAUAAGUCACUGCUAUUCUUCCUUGACCCUUGUUACCUUUGCUAGAUUUUGCAUUCCCCUCAUUACUAUUCGGCUCAGUAUUAUCUUCACCCUUGGAAUUGCUUCCACCAGAAGUAGACGACAAGUACUGUAGAUGUCAGAAUUUCGUAUAUAGCAAAUUCAGGUAGUAAGUAAUGGAACUGUAGCAUGCAAAGGGACUGUACCAUGGAAAUUGAGAAGAAAUCUCCAUCAAGUUUUUCCAUUUUAUGCCAUAUGAAUAAGAGAUUCCUUUUAGUUAGAAAGCUCACGUAGAAGUUUGCUAUCAAAGACCUAGGUAUUCUUUUCAUCCGCGGUUUCCCACUUCUCUGUCUCUAGGUGAAUGCCUCUACCAGAGGUUAUGCGCCAGCUUGGGAAAGCCUUAAGUUAUAUCUUAAUCUGUCUUGCAAGGUAGAUUGGAUCAUGUCCGCGAUAGAAGUUGUGGAGGAAUGAAACAACGAUUUCGGUAUAGGAAGAGAAAGGGAUUGUUCUUUCGACCAUGGCGAGAUAGGAUAGACUUGGGAUUCUUUCUUGUCCCAUGAUUGCAAACACUCUGGGGCUGAAUUAAUUAAUGAAACUAAUAGGAAGGAUUGGGAUGAUGAACUGGUGAGAUUCUUUCUUUCGCUAACUGACCAAGGUAAUUAAUUCCUUCCAUUGGCCAGGUGAGUAAGCAAGGAGACGACGUUCUCAUUAAAAAUGAAAUAUGCCAAGCCGAAUUCAAAAACAACUCCUUAAACUCCGUCGUUUACCGACAUCCUCUCGGCUAUCAUACGUCCUCCGCUUAUCUCUCUUAGGCAUAGGCAUCUCAACACAUUCCUCCUUCCGAGUUGCUUGUCCGAACUUGGCUCUUUAGUAAAACGAAGGAGCUGCUAAGCUAUUAUUAGGUAUCAAUUUAGGAGCCUUUUGUCAUUUCCAACUACAUUAUUGUGAGCAUUCGGAACCCGUUCCUACGCGGUCAUCAAAUUGGCUGGCUUUGGACCCUCGAUCGCAGCAAUGAACUCAGCGUCCCACUUAACUUACUUUUGGUACUUUUGAAUCUUGUCCCAUCCCAUAGCUUCACAAGUGAAUCUACCUAUGGAUCCAUAAAGUUGAUCAUUACUUCUCAAAUUCUUAUUUCAUGUGUCCGCCAUAGCGCUUAUCUAUCUCCUGGCCUGAUUCAUCUUUGGAAUGUAACCGGACAUAUUACAAGGCGAAAAAACAGUAAUUUCAUCGAUUCCGGAUUGCCCACUGUCUCCCUUUCCCUCUUUCCUUUCACUUUCCUCGCAUAACGAAAGCAUGAUUUACCCGAGCCGAGUAUCUUGUUAGAGUAGUAGAUUCCGCGCUCGAGAUGAUGUGUGUGACCGGGCAGGAGAUUCUUUUACUCCAAAGCCAUUGCGCAGGUUUGUGUGUGACAACUAUGUCGAUCAGUUUCUAAAGACGCCCAGAAACUAUGUCUAUAGAUUCCGGGAGAGAGUACAAGUGGUGCCAUCGGAGGAAGCUGAUAACCUCAGAACAAGAAUGGACAGCAUUUCGCUCUGCUGGUUAUAGCAAUGACGGCUAACACUUUAUUCCCAUGUGAUAAUUAUUUAUAGAUCUUUCGUAUAAUGUUAGACUAAAAUAUAUUGGAAUAUUCCGGCUUGACUAAAUAAUAUUAAUAUAUUAUUGUAGUAUUAGUUUAUAUUCACUGUUCAAUAAUAUUAUGGCAUCCUUACUUCUAUCAGGUAAAGUUCAACAUUUAUUAUUCAGGCUCUUGUGAGGUUAGGAUUAAUAUUAUUUGAUAAUAUAGUUCUCAUGCGCAGUCAACUUACUAACUCACGCCCUAAUUCAUUUUAUUUCUAUAGAGGUUAUGAUCGAAUUUAAACAUAAUAAAGAUCUGAGUAUAAUUCCGACAGAUAUAUUAUGAUUUAUGGUUGUUAAUGGUAGACGAAAACGGAAAAAAGAUAUUACAUCUAACUUGAUUAAUUGGAAGGUUUAGUUUGCAUCUACCAUUACCAUUACUAUCGAGAUGCCUACAGUAUAUCCUUUCCAAAAAUAUAGAGAAUUAUGUAAAUUUCUCCUUCGAAAGCAUUUACUGGGGACAAUGAAGCCCUUCUUCUCCUAUUCUAUACUAAAUAAACAAUCUAAUUCUAGGAAGAGUUUCGAAUACUGAAACUUAAAGGAAUGGCGGUUAGAACAAAGCAAGGGAUGGCACUUUCAAUGUGCGAAAUCCGUUUUGAGUUAGAGUGCGAAACUUCUUCCUGCAGCCGUCUUAUUCACUGCUUGCUACUUUCUAAAAUGGAAGAUAAGAUGAAUGAAUGAAUAGAUUGCAUUUUUUCUAGUUCAAUCUAUAGUCUAGAUUCCAUUCCCUCGAUCCACUCUCAUUUAAAUGAUGGGAUUGGGCCAUACCAACCUUCACUUAGUCUUAAUAAAAUAUUGCUUCAUAUCUUCAAGGAUUGGGAGGAGGUGGCGUAAAAAGGAAGGAAAAAGGAAUUCUAAAUCUGUCCCUUCCCACAGAAUCAUCGGGCUUGACUUUCCUUACUUUCCCAACCCCGCUACUGUAAAAAGAACUCUUUUGUUUUGAGACUAGCUAGUCACUAUGGUUUGCGGGAAAACUCUUCUCUCUCUGGUCUCACUUCGAGUCCUUCUAGAAUUAAAUAAAGUAAAUGCUUAUUCAACUACGGCACUGUCGGACAACCGACCAGAUUCAAGCCCUAGCCCCUCAACUCGGACGGACUUGUGGAAAUUCUCGAAAACAAGUAUUGCUCAACUCACCUAUCUAUAACAUAGAAAUGUUGCAUCCAACCCUGGAACGAGAGGUAAAGAAUAGGCUACCAUACGAGAUGAGACGACUUCAUUCUUGGCUUUCAUCCCUACGCUUAAGAAAGAUAAGGGAUUGGAUUUCAUACCUUUUAUUUAGAGCUCCGUCGUUCCGACUGGAAAAUGUAACCUUCCACCAUACGUAAACCAAACCUCUUUGCUUUCUGGCUUUUCCUUCCAAUAAACAUCAGGGUGCGAAUCUGAGUAGUUCCUUGCUCAAGACCACGAAGCAAGAGCGAAGCAGAACCGAUUUUCAAUUCAUCGAAACUCUUGAAAAGUUCCUUUGCUUUUACAGCGAAAGCACCUGCCAACAAAUUGGAACCAUAAUCCCCUCCAUCUGCUUCGCACCAUGCUUGAUUUCAUGUUGAGCCGACUCCAGUCCGACGUCAAUCCCCGGGCGCUGAAGGAGCUCCUGAAUAGACUCCAAAACGGUCGGGCCCAAUCUCAAACUUCUAGGGCGGCAAGGAGAUUCCUCGACGAGGACUAGUGAGGCUAUAGUACUUACUAUGCAUAGGACUACAAAGGUGAAAAGACAGGAUGUAUUCCGAUGAAAUGCCUUGGAUGUGAUAUGAUCGGCAAGAGAAAGAUGGAAUUUGGUAUAAGGAAGGAAAUCAAACGCGUUGUUUGAGAAGGAAAAAGGGUAACCUAGUUUCCCACCUUUGGAAUAGGGCCUUCUUGUAGCCAGGGUCUCCUUUGGUUGUAUGCUUGCUACGAGGUCGCUCAUUGGGUAGGGCCUGCCUCAUGCCUGUAUUACUAUACCUAACAAUCUAAGUAAGCCCCCCCCCCCCGAGGGCCUCCUCACUCUGAUUCACCUCCCGGGUGGUAUGAAAAACUAUUCAGUUUCUUUACCUUCAAUAGAGGAAUGCAUAGAGCUAACUCCUUAUCUCUUGGGCUUCUGGAAAGGUUGAUGCAUUAGUCCGCUGUCUUUCCUUCGGCUUUAGAGGGAUGAGUAGUUCUUUUCCUGGAAAAGUACCAACCAAUUUUUGAAUUUAGCAUUGUGCGCUUUAUCAAUUGGUCUUUUCCCUCAUACUUCGAGGGUCUUCCCCUCGAGCUGAGCUAUUGAGAAUAAAUAAGUUGAUUCAAUCCUUUUGGAUUGAUCCACUUAACCACUGGUUUUUGGUUCCAGUGGCAAAUGAACAGUUUCCCAUACCAUUUGUGUUUUACCACCCGGUAUGGAGCCAUCUUAUGUUUCGUCGGCUGCUCUUUGCCUGAGUGUGUGGGACCCACUCAUAAGGUUUGUUGCACCCGGCUAAGCUCCCUCCCGGUAGGGCUAGAGCGACAGCAAAGAAAUGGUCUUCUUAGGUUUGGCAAUUUUACUACCUCCUAUCGAAGAGCCGUCCAUCUACUUACUGCCUGCGACCGCCUUCUUGUCGCCCGCCUUUUUCUCUCCCCUCUUAGUGAACCCACUUUCUUUAGUAAAGCGGUUUUGCAUCCGUUCACUUCUUGACUUUCCAUGGGUUUCUUAGAGAGCGGGUGGUUCUCGGUUCCCCACAUUUUUCUACCCCUUCUGUUCUGAGACGUGACUUUUCGUCAUCCCUCCUUUAAAUAAGAUCCCUCACUUAUAGCUCGACGGGCCCGCACGUGGACGGGGCAUUCAAAUUCUUUUUAUAGUGGGAUCGUAACAUCCUCUUAGUUUUUUUGACAUUGGACAAACACGUGUUCCUCAACCCUAGGUAGGGCGUGACUAGGACAUACCUAGCCACUCGAGCCAGACUAUUGUCUACCUGAAUAGCUUUUCGUUUGCCAUUAACUGAUCACCAAUGUUGCGUAACAGUCACUCAAAUACAGUUUUAGAGGAGCACCGUCCUUUCUUAUCUUGUGACCUUGAAUUGGUUAGGUGAUCAAGCUUUGGAUUCAGGGUUCAGUAGCACCUCGAGCUGAAUCUAUAUCGGUCGUUAUGGGUAAUCGUUUGCAGCCUUAGGGCUUUUGGUACUUGGAAUACACCAUGUAUAAGAAAACCUUAUUCAAGGGGGAGGGUGUGAGUAGGUGGUUGGAUUACUGUGAAGGUCUCUGCGAGCUUGAGGGCAGUGAAGACUAUUGUCUCCACCACUAAAAACGGGUAAUACUCGCUCAAAGUGAUGAAAUCUGUCGAGGAAACAUAAGAAGUUUCCUGUGUAGUGAUCUCUGUUCAUGCGUAUCGUGAUCACAGGCAUAGGCUGUGGUUGGUUCAUCGAAAAAGAUGAGCCGCAGUCAGGACAAUCGUACUGGUUGCCGUCCUUGAAGGGACCGAUAGCUAUACCGGAACCCCAACAUGUUGGAUGUGAGCAAGAGAAUGGGAAAUGAGACUAACUGUGUUGACUAGUCCACUGCCGAUCAAAUCAACUGAUCAGUUAGGAACUCUCCCAUUCCAUUUGCAUAUCACUUUAAGUUUUUGUCAAAGCUUUCCAUACCUGUUCCGGGCAGCAAGAGGUUAGCAGAUGGGGCCCCUACUCUGUGAGGGAGAAAUCGCGCACACGCAAGGGAGGAAAUCGCCCGCGCGCGCACGUGCAUAUAUAGUACUGCUCCAUUAUAUAGUUUAGUACUGCUCAAUCCAGUCAUGAGAUUGGAGCAUAAAUCUAAUUAGAUUUUUGCAUCUACUCCAAAAGGAAGUGGAAUAAGACCAGCAUUAUGAACUAUUGUUCACUGCAAACCGUAUGUGUACUACUCACUUCCAAUACAAGUAGAAGUAGACUUACUUGAUUUGAUCACAUGAGGGAUCAAAGAGAAAAGGCUAUUGCACUCCAAAAAGGAGGCCUAUUUGGCCGAUUUAGGAGACCAGACGUAUGAUCCUCCACACGCCUACUCCAAGUCCGUGUUUUGAGCGCAUUUGACUAUGAAAUCAGGCCUCUGCGCCUGGGUCAUCUUCACCCAAACAUGCAUACCAUGGAAAAGCCAUCUUGAUAUUAAGGGGAAUUCCUCCUAACAUCGGAAACUUUCUGUUGACCCUAGCUUUGCACCAAGGCACUUUUCCUAUCUUUUCGCGUUAAGGCGGAGCAGUCAGGUAACGAACUGGAACUGGAAACCGACUAACGUUACUUUUCCUUUGCUACUAAAAAGACAAAACAAGGGAAGGACAAAAGGUUUCCCCCGAACCCCCUUCCCGAAGGAGUAGAAGGGAAAAGACUAGACCUAUUCAAUAGAUCAAGUCUAGCUUUCCCUACUAUGUCAAAGGAAAGGGACAAAACAGAAAGCUACCGAUGCAGCUGAUCGGUCUCCUCAAUCGUUCCCUCGAUCGGUCACUCCUCGUCAACCUUGUUAAAGGAAUUUCAACUAAACAACAGCACUAAAGGAAAGGCUCUCUCCGUUAUAAACUAUUGUACUCCCUAACCUACCUUCCGGUUGAUCUGUACUCUUCACUAUGGUUUCAAGUACUCACUCCAUCGAGCUAGUCACGCCUCUCAGAUUCACUCCUCGAGGCUAGGAACAUUCAUGCGGCACCGGGUCGAUACGGACUAAAGUCCAUGUCUCCCACAAAGGAUUGUUCAUGGAACUACUAUCGAAAUUAUUCAGACCAUAUUCCCAUGUGUCAUUCUUUUGUUCAUUGCUAUACCAUCAUUUGGUCUUGCGUCGACAAUACAAAUAAUGGCAUUUGUUGUCUUAUUCGGAGUUCAAGGAAUAGCCUUUCAUCUUGGGAAUGAGAAUGUCGCGGAUCUCAAUGUUCUCGUCAUCACCAAUGCUCCUAACGAGGGUGACUUUCCCAUAGACCAACCUCCCAUUGGCGGACUACCAGACCUCCAGCAGGAAAUGGCGCACGCCGCCCAUCCCGAAGACAUAAUUGCGGAGUUGACUUCCAAGGUUGAAAGAAUAUUUCACGAAGUAGGCACUCCUCUUCCUUUAGAGGAAGGUGAAUCUGCGUGAUCGUUCACUGAAAAUCAUGUAUUGUGGAAUAGUGAGGGAGGAGAUACUCUUCAACAAAUCUUCUCCGAUUAUACGGAAGCCAGGGACGCAAGCGAAUUCGUCGCAAUAGCCACCAAUCUGGCAAAACGGUUUCGCCGCGCCGAGCUCGGUGAACCGGAUUCUCCCGACCCCGAUGCGCCUUUGGAAGAGCAGGAGGCUCAUUCCACGGGAUCCCCUGAAAGCACAAAAGCAAAUGAUGGGCCGAACGAGGCAGGCCUGCCUUCUUCGCGGAAGCGUAAAAGGUGGGAUGAUGAUUCGGGGGUCCGAAGAUGAUGAUUCAGGGGGCCCCGGGGAAUCUCCAGAUCCAGUGGAAAUCGUUUACGAAGGGGAUGCACAAGGGUACAUCUAGGAGGGGAAUGAGGUUGGCCGCCAACUUUGCCUGCCUUUCUAUCUGAGUUCUUCCCUCUUGAUGCUUUCGAACGACUCCUAAAUUUCACAAAAUCCUUUUUUUCUUAUUUGAAAUCCAAAUCGAAAUGCCUCAACUUGAUAAAUUAACUUAUUUCUCACAAUUCUUCUGGUUAUGUCUUCUCCUCUUUACUUUUUAUAUUCUCUUAUUUAAUAAUAAUAAUGGAAUACUUGGAAUUAGUAGAAUUCUCAAACUACAGAACCAACUGCUUUCGCUCCGGGGGGCGAGAUCCGGAGCAAGGACCCUAAGAAUCUGGAAGAUAUCUCGAGAAAAGGUUUUAGCACCGGUCUCUCAUAUAUGUACUCCAGUUUAUCCGAAGUAUCCCAAUGGUGUAAGACCGUCGACUAUUUGGGAAAAAGGAGGAAAAUCACUCUGAUCUCUGAUUUCGGAGAAAUAAGUGGCUCACGAGGAAUGGAGAGACAAAUUCUCUAUUUGAUCUCGAAGUCCUCAUAUAACACUUCUUCCAGUCGGAUCACUUGUUGGAAAAACAUAAUGCUCACACAUGUUCCACACGGGCAAGGAAGCAUAAUAUCAUGAAAGUCGUCUGAUAAUCUUUCUAUAGGUUCCCCGAAGAGAAUGGAAAAAUCACAAAAACACUUUCUAUAUGUUCUGUUAUUUUGAGAUUCGAAGAAGCAAGCAAGUUUUUCAUAUAGCUGU